UCGCACUGCCUCAUGCAAGGCUGUGUCUUUCUCCUUAUUUGUCAUCCUCAACAUCAAUUUAUCUGCUUCAAGCCCAGUUUCAAUAUCUGUAGGAAGUUUUUUGGCAGCGUCUAAAAGAGCUUUCAGAACCUCAAAAUGCCCUUCCCUUGCUGCAAGGUGAAGCGGAAUGUCCCCUUUCAGAUUAGGGCGUUGCAGUAGAGUUGGAGAUGAAGGCAAGCUAAGGAUCAAAUUCACACACUCCAGUUGACCGAACUGGGCGGCGAUGUGGAGUAUCGUGUUAUGCUUUGGGGUUAAAUGGACUAGUAAGUCAUGAUCUGAAAUUUUUUCGAGGACUUUAAUGUUCCCCCUUGCUGCCGCCUUGUACACUUUCGCAUCCAUGCCUGUGAUGACAGUGUGGCUGCCAUCUCCAUUUGCAGCCUGGUUGGAGGUCUGGGCUGGGCUAGGAUCUUGAGCUACAACCUGAUUGGAAUUAGAAUCCAUGUCAAUAUUCUGAAAUUCUGCACUGAGGUUCGAAGCACGCAGCUUUCAAACCACCAAAUAUAGCCUUUAAUUUCUAUGUUUUUCUUUUAUAUUAAUAGAAUGUCAUUGAAAUAUUUUGCCAGCUCAUGUACGACAACUGUGGAAAGGACGGACAACACCGUUGAGUUAAAUAUGAUAGAAUACGUUGAUUACUUGUGUGGUGGAGAGGAGGCGCUCAAUUUUUCUUUUUCUUUUUUCCUUGAGUGGUCGGGAAAAAGUUGGUGAGUGAUAAUUGCUGUAAAGAAAGAGAAGGAAGAGGCAGGGAAAUAUUUCCAGAAAAGCUUUAGUACUCUGAUUUGUCCAUGUAUAUAAAUAUAGUUUUGAUAGCUGUAAAAUAUUAUGUUUCAAACAUACAUACAACAUACUGUUUCCUACUUAUCCUACGCACACAGCACCUUUUUUGGACUUUCUUGCAAUUUUAUUCACGUGAUUGUCCUACGCACGCACAGCACCUUUUUUUGAACUUUCUUGCAAUGUUAUUCACGUGAUUUCCGGUCUAAUACCAAAACGGAAAAGGGAAUACCUGGACGGAUGUUGUUGCCUCCAAUAAAAGGUUGUGUGGUUUGAAAAUAAUCACAUUGUUAAAUAAAAAUAAUAAUAAUGAUUAAAUUGUUUUAUAGUUUCAUUUCAUUUUUUUUAUAUUAUAUAUGAUUUUUUUGUUGACAACUUUAUUCAAAAGUUCAAACUUAAUCAUAUAUUUUAAGAAUCCAAAUUUUUAGCUUGAUAUAAUACCUAUCCGAUAUCAUACUAUUUUUCUUUAUAAAUUUAAGAAUUUAGACUCAAUUGAAUUCAGUUUUCAAGUAAUAAGAAUAUAUUUCCUUUUCAAAAAAUAUUAAAGAAAUGAUAAAAUAAUAUUAAAGAAUGUGAUUUUUUAUUUAUUUAAAUACCAAAUAAAAAGUUGAGGAAAUAAAAAAUAAAAUAAAAAAGGUGACAUCUUUUUUUAUUUAGUUAAAAUUUUUAUUUUUCUUUUACCUUUUAAGGUUUGGAAAAGUGCAAGGUGCCAAAUUUAUACUUAUUGAAGUUUAUGAUUUGUUAAAAGUUUAUGUUAAAAGUUCAAAUAAGACUAAAUUUAAACAAAAUUUAAAUUAAUAAAAAAUAUGAAAGCAAAAACACCAUCAUGAUAAUUUUUGUUUAGUAAAUUUAUAUUUACUAUUAAUAAAUUUUAUAUUUAAGUCAUUUAUUAUUGAUGUAAUUAAGUUAUAUUAAUUUUUAAAAUUUGCAUAAUUGUUUUAAAAAAAAUUAAUGCUAAAUUAGAAAUUAUUAUUUAAAAAGCUAAAUGCUUUGUUUUUUCAUCUGAUGAAUAGUUGUCAUUGCUCCUAUCUAGGGUAUGAUAUUUAUUGGAUAUUUCAUAACAUUUUAAAGUGCCUCAAAAAUUAGUGGUAUGUAAUUAUAGUAAAAAAGUGUUUAGUGGAUGAAGGUUAGAUAUUCAAUGCUUAUCAAUGGUUUAAUGUCGAGAAGGUAAUAACAUUCUUGACAUGUCUUUGAGGAUGACAUUCCAACAUUUCUUAAAUUAACUUCCUAAAUAGAUCAUUACAUCAUGCCAAAAAUCAUUUUUCGAUAUCAUUCAAUAAAAAGUCGUCUGGUUGAAAAAAGUUUAAAUGAAUUCUUCAUUUGUAGCUUAAUUCUAUUUCUUUAUUUAUAAAUCUAAAUUCUUACAUGAAUCCCUCUUAUUUUUAAUAUGUAAGCACCAAGAUUUUUCAUACUUUUAUUUAACAAUCCAAUUUUUAUUGUAAAUACCUUAAAGACUCAAAUUUUGACUUCAAUAUGGUUUGCAUUUGGUAUAUUAGAAUUUUCUUUUACAAAUUUAAAAAUUUAUGGGUAUAUUCCAUUCAUAAGAAAUUUGAAACUAAUAGUGAUGAAGUGUAUUUAUACCAAAUCUAUGGGGAGUCUCGAUGAAAUUAAUCUUAUUUUUAUUUAUAUUAUUAUUAUUAUUAUUAUUAUUAUUAUUAUGUGAUUUUGGUUCACUAGAAAAGGUCAAUAUUUUAUGGUAUGCAUUUUUUGAAUGGGUGUUUGGUUGAGUAGAAAAGGUCAGUGUUCUAUCAUAUAUUUCUAAAAGGGACAAACAUAUAAAUGUAACUAGUUAAGAUAUGUUUAAAUGUUGAAAAGUAUUAUGAUAAAUUUGAUGUUUAAUUAAUUUAUUAUAAAAAAAUAAGUAAGAAAAUUAAAUUUAAUUAAAAUUAAUUUAAAAUUUAUGUAUUUUAAAAUUAUUAAAUCUUAUAAGGAGGAGAAAAAAUAAAUAAAAUGAAUUUAAAAAUAAUAUAUUAAUUUUAUGUUCUCUUGUUUUUUUCCUCAACAUCCCGAAUUACGGUUUUGAUUGCCCCAAUUUUUUUAGGAUCAGGUCUCAUGCGUACUAUUAAUCCAUGAAAACUUAUUUCAUUUAUUUAUUUAUUUUAUAUAAAAAUCAAAUAAUUUAAAAAUAUAAAAUUUUUAAAUAAUUUUAAUUACAUUUUUCAUAAUAAAGUGAAAUAUAAUAAAACCACUUUCUUUAACAUUAUUUUUUCUUUAUUUAAUAUUUUCAAACCACCAAAUAUAGCUUUUAAUUUCUAUGUUUUUCUUUUAUAUUAAUAAAAUGUCAUGGAAAAGUCCUUGAUUUAUUUUGCCAGCUCAUGUACGACAACUGUGGAAAGGACUGACAACACCAUUAAAUAUGAUUGAAUACGCUGAUAUUCAAUGCUUAUCAGUGGUUUGAUGUCGAGAUGGUAAUAACAUUCUUGGCGUGCCUUUGAAGAUGACAUUCAAACAUUUCUUAGAUUAAUUUCAUAAACAGCUCAUUACAUCGUGCCAAAAAUCAGACCUCUUAUUUUUAAUAUGUGAGCACCAAGAUUUUACAUACUUUUAUUUAACAAUCCAAAUUUUAUUGUAAAUACCUUAAAGACUCAAAUUUUGACUUCAAUAUGGUUUGCAUUUGAUAUAUUAUUCUUUUAUAAAUUUAAAAAUUUAUGAGCAUAUUCCAUUCAUAGAAAAUUUGAAAUUAAUGGUGAUGAAGUAUAUUUAUACCAAACCUAUGGGGUUUCAAUAAAAUUAAUCCUACUUUUAUUUUUAUUUUUUUUACGGGAUUUUGGUUUACUAGAAAAGCUCAAUAUUUUAUAAUAUGCCCUUUUUGGAUGGGUGUUUGGUUGAGUAGAAAAUGUCAGUGUUCUAUCAUAUACUUCUAGAAGGAACAAACACAUAAAUAUAACUAGUUGAGAUAAGUUUUAAUGUUGAAAAGUAUGAUGAUAAAUUUUAUGUUUAAUUAAUUUAUUAUAAAAGCAAGAAAAUUAAAUUUAAUUAAAAAAUUAUGUAUUUUUAAAUUAUUAAAUCUUAUAGGGAGGAGAAAAAUAAAUAAAAUAAUAUUAAAAUAAUUUAUUAAUUUUAUGUUCUCUUGUUUUUUUCCUCAACAUCCAGAAUUACAGCUUUGACUGCGCCGGGUUUUUUAGGAUCAGGGCAAUGGGUACUAUUAAUGCAUGAAAACUUAUUUCAUUUAUUGAUUUAUUUUAUAUAAAAAUCAAAUAAUUUAAAAAUAUAAAAUUUUUUAAUUAAUUUUAAUUACAUUUUUCAUAAUAAAGUCAAAUAUAAUAAAAUCACUUUCUUUCACAUUAUUUUUUCUUUAUUUAAUAUUUUCAAACCACCAAAUAUAGCUUUUAAUUUCUAUGUUUUUCUUUUAUAUUAAUAGAAUGUCAUGAAAAAGUCCUUAUUUAUUUUGCCAGCUCAUGUACAACAACUGUGGAAAGGCCCGACAACAUUGAAUAAGCUGAUUAGUUUUGUGGUGGAGAGGAGGCGCUCAAUUUUUUAUUUUUUAUUUCCUAUAUAUUAAUUGAGUGGUUGGUAAAAAGUUGAUAAGUGAUAAUUGCUGUCCUUUAUAUUAAUUCACUGAUCAGGAAAAAGUUGGUGAUUGCUGUCCUUUAUAUUAAUCGAGUGAUCAGAAAAGUUGGUGAGUGAUAAUUGCUGGGCUUUAUAUUAAUUGAGUGAUCAGGCCAGCUGGUGAGUGAUAGUUGCUGUCAUUUAUCUCAGGAAACAUCUGGUGAGUGAUAGUUGCUGUCCUUUAUAUUAAUGGAGUGAUCAGGAAAGUUGGUGAGUGAUAAUUGCAGUAGAGAAAGGGAAUGAAGAGGGAGACAAAUAUUUCUAGGGGAGAAUUGUGCUUCCCGCCCGCUUCCAGCCCCACUUUUUUUGGAUAAUUGGUGUACUCCUAUCACUUAUAAAUGAUUAUAAGAAUAAUGAGAUAAUAAUAGGUAAAACUAUCCAUUGAGUCAUUUUUGUCUCUAUUCCAUCCCUUUUCAUGUGCCAACGUCAACAAAUUCAUCCUUAUUUAACAAUUUUUAGAUUUUUUUAUUAAUUUUUUAAAACUCUUUUAUAAAUAAUUAAAAAAUCAAUAUUAUUUUCUAUUUUUAAAUUAUAAAUAAAUAAAAAUUAUAUUAAUGAUUAAAAAACUAUUUUAAAAAAUAAUUUCUAAAAAAAAUGUUAAUUUAAAUAAAUAAAAAUUAUCCUUUACAUUUUAAAAGUAAAUAAUUUAAUGAUUAAAACACUAUUUAAAAUAAAUAUAUUUACUAUUUUCUUUCCUUUUAUACUAAAAAUUAUUUUGAAGCUUAUUAUUUAUUUUUUACUAUUAUAAAAUAAAAUUUUUAUUUUUUUUAAAAUCUUCUUCCUUAUUUUAAUAACUUUUUUAAUAUGACUUUUGGUAAUAAGUUAUAUGAAAUGUUGCAAAUUUGUUUACAAAUGAUUUUUUUUAGCUUAUUUGAAUUAAUUGAAAAUUUAUCAAAAUAAUAAAAAGAAAAACAAAGAAAAAGGAUGGAUAGAGAUUUUUUAUUUUAAAUUUCUAAUUAAAAUGUUUUUCGUAUGACCUAAUUUUAGAAAUGUGUUAUAUCAAUAUAUAGUAUAGUAGAGAUUGAAAGUAUUUUAUAUAAAAGGGUUGAAUGGUAUAUUUACUUGUUUUAGAUGAAAACAAGUAGUUAAAAAUUAUAGAGAUUAUAUUUGAGUUUAAUUUAAAAAUAUUUUUCUAGUAUUUAUUUAUUUAUUUAUUUAUUUUUUAAAAAAUAAUUUUUAUUUUCUAUAUUGUCUAUUUUUUAAAAUACGUGUGAUUAAAAAUGAAAACUAUUUUUAAAAUGAAAAUUAAAAACCUUGUUUAAUACUAUUUUUUAUAUAAAAAUAAUAAAAAGAAUUAAAUUUCAUUUACUGAUUAUUCUUUUUUUAUUUUUUCUAUUAGUUAUUUUAAUAAUAAAAUAAAGAAAAUAUAAUAUGUUUACAAUUAAACAAAGGAAUUGACCAAUUGUGUGUUUUUUUCAUAAAAAAUAUAAUAUAUACAAAAAAAAAAAAGUUGAAUUUAAGUUUUCUGUCAUUUUCUCAACCAAACUAUCAGAAUCAUGUUUAAUAUACUUAUAGACACACAUUUACUAUAGGGAUAUGGAAUUUGCGUCACUAUACAAGGGUAUUCACUAACUGUACAAGGGGUGUACAAGACCACUCAUUGUGAAAUAUUUCAAUCAAUUCUAAACCACUCCUUAAUUUUCUUUGUCACUCACAUAUCGUACACUCAUGUCAUACAUUUUAUUUAAUUCUCACAUGGAAAUUCAAUGCUUCCCCUAGUAAUAAUGUUUGGGGAAAAAAUUUUGACCCUAAGUUAUCCAGCAUUUGCUCAACCAAACCAUUGGAAAUAUGAUUAACAUACCUACGCAGACACAUAACUUAGGGAAUAUGAAAUUUGUGCCACUAUACAAUGAUAUUACACUAACUAUACAAGGGAAAUAUACUAAAUGUAUAAGGGUGUACAAGACUACUAUUUGUGAAAGAUUUUAAUUGAUUAUGAACCACUCUUUUUUAUUUUCUUGUCACCCACGAAUUAUACACUCAUGUCAUAUACUUUAUUUAACUCUUACAUGAAAUUUCCAAUACUUUUUCCAGUAAUGAUGUUUAGGGAAAAAAAAUUUGACCCUAAGUCAUCCAACAUUUUCUCAACUAAACCAUUAGAAAUACGAUUAAUACACCUACAUAGACACAUAACUUAAGAAGGAUAUGGAAUUUAUGUUGUUGUAUAAGAGUAUUACACUAACUGUUUAAGGAAAAUAUACUAAGUAUAUAAGGGUGUACAAGGUUAUCAUUUGUGAAAGAUUUCAAUCAAUUAUGAACCACUCCUUUAUUUUCCUUGUCACUCAAGAUUAUACACCCAUGUCAUGCACUUUAUUUAACUACCACAUGGAAAUUUUAAUGUUUUCCACAAUAAUGAUGUUUGGGGAAAAAAAUUUAACCUUAAGUCAUCCACCAUUUUCUUAACCAAACCAUUGAAGACAUUAUUAAUACACCCACAUGGAUACAUAACUUAAAAUUGAUAUAGAAUUUGCACCACUGUACAAGGGAAUAACACUAACUGUAUAAGAGAAAUGUGCCAAGUGUACAAGAGUAUACAAAAUUCCUAAUAAGUUUUGUACGAUUUUUAAACAACUUGGAGCUUAACAUUAGGACGAUAAUUGAUAGUUUUUUUUGUUUUUUGUUUUUUGUUUUAUCAUCAAACUAUGUCAUUAAGACAUUCCCUACCAAAAUUAACACAUAGGAAAUAAAAUUAAAAUUAAUCAUAGUUGAAUUAUUCGUUACAAGUAAAUUAAAUGAAAUAUAUAUAUUUACCAUUUUUGCCCUUAUAAACAUAAUUUCACUACUCUUAGUAGAGAUUAAAAAAUCAUAUUUAAAUGGAAUUAAAAAUAAACAAAAGUUAUUUUUGUAACAUUUUUAUUUUUUAAAAUCAUUAAUUUAAAUUAUGAAAUUAGUUUUAAAAUUAAAAAUAUUUGUUGUAAUUAUAGUUUUGAAGAUUUCAUGAUUUUUAUCUUAUUACUUUUAAAAAAUUGUUUUAAUAAGAAAAUAUUUAUUUUAAUGGUUUUAAAUAUUUAAAUCUUUAUUUUAAAAUAUUUAAGAGUGUGAGGAACAAUUAGUUAAUUUUGUAAUGGAGAAAUUUUGAAUAUCUUGAAGUGCAUGUGAGUGUUUACAUUAUUUUCGAAAUAAUAUGAUAAAUAAUAAACACUAUGUGUCUAAUUUGUAAGUUAAAAAAAAAAAAGAAUAAUAAUAUUUUAUGAGGUAUUUAAAAAUUGUUUAAUAUAUAGGACAAAUAAUGUAUGACAUAAUUAUUAUUUUGUAAGUAAGAAAUAAAAAAAAUAUUUGCUAAGGUAUUUAAAAAAUAUUUAUUAUAGAUUUUAUAAGUUUGAAAAAAAAAAAAUUUGAUGAUGUCUAAUUUGCAAGUUAGAACAAACGAAGAAUACUAAUAUUUUAUGAGGUGUUUAAUAUAUAUGAGAAAUAAUGUAAGUUUGAAAUAAAUAAUAAUAUUUACUAUAUAUUAUGUAAGGUUUUUUUUUUUUUAAAAAAAAGAAUAUAUUUCAUGAGGUAUUUAAAAGCUAUUUACAUCAAAAAUGUAUUUGACAAUAAUAAUUUUUAACCAUUUAUUUCUCAUGUUCAAUUUGUUAGAGAAAAAUGAUUGGAAAAUUAUUCAACUUGGUCCCACUAAUAAAUACGUGAAAUAAUGUGAAAAAGUGAAAGAAAGAAUUAGAAAGGUGUGUGGUCAGUUAACUUUUCUAUUUAAUAAUCAAGGGACAUUUUAGGGAAUUUUUAAAGGCAAAAUCCUUCAUUUCAAUUUCUACUCUUUCUUUGGGCUCUAAGUUUAAAUAUGGGUAAUAGAAGGACCUUAAGCUAAUUAUUAGGCCCAACUAACUCCAAAGCACAAUUCUCCCUAUUUCUAGAAAAGCUUCAUGUCAUUGUACUACGCUUCAAUAAUCUGAUUUGUCCAUAUAUAUAUAUAUAUAUAUAUAUAAUUUUAAUAGUUGUAAAAUAUCCCUAACAACCCAAACUAUCCCUACUUAUCAGAAUUUUUUUUUUAUAAAAGUACAACUUUUUAAAAAUAAAAUUUGUAAAAUAUGGUAGAUUGAAAGUACUUCCAAAUCUAUUGCCAUUGUUGUUGAUGUGGACUGACACACUUUGAAAAACCAAAUUUUCUUCCAUUUAUUUUCUCAUUUCUUUGGAACGAAGAAAGCUGCUCUUUUCUUUUGUCAUUUCCCCAAACUGUUCUUAUGCUCUAGCAGUCCCUUUCUUCCCCUACUUACCCAUUUCCUUCAUUUUAUUUUCUUCUUCCCCGGAAAAACGUGAAAGUUCAAACAACGAUUUACUGGCAACUAUAGAACCAUCCAUUGUUCGAUUGUCCCCUAGGCAAAAUAGCGAUUCAAAUAGAAAAACCAAAAUAUAGAAGGGAAUGUGAUUAGAGAUUCGGAGACAUAGGAAAGGCCUUCAAGAGAAAGUUUUUGUGUGUGUUUUAUUUAUUUAUUUCUUUGUUCUUUUUUUUUCUUUUUUUAUUUGGUAUUGUGGCUUUGUUUGGUUGCUAAGAAAGUUGUAGUUUUUCUUUUAAGGGAAAGAAGAGGAGAAGAAGGAGAAUAAGUUGUAAUUCACAGUUUCUAUUGUUUGUUUUUUAUUUGUAAAUUUGUAAAGUUCAUGUUGAUCAGGAAUGCUUCUAUAAAAAUUACAUAUUUAGCUAGAAGUUUGAAUGAAUUGUUUCGGUUCAAAUGUAUUAAAAAAAAUGCUUAAUUUUAAGUUAUGGACUUUUAAAAUAAUGAAAAGUUGCUUCCGUUUUGAUUUUUAGAAUGUGAGUUUCCAAUGUGUAUGUUGGACAUGUCAUCCUUAUUUGUAUUGAUUAUGCAAAAUUUUCAUAAUAUAGCUUGCUAUUCAUUUUACUGUUCAGAUUUAUGCAUUUAGGGAAAUAUUUUUACCAUUGAAGAAGUUGCUUUAAUUAUUCCUGGUUUCAAUUUUUAGGUCUUGCCUUUUGGGUUAUUACUUUGCACUUUACAAGUUUAUGAUAUUAGACCAUCAAAUAAAUUUAGCUUAAAUUUAUUAUUAUUAUUAUCAUAAAAAUAUAAAUAAAGUUUAUGAUAGGUCUUGCUUUAUUAUUAUUAUUACUAUUAUUAUUAAUAAUAAAUAAUUAUAACAAUAGUUAUAAUAUUAAUAAAAAUAAAUUUAAUUCUAAUAAUGCUGAUAAUAAUGAAAAAAUUAUUUAACUGAAAUUUGCUUAAAUUUGUUUUUAUUACUACUAAUAAUAAUAAUAAUAAUACUAAUAAUAAUAAUUUUCCAAACUUCCUUUUUAGAACUUGUUUAGACAUUUCAUUACUUAGCAAUUGUGGAUAAUUUUUUUACAAAAUAAUAUAAUCAAAUCCAAAGUUGACUAUUGGUUGAUUUUCUAAAAUGGUCAUAUGAAAAUUACUAUUCUAUUCCUUUUAAAAGUCAAUUUUCUUUUUACGCAAAUACGAGAUUUUAAAUUUGCUUAAAUUUGUUUUUAUUAAUAAUAAUAAUAAUAAUUUUCCAAACUUCUUUUUUAGGACUUGUUUAGAUAUUUCUAUUAUUGGGCAAUUGUAGAUAAUUUUUUCCAAAAUAAUAUAAUCAAAUUCAAGGUUAAGGUUGACUAUUAGUUGAUUUUUUUAGAUGGUCAUAUGAAAAUGACUAUUCUAUUCAUUUUAAAAGUUAAUUUUCUUUUUACGUAAAAACAAGAUUUUUGGUAUUUUAACUAAAUAAGGUAUUGGGAUUCAAUCAUCACUAUUAUUAUUAUUAUUAUUAUUAUUAUUAUUAAAAAUAAUUAUAAUAAUAGUUAUAAUAUUAAUAAAAAUAAAUUUAGUUCUACUAAUGUUAAUAAUAAUGAAAAAAUUAUUUAAUUAAAAUUUGCUUAAAUUUGUUUUUAUUAGUAAUAAUAUGAAUAAUAAUAAUAAUAAUAAUAAUAAUAAUAAUUUUCCAAACUUCCUUUUUAGUACAUGUUUAGAUAUUUCUAUUACUUGACAAUUGUGGAUAAUUUAUUAUUAUUAAUAUUACUAUUAUUAUUGGUAUUAUUAUUAGUGUUAUUAUUAUUACUACAGUAAUAUUAUCAUCUUCAUCGUUACUAUUCUUAUUUUUUUUCUUAGUUAUUAUCAAUUCAAUCUUAUAUAUCUUUUAUUUGAUUAUUUUUAGGUACUUGAAUGGAUAGUUUGAUUACAAUUGUGUGUUACAAGGAUGGUGAAAUAAUUGAUGGCCCAAAUGGGAUGUGUUACCAUUGUCCUCCUCAAAAAGAUGUUUUAGUGAACAAUUUGAUAAAAUAUGAUGAGUUGGAGGAUAAGUUGUGUCAUGUUAUGUUGAUUGAUCGCACUCAUUCGAUAUUAUCCAUGAUAUUUCUAUAUUCAAUUCUUAUGCCAAUUGGAAAUGGGAACAUUAACCAUAUACAAUUACCAAUUAAAGAUGAUGAUGAUGAUGUAAGGUUAAUGUUUCAUGUUGUAGCACAAAUCCCACCAUCGAAUACUAUUGAAAUGUACUUGCAAACACAUCCAAGGAAUCAUUAAUCUGGGUUAAGGCCAUCAUUUGAUCAUGAAAUUAUGAGUUAUGAUGUGGAAGUACCAACAAAGGGGAAUUUGGCAGUGCACAUUGAUGAUAUGGACGGGAAUUUGGCACAAAAUGACGAAUUGGGGGGGGAAGGGGGGUGUGUGGAGGGGAGGAGGAGGAAUUUAACAGUAGUGACUCAGUUAGUUAUGAUAAUAAAAAACAAUUAUGUUGACAUCCCAUUUACAAAUGAAAAUGAUGAUGUAGAAUUUUAUGAUGAGGAUGAGAUUAAUGAGGAAAAUUAUGAUGAUGAACCUCCAACAAAUAAGGCUUCUUUAGUUGAUGGUCAACACAUUAUGCCUUCCCUAAUGUUUAAACAAUUGAAUUGGGAUGCAAUAAAUAGCAUGACUAUUGAGUCUCUCACAUCAUGUACCGGAUUGUGGAAUGAGUCCAAUGAGUUGCUUAAAUGAUUGAGAUUUGAGAGUAAAGAAGACUUGCAAUAUGCUAUAAAACGUUAUUCAAUAUGUUAGAAUCAACAUUUGGUUGUUUGUAAACGGAACCACAAUUGUGGGCAGUAAGAUGGAAGAAGUGGCAGGAAUGAUGCAAUUGGAGGCUUCAAGCAUGUUGUCGUAAAAUCCAUGGAAUGUUUGAGAUAACCAAGUACACAGGUCUUCACACUUGUGUUUAUCCUAAAUUAUCAUAAGACCACUCUUAACUGGACUUUACAUUGAUUGCAAGAGAGAUCCAAAAUGUGGUUCAAAGGGAUCACACCACCUCUAUUGCUAUAUUGCAUCAGAUAGUGAAGGAUAAAUUUGGAUAUGAUGUCCAUUAUAGGAGAAUUUGGGAAGUUAAGAGAAAGACAAUGCUUAGAGUAUUUGGUGAUUGGGAUGAAUCUUAUCAAUCAUUGUCAAAGUGGAUGAACAUCCUUCUACUAACUAAUCCUGAAACAAAGAUUGUUUGGAAGACAAUACCUUUAGGAGGGAUUUCUGGGAACUCUAUGUUUUAUGAGUGUUUUUUUGACAUUUGGGCCAAGUGUUGAAGGGUUCAAGCAUUGCAAACCAAUUAUACAAAUUGAUGGAGUGUUCUUAUGUGGAAAAUACAUGGGGAAGCUUUUAAUUGUUACUUCAAUUGAUGCAAAUGAUCAUAUAUUCCUUAUCGCAUUUGCAAUUGUGGAAGAGGAAUUACAGGAUAGUUAGUCUUGGUUUCUUAUUGCAUUAAGGUGUCACGUCACUCAAAGAGAAGGGAUAUGCCUAAUUUCAGAUCUCCAUGCAGGAAUAAAUGCUACUAUUAUAAAUCCAUCAGUUGGAUAUAGCCCCUCUCAUGCUCAACAUUGAUAUUGUCUUAGGCACAUAGUGAGCAAUUUUAAUGACAAAUUUAAGAAUAAGAUCUUAAAAGAGUUGGCGUAUAGAGUUAGAUCUCAACAUCAACCACGAAAGCAUGAGAAAUGCAUGGAGGAGUUAAAAUGAUUAGAUGAAAAAAAUGUGGGCUGGUUUUCAACGUUAAACACUCAAAAAUUGACUCAAGCAUAUGAUCUAGGAUAUCGGUAUGGAUGGAUGACCAAAAAUAUUGUUGAAUGCUUAAAUGGGGUGCUUAAGGGGGCACGAAUGUUACCUAUCACUACACUUGUUCAAUUAACUUUUUAUCGUUGUGUGUCUUACUUUGAGAUGUAGAGCAAAGAUACGUGCUAGAAUGGCAAUUGGAGAUGUGUAUACUGCGUAUGCAAUCGAUAAAUUUAGAAGAGCUGAAGCCAAAGCUAGUGGCCAUACUGUGACUAUCUUCCAUCGAAUUCAUCAAACAUUUGAAGUAAUUACUACUCUCCAUGGGUUUCAUAUUGAUAAAGAACAUAACAAACAAGUUAUUAAGUUGAACGAAGGCACAUGUAGUUGUAAUAAGUGGCAAUCAUUUGGCAUUCCAUGCUCACAUGUGCUAGUUGUUUGUGCUCAUAUGAGGAUUGAUAGUUGGUAAUUUGUUAAAAAAUACUACAAGAUGGAUGCUUAUGCAAGCAGUUAUGCUCUUAAAUUUAAUCCCAUUCCAAAUGAAUCUUAUUCGUUGUAUCCCGAUUUUCCUAUUCUCCGCCCGGACCUAACUUUGAUGAGAGAUAAGGGGCAUCCUAGAUCAUCAAGGAUAAGGAAUGAAAUGGAUUUGAAGGAACCAAGCGUUAGGGUUUGAUGUGGCUUAUGUAAAAUAAAGGGGCAUAAUCAUCACAAUUGUCCCACAAAAGAUGGAGGGCAAUCCUUUAACCCCCUUCUUCAUGACAAUUGAAGUAUGAAAGAUUAUCCAUUUUGAUAAUAUGAUAUUUUUAUGUAAUAUCUUUAUAUUUGUAAUCAUGCUAAUGUUAACAAGAAUUCAUGAUUAUUUACUAUAUGCAGGUAUCACUACACGAUGGAGUCGGGACCAUUGGUUCCCAUAGUUCUAUAUGGACAGGGUACACAUAGGUCAUCUCUAGCAUGGACAAAUGUGGACUCUAAGGAGCCUCAUGUCGACAUCACAAGGCGAUUUUCUAUCGCACCAGUGCUCUCGAUGGGCGUAUUAUUCCAUUGCUGCAACAGGUAGACUUCUAUGGUUUUGCACGCUUAGGAUUCAUUUCCUUAGAUUGACACCUUAUUAUUACAUUUGUCGAGAUGUGGCAACAUGAGACUUAUACCUUCCACUUACCUCAGGGGAAGUGCAUGAUUACAUUGCAGGACAUUGCCAUUCUUCUUGGACUACCAAUAGAUGGAGUUGUAGUUACUAGUAGCACAUGUUUAGAUUGGAGACGUGUAUGUUAUUCUUUAUUGAUAAUCUAGAUUUUAUCAUAUAUUUUUAAUGAUAAAAAUUACAAUUUCAAUAAAUAUUGAAUUAAUACCUUAAAUUUUUUUAAUAAAAUAAAUAGACAACAAGAUAUAGAUGAUAUAUAAUAAUACUACAAAGUGAAUUAUUUUAAGAUAAUGUUUAAAUUUUUUUACACACAAAAAUGUCUCUAUUAUAGCUCACUCGAUGGCCAUGGAUAGGUUGAUCUACUCUAUUACAUAUGAGUGUUAGGUUGUGGUUAUUUUAAAAAUUAUAUGGAAUUAUGUAAUGCAAAUUCAAUGAAAAUUUUCAUUUUUAGAUGAAAAACGUUUUUGAGGAAAUCCAAAAAUUCUAUAAAUUACUUAGUUUAGUAAAUGUCAGAGUUCAAGCUACUUAGUUUCCCUAAUUUAUGUCAAGAAUUUUUGUUUCUAUGAGUACAAUGGUAUCUCCGUACACUUGUUAGUUGUUCUUUGUAAAUUUUUAUAUAUAUUAUUUUGAAACCAACAUAAAAUAAGAACUUUUUAUCUUAUGUUUUAGAAUUUCUAUAACUUUAUUAUUAUUAUUAUUAUUAUUAUUAUUAUUAUUAUUAUCUUUUUUUACAUUUUCUUUUCAAAAUAUUUGAAUGUCAUAUUUUUUUUUGUUUUUUCCUAUUGUUUUGCUUUGUAUAUAAUAAUUUUUAUUUAAUAAAAUUAUUGGAUUUCUUAAAAUUAAUAAAAGUAUAAUUACACGAAUAAUAAAAUUACUUAAAUACAAAAUAUUAUCAAGCAUAAAUAUAGAUUUAUUAAACAAGAACUACCAAGUUUAUGCUUUUAUAUUCUAAUAUAAUUUUUUUUUCUUUUAAUAUUGCGUUUGAACAUUGGCCUCACUUUCAAGGGGAUGGCACCCUUAGCUGAAGCCUACAACAGCAAAAUCACGUGAAUAACACUUCAAGAAAGUUCAAGAAAAGUGUUGUGUGUGUAGCAUAAGUAGUGGCUUUUUAAAAUUUUACAACAACUUUAAAAAAUAAUUAUUUAAAAAUGGUAAUUUGAAAAAUAUUGAUAGAUGUACGUGACUUUUUGCCACGGGGAAGGUGUCUCUUCAAGAGAAACCUUUCAUAAUUUUCAAAUUCAUGAUAGGUAUUUAAAAGAAUUGAAUUUAUAUUAAAAGUGUCUCUUGAAAAGACACAUUUCCACAAUUUCAUAAAAUUUAAAUUUAUAUUACAAGUAUCUCAUGAAUUUGAUUUUAUAUUGAAGGUGUCUUUUUCUAUAAUUCCAAAAAAUUUGAAUUUAUACUAAAGGUGUCUCUUGAAGAGAUACUUUCCAUAAUUCCACAAAUUCCAAUAUAUACUAAAGGUGUCUUUUCAAGAGACCCCUUCCACAAUUUCAUAAAUUUUAUACGUGUCUCUUAAAUUUGAUUUUAUAUUGAAGGGGUAUCUUCAAAAGACAUCUUCUAUAAUCCCCAAAAAAUUGGAUUUAUAUUGAAGGUGUGUCUUCAAAAGACACUUUUCACAAUUCCACAAAAUCCAAUAUAUACUAAAGGAGUGUCUUGAAGAGACACAUUCUACAAUUCCCAAAAAAUUGGAUUUAUACUAAAGGUGUCUCUUCCACAAUUUUACAAAUUUUAAUUUAUACUACUAUGUGUCUCUUAAAUUUGAUUUUAUAUUAAAUGUGUCUCUUCAAAAGACACCUUCUACAAUUCCCAAAAAAAUGAAUUUAUACAAAAAGUGUUUAUUCAAGAGAUAUCUUCCACAAUUUGACAAAAUCUAAUAUAUACUAAAGGUGUCUUUUGAAGAGACAUCUUCCACAAUUUCACAAUUUUAAUUUAUAUCAAUUUUAUAUUGAAGGUGUCUUCUGAAAGACACCUUUUAUAAUUUUCAAAAAAUUAUAUUUAUACUAAAUCCAUAAUUAAAAAAAAAUGGGUUUAUGCUAAAAGUGUUUUUUCAAGAAAAAGACACUUUCCACAAUUUCCAUACACAGUGGAAAUUUUCAAAUUUAUGCUGAAGGUGUCUCUUGAAGAGACACCUUCGACAAUUCCCUAAAAAAAAUGGAUUUAUACUAAAUGUGUCUCUUCAAGAGUCACCUUCCACAACUAAAAACAAAUUGAGUUUAUAUUGAAAGUGUCUCUUUGAGAGACACUUUCCACAAUUUCCAUACACAGUGGAAAAUUUUAAAUUUAAGCUGAGGGUGUCUCUUCAAGAGAUACCUUCCAUAAAAGAAAAAAAAAAUUAUAUCUCUUAAUUAGUAUUACCUUAUAUACAACCAGAUGUUUAAAGUUUAUCACCUAUAUACAUUAUAAUCAAUAUUUUGACAUUCAAUCCAAAAUCAAUCAAAACAAGUAAACCAAAUACCAAUUAAAUUAGUACAUUUCCAUAAUAAUAACAAUACUAUUUUGUAUAAAAUAAGUCCAAAAUGGGUAGAUUACUAUAGAACUUACAUUAAUAAAAAGUUAGUCAAUCCAAAAUAUAACAAGUAUAAAUAUACAUCUUGAGUAUUUGUCUAAAAUAAUGAUAUGCAAAAUACUAACAAUAUCCAAAAAUAUAAGUCAUAUAUAGUCACAUCCUUAAUGUGUACUGCAUGAAGGAGCCUUCUUCUUCCGUUGUAGACGUCUAUGAUAUGCAUGUUCUACUAUUGGCUCUAUGGGGAUGACAUGUACCCCCCUCUCCCCCAUGAGUUGGAUGACCACGUCUCCUACCACAUCCUCAACCUUGUCCUCGACCACGAUCAUUCUUUUGUCCUCACUAAUCAUCAUUUUCUAUAUGAACUAACUCCUCAUCAACCAAUUAAACCUCUAUUGGUUGUAGUGAUGAUGCAACAAGUGGUACUAUAGGUGGGGUGGAUGACACUUCCACAGGUGUAAUAAGAGUCUCUUCUAUAUGUGGUGGGUUAAUGUCAGUUGAUGGUGCAUAUUUAAGAAUAGAUGUAUGCCUAGCCUUUCUUGUAUAAGCCCAUCCUCCUCUAGUCCAUACAUUUCUUGAUUGAGUAAUGGAUGAUAUCAACUGUUAUAAGGUGGUGGACUAAUGUUAGUUGAUGGUUGCACUCGGGCAACAAAUGGUGUAUGCCUAAUCUUCCUCGUAUGAGGCCCUCGUCCUAUAGGUCGUACAUGUCCUAAUCAAGGCUGGAGCUGUGUAGUAGCAUCAACACUAAAUGGAACAUUUAAGCAAUCCAUCUCAUGUAUGACCUAUAAUACGGUAGUAGAUAGUUUGCAAAUGUGCAAAUCAUCUAAAGGUGCAAUAUCAUAUAUCUGAUAUAUGCUGGUAGUCUGUAAGUCAAAUAGGAGAUAAAUUAAAUUCUUACAAAAAUAAAAUAAAAUAUAUUUAAAAAAAUAAAACAUGAAAAUUACUAGUAGCUCAUGGAAGGACCCAGUCUGAGUAAGAAACAGAAUAGUAAUGGAACAAUACCACACCAUAUAUGGAUCAUGAUACCCCAAUGAACCUAUAGCCAUCUCGCCUCUAGCAAUAUGCUCAUGCCUAAAGGUCCAACAUCGAAUGUAGUCUCCAUGUUGAGUAGUCUAAUCAACACCAUGUCUACCUCUCAAAUCACAUUUGUGUAAGAUUGAUUCAUUAUCACAUGGCUGAGGAAUCCCUUGACGAAAUCCAAACUAUUGCAAUACUCGAUCAGGUCUAUGCCAUUCAACUAUGUGGAAACAUAUCAAAGGUGAGAUAAUGUACCAUGUAUCUUUCCCAGCAAUACAAUAAUAAGGAAGACCGACAUUCAUGUUAUCAAUAUAAGGUUGCCAUAUAAUUUGUACUUAAGAAAGGUUAUAUAUAAUCGGUGGUAUGGAAUUUGUUUAAAGAAACAAGUGUAAGAAAUGAAUCACACUUCUAUAACCUGAUAUGCUAUAAGUCGAUCAAGAUGGUACCUAUAUUGAGCUAAGAUAUGCAUGAUAAUCGAAGUAGUACGAAACUCAUCUCUCCAACUAUAAAAACAAAAUAACAAAGCAUAAAUAAAUAAAUAAAUGAUAGAAUUUAAGUGUAUGCAUGUAUCAUCAUAAUAGUAAAAUUUGUGGAAUAUUACCGAAUGGCUAAUAAAGGUGGAGGCAACUGCUCAUCAUGUGGAGCUUUAUGUAAACGACAAGGUGCAAUAAAUGGGAACCUCUCCCAUACCCAUAAUUGGAGCAAAAUUAAUGGGCUAGAUAUAUUAUGUGUAUCAAUUUGAGAGGCUUGACACAAUUGUCGAUAAAGCCAGGCUAAACAGGCACUACCCCAACUAUUCCUACCAGCAAUCUCAAAAUCCUCUAGAAAGGGUAAAACAUAAGAUGCACCUUAUCACUAGACUUUCCCGAAUCUAAUCUUUUCAUAAUAUUUGUUAAUACACAACUAACGAUGUCUUGUCCGAUUAGCUUCUUUUGAAUCUAGAUGUUUUUUCGAACACGCUUCCUGAAGUUUAAAUUAGUUUAGAGAAGAGAUGUAUAAAAACUUUUUUGGGAACUUGCAUCAUACUUGAGUUUUGAUGCCUAAUUGUUAUUUAUCUUCACCAAAUUAUAACGUUUUCUAUGCGUCUUGAUUGCUUUUAAAUGUCAAUAAUUGGCUUUAUAAAUAAUGAUUUUUGAGCUUAAAGCCAAAUGUUUUAUGCUCAUGAGUUACCAUGGUGUAACGAUAUAAUAUUUAAUGCUUUGAUAAUUAAUGUCUGUCGAAUGAUAAUUAAUGAUGCCGGGAUAGCGUUUCCCGCCUAAUACCAAGACGGAAGAUGUUGCCUCCAAUAAAAGAUCGUGUGGUUUGAAAUGUCUCUUUUUCUUGUUCAAUGAAUGACUUUUUCUAUAGUAUAAUUUAUUGGAUUGAUUUUUAGAGCAUUUUAAAUCAGUUGAAUUACUAGCUGACAAGGUAUUUAUUGUACGUGGGUUUUAGGUAUUUAUUGCGUGUAGUAGGUGUGUGGUGGAUAAAGUUUUGAUAUUUAAUGCUUAUGAAUUAUUGGAUGAAAUGAUAGGUGUGUGGUGGACAAAGUUUUGACAUUUAAUGCUUAUGAAUUAUUUGAUGAAAGGAUGGUGGGAUCUUGGAAUUACUUGGCCUCCUUUAAAGAUGACAUCUAAACAUUUAGUAAAUUAAUUUAAUAAAUAUCAAUUCUAUUCUACAUUAUUUCACGUCACAUCAAAAAAAUGGUAAUCAUCACUUUGUUAAAUAAAAAUAAUAAUCAUGAUUAAAUUGUUUUAUAGUUUCAUUUCAUUUUUUUUAUAUUAUAUAUGAUUUUUUUUUGGCAACUUUAUUCAAAAGUUCAAACUUAAUCAUAUAUUUUAAGAAUCCAAAUUUUUAGCUUGAUAUAAUACCUAUCCGAUAUCAUACUAUUUUUCUUUAUAAAUUUAAGAAUUUAGACUCAAUUGAAUUUAUUUUUCAAAUAAUAAGAAUAUAUUUUAUUUCUAAAAAAAAUAUUAAAGAAAUGAUAAAAUAAUAUUAAAGAAUGUGAUUUUUUUUAUUUAAAUACCAAAUAAAAAGUUGAGGAAAUAAAAAAUAAAAUAAAAAAGUGACAUCUUUUUUUAUUUAGUUAAAAAUUUUAUUUUUCUUUUACCUUUUAAGGUUUGGAAAAGUGUAAGGUGCCAAACUUAUACCAAUUGAAGUUCAAAUAUGAGUUGUUAAAAGUUUAUGAUAAAAUUUUACAAUUAAGGUAUUAAAAUAUUUUUUUAAUACCUUAAUUUUUUAAAUAUAGUUUUUUUUUUAACCAUUAGUUUUUUAAUGCAAGGUUUUAAAAGUUCUUAUAUAAAAAGCUACUACCAUUUUCUGUUUUAAAAAAUAGAAAAUAUGAAAUAUAUAAACUGAAAACUUAAGUAAGUAAAUUUUUUAUUUCUUGGUUAUUAACAUUUAUAGUUAAAAUAUUUAAAAUUUAUAAAUAAAAAACAUUGUAUUUUGUUGUUAAAUAUAUAUAAAAGCAUUUUAUUUAUAUUAAAUAAUGGUAGAUGCUAAUAUCAUCUUUAUGUUAUAUUAUAAUCAAUUUUUAAUUCUUUUUUUUAAACUAAAAUUUUAAUUUAUUUAAUUAAAAAUUUUCUUUUAAAUAUGAGUAAUAUAUAAAAAAAAAAAUUGAAAUAAGACCAAAUUUGCAUGAUGCUUGCAUGUGACAGUUUGGCUGCCAUCUCCAUUUGCAACCUGGUUGGAAUCAGAAUCCAAGUUAAGAUUCUACAAUUUGAUUCAUGAAGUGAAGUUGGGUGAUCUACUAACUUCUAUCAUUAAAUUUAUGGCUUGGAAGACCACCCCUUGCUGCAAAGCUGUGUGGUGAUGGGGAGGUGCAUUUGUCCUUUCUUUGUCUCAUCUUUAAUUUUUAUUUGAUUUGAUUUGAUUUGAUUUUUCCUUUAUAUUAAUUGAAAGGUUAAGGAAAAUUCUUAGCCGGUAUAAGAACUGUGUCAAGGCUGAGCUCAAGUCUUCUCUCGUCUCGUCUUUGAGAAAUGACUCCAUUGUACCCAUGUAAACAAUAUUAAUAAAAUAAAGUGGGUAAAUUAAGUAACGGACUUCGACAAUUAAUUUAAUGAAUUUUUUUGGUUCCCUUAUAAACUUUUUCUAUUAAGAAAUGAAAAACUUCAUUGAAUUUGAAUAAAAAAUUCCAUAUAGUUUUUAAAAUGACCACAACCUAUUAUUUGCAUAGAAUAGUGAAGGCAUGGGAUAUUUUAUACCGAUAUUUUAAAGCGUUAAGUUAUAGGAUUAAUGUUAUCACACUUUGAAUAUGUGUCAUUAUAUACCGAAUAAUACCUAAAUAAGCCUUAUCAAAUGAUGAUGAUUCUAAUAAGCACCGUGGAUUGAAAAAUACUACACUAAAUGAUAUUGCACACUCGAAUCUCACAUUAUAAUUUAAAUAAUGACUCUUUUUAAAAGUGUUAAGGAAUCAAGCGUAAUUAUUUUCAAUUUUUGUAGUAAUGCUUUAACAUCUCUCAUACUACUAUAUAUCUACCGAAUAGGGUUUUAUUUUCCAUUGUUUUGUAUAAAACAUAUUCUAAUAUAAGGCAUGAUUGGGGUACAAAAUGGAUAUUAUUUUUAACAAUACUUCAUAAUUUUUAUAUUAUACAAUAUUAUCCUUUCAUAUAGAUAAAAAUUAUAUUUGAUUGUAAAAACAUAUUUAGAUGUUGAAUUUAAUUGUGAUAGCAUCUCUCGUAAUCAUUUCACCUAGUGAAUUUAUUUCAUCUGGACUUACUUUAAUUAUUUAUUUUAAUAAAAAAAAAGUGAAAUUUGAAGACUUCCAUUUGUUGGAAAUAUCUCUAUAAAUAUUGUAGUUCAUGAGGAGGAAAAGUUAUGAGAUGAAGAUGAACUUGUAAAGACUAUACGAAGUGAAUAGAGAUGUGAGGGAGAACGAGAGAUACUCGAUAGAGUGAGAGGGCUCGUGAUAGGGUAUGGAUAGAAAAAGUGGGCAAACAUGGGAUGUUUUGGGAACCCAAUAGUUUUAUUUGGUUUUAUCCUCUAUAAUAUUCUCUAUUGUAUAGUGGAAUGAUUCUCUUAUCUAUGGACGUAAGCUUGAUUGGCCAAAUCACAUUAAAACCUCGUGCACAUUUGUAUUGAUUAUUUUAUCUUUGUAUUCUUGAAUUAAUUUUGUUUGCAUGAAAGUUUUCACUGACAUAACAAAUUGGUAUUAGAGAUCCAGGUUGAAGACUUUUAGAAGAGCACAUAAGACGAAGACAAAAGAAAUUUCAGAUAAUGGUCAACAAUUUUUAACUAUAGUGACUGACUCAUUGUUUCAUCAUUUAGUGAUCAAUGAUAGUUGUUGUUAUCCCCUCUCCUUUAAUAAUUGAUGAUGUUAUCUCAACUCCAAUAAUUGAUGAUGUUAUUUUCACUCCUUUCAAUAUAUUAUAACUAACCAAUUAAUAACAUAAAUACCUUAGUCGUGUUUUCAUAUUCAUCUCAAACUUCUUUGGACUUUGUUGCCUUCGAAAUUUGAGGAAAAAUACUUUAUGCAAUUGCUUGUUGAAUAAAAAACAAAACAAUGUCUCAACAUCUUUCUUUCUUUCACACAUUUCUAAUAGCAUAUGUUAGAAUCUCCUCUUCUAUAUAAUCCUUAUUCAUAAGCUCUCCCAAAUCUUCAAAGAUAAAAGGAGUCCUCAUCUUUGAGCUUUAAAUGUCAUAUCCACUUCCUUGAAAAAAAUGGUAUCAUAAGCUGGAUUGGGAUAACCAUUCAAUCAACUUGAUUAUGAUACCAGACAAUAAUCCAAAAAAGACGCAUUCUUGACAAUCGUAAAGAAGAAAAAGGUUAAAAAAAACGUUCUCUACAAUAGUAAGGAAGAAAGGAGUUAAAAAAUAACAAAACACUACAAAAAACCUUUGGGAUAAAAGAAAGAAGUCUGAAAUUUUAUUCUUUAGAUUUAUCGUGAAAUAAAGCGCCUCAUUGAGAUGGUUUGCAAGGUGGCUCGCUUCACAGUAAAGUUGUACGUCUGGCCUCUUCUUUAUUUAUUAUUUCUUUUAAUUUCUGUGUUUUUUCUGUCAUAUUAAUAGAAUAUCAUGGAAAAUUCCCUGAUAUAUUUUGCUAGCCCACAUCCUAGAACCGUGGAAAGGCCGGAUAACAACGUUGAAUCAAAUAUGAUGGAAGACGUUGAUCAGUUGUGUGGUGGAGAGGAGGCGCUCAAGUCUUCUCCUUUGUCUCUUAUUUAUUUUUCACUUGUGUCUUUCCUUUAUAUUAAUUGAGUGGUCAGGAAAAUGUUAUUCAUAUUCACAACUGUGUCCAUUGACACUCAGGUCAGAUAAAUCAGUUCAAUACUCUAUGCACAUUUAAAAUAUAAUUCUAAUUCCAAUACAAAAUCAAUGUAAAAAUAAAAGAAAGUAGAAUAUAGUUUGAUUCUCCUACUUUCAACUUUCCCUGCUUUGGACUCUUGUUUUUCAAUAUCAGCAAGUGUAGAGCCGGUUCUCUUUGCCUUCUCAGAAAAGAGCUCAUCCAAAGAUCCGAGAGCCCUCAUCUACACAUCUGCAUUUUAUUUUCUUAUAUAACCCCAUCCUCAGCUUGCCAAACCGACCUUAAACAAAAACAAAGAGGCUAUUCUUUCUUUUUCUUGAGCGAAGAGGUUAUUUUGUCUACCAUGUCCGAAAUCGUACCUCUCCAAAAUUGACAAUUUUCAACAACAAAGGAGAGGAAAAAGCAAGAACAGAGGAUGCAAGUGAGAAAUGAAAGGUCCGAUGAAUGCGGUAAAACAACGUACAAGCCGGUUGCGAAAGCGAUCGCCAUUGCUCCCAUCCCAACCAUGGUGAAAAUAAAGGCCCAAAGCAAGUGCUUCUCAAGGAACUUCUCCCGUUUGCGCAUGGUCAUAAAAAAGUGAAGAAAUACGGCGCAUAGUGAAGACACCAUGGCUAUGGUAUCGGUCACAACAAAUGCUCUGAAAGCUGCUUUCUUUGAUAAAAUUGCCUUGCCAUCAUCCUCUUUGUAACCACCGGGCAAGGUGAAACCUGCAGCAAAAGUUACUGUUGUUAAAAGCGCGGACACUAUCAAAUGGGUUUCACCUUGUUUUCGUAAUUCAGAGGUGUAUUUCUCCUUGUACUCUUUGCUUUCUUUUUCUGUCUUCAAUUUCUUCAUUGACUUCUCCCGAGCCAUAGAUGAAUUACCGGGCAUAGCCCACUCGAACUGCUCUUGGAUCUGAUUCAGAAAUUGGAUGAGAGGAACAUUUAAAUUUAAUUCAAUUGAACAAUCCAUUUUUUUCACAUGCACUCAUUGCUGAUGAAAAUCUGAUAUAAGUGAAAAAUGCGCGUUACUUAAAUGCAUCAAAUCAAGCUUAUUUAUUCCAAAAGAUAUGACGUUAAUCGAGUUAUUUGUUUGUUCUAAACCCUUUUAAUAAAAAUGAUAUGUUGAGUGCAAAUUUAUUUAAAUUUCAACAUCAAUAUAAAUUAUUAAAUAAAUCCAAUAAAUUCAUUUUUUUAACUCAUAUAUAAGUUUUGGAAUAGAUGUUUUGCAAUUAUCUCUUUACAAUAAGAUAAACAAGAGUCUUACUAAUAAUGGUGAAUUCUGGUGCUGGGGUCUUAUGCCCAUCGUGAGUCGAUAGGCUACGGAUGAAAGGAUGGUAUGUUUAGGUUCAAGGAAACCAAUCAUAUGGUUAAAAGUAACAAAACAUUGCGUAUUUCAAAGAAAAUAUUUUCGUUCAAAUGAGCACAUGCAGUUUGAGAAACACGAUAUAACGAGCAUUUUUCAAUACAUGGUAACAAAGUGAUGAGGGAGCCUUUCCCUUUUCGUUGAAACAUUCUCCUUGGCCUUCAAAGUCAUGUCGUAAGCUGUCAAUUUUUCAUUGUUGUACUUAUUUAUUUAUUUUGUAUUUAAUUAACUGCGUUAUGGCCCUCAUGUGAGCUGCAAUAGUGACAUUUUUGUGUUUCAAAUGUUGAAUAUUCUCUAAAAAUUAUUCACUUUGUAGUAUUAUUAUAUAUCAUCUAUAUCCUAUUAUCUAUUUAAUUUAUUAAAAAAAUUAUAAGAUAUUAAUUCAAUAUCUAUUAAACUGUAAUCUUAAUUAUUAAAAAUAUAUGAUAAAAUCUAAAUUAUUAGAUAAGAGUAUAAAUAAAUAAAAUUAAAAUAUAAAAAAAUGUAAUCAAAUUAUUAAAAAAUUGACACAAUUAGAUACAAAACAAUAAAAGUAAAUUAUAUACAUGAUAUAUUAUAAUUAAUUCCACAAUUUUGUACGUACGAAUUUGAUAUUAUAGCGAAACUAAUCUUUCCAUCAUAUUUGUUAGUAUAAAACUAACAAUGUCUUGCCUAGUUAGUUUCCUUUGAGUCUCAAUGUUUUCUCGAAUAAACGUCUCAAGUUUGAGAGACUAGAUAGAAAAGAACUUUUUUUUGGAACUUGCAUUAUACUUGAGUUCUAAUGCCUAAUGGUUAUUUAUCUUCACCAAAUUGAAACGUUUUCUACGUGUCUUAAUUGCUUUUAAAUGUCAAUAAUUGGUUGGCUCUACAGUUUUUGGGCUUAAAGCAAGAUGUUUUAUGGUAAUGAGUGACCUUGAUGUAACGGGAUAAUAUUUAAUGCUUUGAUAAUUAAUGACUGUCGAAUGAUAAUUAAUGAUGCCCAGAUAGUCUAAUACCAAAACGGAAAAGGGAAUGCCUGGACGGAUGUUGUUGCCUCCGAUAAAAGGUUGUGUGGUUUGAAAUGUCAUUUUUUCUUAUUCAGUGAAUGACUUUUUCUAUAAUAUAAUUUAUUGGAUUGAUUUUUAAAGCAUUUUAAAUCAGUUGAAUUACCAGCUGACAUGGUAUUUAUUGUGGGUUUUAGGUAUUUGUUGCGUAUGGUAGGUGUGUGGAGGAUAAAGUUUUGAUAUUUAAUGCGUAUGAAUUAUUGGAUGAAAGGAUAGGCUUUUAAAUCAGUUGAAUUACUAGCUGACACGAUAUUUAUUGUGGGUUUUAACCUUUUAGGUAUUUAUUGCGUGUGGUAGGUGCGUGGUGGAUAGAGAUUUGAUAUUUAAUGCUUAUGAAUUAUUGGAUGAAAGGAUAGGUUUUUAAAUCGGUUGAAUUACUAGCUGACAGGGUACAUUUAUUGUGGGCUUUAGGUAUUUAUUGCGUGAGGUAGGUGAAGGGUCUCCAAAAAGCCCGCGGCCCACGGCCCGGCCUAGUGGGCUAAAGCCCGGCAGGCCCGAGCCCAUUUCUAGAUGGGUCGGGUCAUGGGCCCCAAUUUAGGCUCGAUCCGGCCCGACGGGCUGGCCCGCCCGUAGGCCCAUAGGCCCGCCACUUAAAAUAUAUAUAUAUAUAUAUAUAUAUAUAUAUAAAAUAUUCAAGAAAUAGAAAAUACUACAUUAAUAAAAAUAUUCAUUGCUAACUAUUUUAUUCAUUGAAUGUAUACAUUACAUUUGAAAAUGUGGGAAAAGUUUACAUCACUACAAAAUAAGUACAUCCCAACUAGGUUGGCACCUACUUAUUUCUCAAUCAUUGUACUUUUCAACCACAAAAAUAAAAAUAAAAAUAUGAUAUACAUUUAGUAAAAUAUUUUAAUCAUUAUCUUUUGGCGGUGAUGGCGAAAUAUCGCAAAUCCAUGAAGAUCUUGAUGAUUUUAGUUUUUCCAUAUCGACAAGCAUAUUUUCUUUUUGAAUAGAAUCAAAUAUCCUUUUAUCUGCUAUUGCCCAGUCUUUCACACAUAUAUUUGCUUCAAUAGAAUCCGGCGCUAAGCUGCAUCGUUUAUCACUAACUACUCUUCCAUCUGCACUAAAAGCAGCUUCUGAUGCAACUGUACUCACAGGAACUGUUAGUACAUCACGAGCAAUGAUAGAAAGCACAGGAUAUUUGUGUUGUUGUGAUUUCCACCAUAUUAAAAUAUCAAAAUCUUCAUCAUCUUCAAAUGAAAUUAAAUCAAUAUUAAGAUAUCUAUCUAAAUCAGUUGUGUUGUUUGGAGAACUAUUUGUUGUCUUCUUUCAACUUUUUAACAUUUCUAGAGCUCCUUUAUAAAAAGAUGAAGAGCUUGUAGAUGUAGGUAGUAAUUUAAUAGAACUAAUAUCAUCACCAUAUUUUUCUUUAUAAUAGUUAUAUAAAUUAUAUAAUAAUGAAUUUAGUUCAUUUUUAAUUUCUUCAAUUUUUAUUUGGUCAUUAAAAUAAAUAAUUGUUAACCAUUCAUCCAAAGCUUCAAAUUUCAAUCUAGGGUCUACAAUUAAAUCAAAAUAAAAAAUUAAAGGUAUUUCUCCCCAAUAUUUUCUAAAUUUUUCUAUCAUUGCAAAUAUUGCAUCAUUAAAUAUAUCCAAAUUUAAAUAUUUUUGAAGUACAAUAAAAAUAUUAGUUAUUUGCAUGACAACUCGGUUUGAAGAUGGAUAACAUACACCACAAAAUUUUUUUGUUGAAGUAUCAAAUACUUCAAAAAGAUCUCUUAAAAGAUCUGCAAUAUGUCAAUCAUAAUCAUUUAAUACAUCAAUAUCUGUUUCACAAUCAUUGCUAAUUAAUUAUAUUUCAUAUAGUUCUACUACUUUUCUAUAUUUUAUAAUAGUUUGUAAAAGUUUAUAAGUGGAAUUCCAUCUAGUGGGCAUAUCCAAAUUUAUAUAUUUUUUUUCAUAUUUAACAUUUUGCAACAAUAAAAAAAUAAUUCAUGUUUUGCUUGAGAACUAUAAAGACCCGUAGCAAUGCCUCUAAUUUUUUAUAAUGUAUCAUCAACGUGCUUUAAUCCAUCUUUUAUAAUUAAAUUUAAAAUAUGUGCACAACAACACACAUGAAAUAUUUUACAUUGAUCUUCUUUUAUUUGCCAAUAUCGUUUUAAUCUAGAUAUUGUUGCAUCAUUAUUAGAAGCAUUAUCUAAUGUUAUUGUAAAUAUUUUAUCACGAAUGCCAAAAUCUAUAAUUUCAUCAUUUAUUAAAGAUGCUAUAUUUUUACCAUUAUGUGGAGCAUUUAUUAUUUUAAAUGAAAUAAUUCUUUUAUUUAAUUUCCAUUCAUUAUCAAUAUAAUAAGCAGUUAUACAUAAAAAAACUACUGUGAGUUAAAGAUGUCCAAAUAUCAGAUGUUAAACAAAUUCUUCCUUCAAAAUUUGCAAAAAAAAAUUUUAAAUUUUCUUUUUGUGUUUCAAAAUUUUUUAUAAGAAUUCUUUUAACUGUAUUUCCAAAGCAACCUUGAAACUGAGGAUUAACAGCUCGUUGCAUUGUUCCCGUAAAAUCAUGAGUUUCCAUGAAAUUGAAAGGUUGUUCUGCUUUUAUUAUAUAACCAAUCAUUUCUUCACGACAAUAAGAUUCAUCAUAAGAAAAUGUUUUUAAAUUUUCACUUUCAUCUUUACCUAAUUGCAUAUAAUUUCUAAUAUCUACAUUAUUUUUAGUUUUACAAUUUUCAUGAUGCCUUUUUAAAUGACUUGUACCUGCAUUUGAGUCACUACUAAGAAGUUUGUUACAAAUUUUACAUUUUGCUUUUAUUUCUUUUUUAUUAUUUUCUAAAUUUAUUUCUAUUCUAUCAAAAAAAUUCCAUAUAUUUGAAAUAAAUUUUUUGCUAUCACAUGCAUUAGAUGAAGAACAAGAACCACUUGCCAUAAUUAUAAUUAUUGAUAAAAUAUUAUGCUAAAAAUAAUAAAUGUAAAAUUAAAAUGUAACAAAUAAAUAAAAGAAAAUGUGAAGUAUGUUACUAAAUUGGAGAACCGAAGUAGAAAUUCCUUCAAAUUUGAACUCUUUGAACCACAAAUGCUUGUUUUUCAUCACCAAUAAUAUUGAAUAAUUUGAGACAAAAUGCAAUAAUUGGAAAUAUUGUGGAAUGGGAGAGAGCUUAAGAGUUGAGAGAAUAGAAAAAAUUGAGGGUAUUUAAUAUUUAUAGGGAUUUAAAUAUUAGGAUUUAUUUAUUUAUUUAUUUUUUAAAUGUCAAGACCGUUCAACGGUCAUAUAUUUGAUAUUUAUGAGUGGCAUGUUCAAUGGUCAUGCGACCGUUGAACAGCCACCUCACUUUUAUUUUUUUUCAAAAAUCAUACAACAUUUCUAAUAUAUAUAUAUAACUAAUGCAAAAUAGUUAUAUAAAAGAGGGUCAGCUCAGUUGGUGGCUAGCUCUCCUUGAAUACUCAUAUAUCCAUAAGGGAAGGGGUUUGAAUCCCCCUCCUUUCAAAACUCAAAAGUAUUUUAAUUUUUACCCAAAACCCACCCAAGCCCGUAGGCUUGCCCGCCAAGCCCGCCCAGCUUGAGGGCUCAUAGGUUGGGCCACGGGCCUUAGAUUUACCAAGGGCCUGGCCCGGCCAACGUCAACGGGCUCAGUGGCCCGCCCCGAGCUGGGCCAUGGGCCUUACUCCUCCGGGCCGGCCGGCCCGACCCGGCCCGUUGGAGACCCUUAGGUAGGUGUGCGGUGGACAAAGUUUUGACAUUUAAUCCUUACGAAUUAUUUGAUGAAAGGAUGAUGGAAUCUUGGAAUUACUUGGCCUCCUUUAAAGAUGACAUCUAAACAUUUAGUAAAUUAAUUUAAUAAAUAUCAAUUCUAUUCUACAUUAUUUCACGUUACAUCAAAAAAAUGGUAAUCAUCACACUGUUAAAUAAUAAUAAUAAUAAUAAUAAUAAUGACUAAAUCUAUGUUUGUUCUAGAAAAUGCUAAGGAAAUGACAAAAAAAUCAUGUAGAAAAUUAUUUUCUUUAGUUUGGAUGAUAUGAUUGGAAAAAAAAUGUUAAAGAAAAUAUCAUAAUAUUCUUCCUAUUAUUUUCUUUAAAAAAAUAAGAAGGAAAAUAAGAAGAAAAGAGAAGAGAAAAGUUGAAGGAAAUUUUAUCGGACUCGUUUUCACCGAGUCUCUUAUUCACCUUUGGACGACGUCGUUGGGGUCCAUAUUACAUUCCUUGAGCAUGGCGUGGAUCUCCUGCUCUGAACAGUUAACAACCUCCCUCAAGCUUUAAACCAUCUUUCUAAGCGCCGUCGGAAUUACAGAAAUCCCACCACUGCCUUUUCUAUUCACGCUGCUCACACCACCACCGCCACCACCACCACCACCUCCUCCGCUCAUGAUUUCUCUCUCUUCUUUCUCUCUACACCAAACUCUCAUAUCUUUCCUCUCUUUCUCUCCUUGGUUGCCCUAUUGAUUCUGCUGCGAUAAAACAAGAAGAUUUCUAUGCCCCCACCCUCUCUCUCUUCCUUCCUACCGAAAACCCUCUUUCUUUCUCUCUCUAAAAACUAUUUUUAUUAUUAUUUUUUGAGGAAUGAUUAUAACAUUUUGUUUUCUUUCCAUUUUUCCUUGACUUUUUUUCGUGGUUAGUUGAAUAAAAGAAAAUGAAUUCUUUUUUUGUCCCUUGAAUUUUCCAUGGAUAACAAAAAAAAAAAAAUUAUAUUUCUUUCCUUAGCUUUUUCUUUCCUUCCAUUUUUUCUCCUAAUUUUCUUUCUCUUACAUUUUCUGGAACCAAACAUAGCCUAAAUUGUUUUAUAGUUUCAUUUCAUUUUUUUAUAUUAUAUAUGCUUUUUUUUUUUGUUGGCAAUUUUAUUCAAAAGUUCAAACUUAAUCAUUUAUUGUAAGAAUUCAAAUUUUUAGCUUGAUAUAAUACUUAUCCGAUAUCAUACUAUUUUUCUUUAUAAAUUUAAGAAUUUAGACUCAAUUGAAUUCAUUUUUCAAAUAAUAAGAAUAUAUUUUAUUUCUAAAAAAAUUUAAAGAAAUAAUAAAAUAAUAUUAAAGAAUGUACGUGAUUUCCUUAUUUAAAUACCAAAUAAAAAGUUGAGGAAAUAAAAUUUUUAUUUAGUUAAAAUUUUUAUUUUUCUUUUACCUUUUAAGGUUUGGAAAAGUGUAAGGUGCCAAAUUCAUACAUAUUGAAGUUCAAAUAUGAGUUGUUAAAAGUUUAUGAUAAAAUUUUAAAAUUAAGGUAUUAAAAUAUUUUUUUAAUACCUUAAUUUUUUAAAAACCAUUAGUUUUUUAAUGCAAGAUUUUAAAAGUUCUUAUAUAAAAAGCUACUACCAUUUUCUAUUUUCAAAAAUAGAAAAUAUGAAAUAUAUAGACUGAAAACUUAGUACAUAAAUUUUUAUUUAUUGGUUAAUAAAAUUUAUAGUUAAAAUAUUUAAAAUUUAUAAAUAAAAAACAUUGCAUUUUGUUGUUAAAUAUAUAAAAACAUUUUAUUUAUAAUAAAUAAUGUUCGAUGCUAAUGUCAUUUUUAUGUUAUGCUAUAAUCAAUUUUUAAUUCUUUUUUUAAAACUAAAAUUUUAAUUUCUUUAAUUAAAAUUUUUCUUUUAAAAAUGAGUACUACAAAAAGGAAUUGAAAUAAGACUAAAUUUCCAUGAUGCUUGCAUGUGAUGACAGUUUGGCUGCCAUCUCCAUUUGUAGUCGAUUCUACAAUUUGAUCCAUGAGUAAUAUAUAUAUAUAUAUAUAUAUAAAAUGAAAUAAGAGUAAAUUUCCAUGAUGCUUGCAUGUGAUGAUAGUUUGGCUGCCAUCUCCAUUUGCAGGUUGGAAUUAGAAUCCAAGUUAAGAUUCUACAAUUUGAUCCAUGAAGUGAAGUUGGGUGAUCUACUAACUUCUAUAACUAAAUUUAUGGCUUGGAAGACCACCCCCUACUGCGAAGCUGUGUGGUGAAGGGAAGGUGCAUAUGUCCUUUCUUUGUCUCAUCUUUAAUUUUUAUUUUAUUUGAUUUGAUUUUUCCUUUAUAUUAAUUGAAAGGUUAAGGAAAAUUCCUAGCCGGUAUAAGAACUGUGUCGAGGCUGAGCUCAAGUCUUCUCUCGUCUCGUCUUUAAUUUUUUCUUUUUCCUUUUUUAUGUGUCUUUUCGUUUAUAUUAAUUGAGUGGCUAUUGGAAAUGUUUUGUCCAAAGCCAAAUAUUUAAUUCAUUGUGAGGUAAAUAAAGACAUAAACAAAGUUUAAAUAAUAAAGAAAAUAAAAGCAAAAACUUUAUAAUUCUUAAUGAAUUUAUGUUUACCCAUGGAUAAGAUUUUAUAUUUAAGUAAUUUUAUCAUCCAUGUAAUUAAACUUUAUUAAUAUUCAGAAAUCAAAUUAUGAAAAGGCCAAAACAAUUGCAAUAAUAAAAUUAUGAACACUCCCGCACAAGUAAGGCCUAUAUAAAAAGUUCUUAUUUUAUGUUAGUUUUAAGGUAAUUUAUAUAAAAAUUUACAAAGAAUAGGUAAUUAAUAAAUGACUUCACCAUUGUACCCAUGUAAACAAUAUUAAUAAAAUAAAGGGGAAUUUAUGUAACCAUACACCAAGGGGCAAAAUUUUGCCUUUUGGAAACUUAACUUUUUACUUUUCAAAUUCAAUGGAUUUUGUGAAAAAUAAACAAUCUUUCAUACACUGUAAUAGUGAUGUUGAGACCCUUCCAAAAAUACCCUCCUAUAAUUUGACAUCUCUCCUAGUUGGAUAAGUUGCUUGUUGUCCACUUAAGCCAAUGACAUGACUCAGUUACAUGUCAUCAGCCAGCUAGACAUUCCACAUGGAUUGAUGUUUUAAACAAUAUUUACCCCCAAAUAUCUUCUUCUUUCUUCAACCAAACCCUAACACCAAAAUCCAUGUUCUUUCUUAUUCGUUCACAGGCACAACCCAUCACAAGGCGAAAGGAUCCAUAAAAAAUCUGGUAGGUUCUCAAAUCGCGAUAACCCAUCAACCCCAAACGAACCUCCAAACUUGAUCUCUUAUUUUGUUUCUCCUCCAUCACCAUAAGGAAGACAACAUCUUCAUUUUCCCACCAAACAUCAAUCUGAAAACAAAAGUCCAAGUGCGAACCCCUUAACAAAGGCCAGGUAGACAAAAAAAAAACCCAUUUCCUUCUUCUUAUUUCAGGAGUGACAGUCAUUUUUCUCCUGGUUGUACUUCCUAUUUUGCUUUUACAUCGAAAAAGGAGAAAGAAAGCAAUUGAAAGAACGAGAUAACGAAGAAUAAAAAUAUUGUAGUUGCAUUUAACUUUUAAAGCAAGGGUUUUUCCAAGUGAUAUAUAUAUAUGUUAUUAAAUUUUGUAAUAACUUUAUAUUUUGAUUUGUCAUUUUGAUUCUUUGAGAUUUGAAUAAUGUCAUAGUUAUGUGAUUUGUGCAAUUUUGUGAUUUAAACUUGAUUACAUUGCAUAUUUCUACAUGUUCAAUGUCCAUUAAUAUUGUAUCUAAAUUUAUAUUUUAAUUUAUUUAGGGUUUAUUUGAAAUGAAAUAUGGCUUAAAUUUUGAUAAAUGAUGGGAAAAUGAGAUGGUGGUAAGCUAUAUUGAUUUUGUUUUAUUUCUGAAUUGUUGUGUUUGUGUUGUAUGUGGUUGUUGGGAAGAAUACAGAAAAGAGAAGAAAAAUAUGAGUAUUGCAUGUGAAGGGAAUACAAUUUUUAGGAAUGUUCAAACAAUUUGUUGUUUAAUGUUGUUUAUAUGGGAUUCGAGAUGUUUUGUUGUUUAAUGUUGUUUAUCUAGGAUUCCAAAAUGAGUAAUUUGAGUGAUCUUUUAUAGUUGUUAAUUGGUGAAUCUAAUGCAUGGGAAAAGAAUUCAUGUUUAGUCAUGAGUAGAUGAGUAUAAAUUUUAAAAAUGAUUGGGAUUAAAGUUUGAAUAAAUUUCUUAAUAAAAGUUUUGAAUUUGUAAUGAAUAAGGAUUGAAUUGAAGAAGAAAAUAAAACAAAUUUAGUAAAGCGGGCAUGAAUUUAUGUGGGAAUUAGGGAAAAUAGUAUUGGAGCCUUAGGUUCAAAAUUGAUGGUCACAACCACAAAUAUGAAAUUUGUUUUGUUUAUGUGUGUAGUGGUCAUAGUAAGGGUCUACCCUUAGAUGAAGGGGUUGGCCGUAAUUCAGUUAAUGACAUUUGGAUGAAAUUAUUGUUUUCGUAAGAGGUUGCAGUAAGUGAAUUAAAGGCUGACCCAUUUGUUUGGAGGUAGGCCCUUAGUUGUAAAUAUUGUUGUGGUUUAAUCUGGAUAGUAGGCAAAAUAAAGGCUGACCCAUUUGUUUGGAGGUCGGCCCUUGGUUGUAAACAUUGUUGUGGUUUAAUUUGGGCAGUGGGCAAAAUAAAGGUUGACCCAUUUUUUUGGAGGUCAGCCCUUGGUUGUAAACAUUAUUGUGGUUUAAGUUGGGCAGUAGGCAAAAUAAGGGUUGGCCCAAUUGUUUGGAGGUCGGCCCUUGGUUGUAACAUUGUUAUGGUUAAAUUUGGGCAGUGGGCAAAAUAAAGGUCGACCCAUUGUUUGAGGGGGUGGCUCGAAGAGAGUAAAAUUAGCACAAUUUGGCUUGAAGAGUUACCAAAACAAUGGUUAGCCCAUGAAUUGAGAGGUUCACUCCCUAACUUAUAUAACAUAACAAAUUACUACGAAGUAAAAUAGAAUAAUUGCAUUGCUUAAUGUUAAGUAUACACUAUGCAUGUCUAUAUUUACACCAUUAAUUGUAAACUAUGAAAUGUAAAUGAAGCUCGUUUGUAAAGUUUCAAAGAUAAAUGAUGUAUUAAUAUAUGAUGGUCAUAGGCAUGAUAAUCAGUUUUGUUAUAAGUAAGUUGGUUUAUGCAGUGUUAUUAAGAAAUUAGUUAAUUGUUUCAGCUUGAUUAAAGGUUCAUGCUUCUAAACAGGGGCUGCACAUGAUCGAGUAGCAUUUAAAUGGAUCCAAAUAAUACAAUUUAUUGUUAUCUGCACAUUGGAGGAGAGCUAGUAAGGGAUGAACAUGGAAAUGUGGAAUAUAUGGGUGGGAGACGAGAGGGUCUAAGUUUAGAACGAUCAAUGACAUAUAAUGAUUUUGUUUCAAGGAUUUGUGGGAAAAUGAACAUCAAUAUAGUCGGACCAACAUUUUCAUAUACUCUCCCGUUUGAUUUAUAUGCACUUCAACCAUUGAAAAAUGAUGAAGACUUGACAAACAUGUUUCAAUUUAGUGACCGAUGUGCACGUGUAUAUAUAUGUUUAGCAUCAACAGUUGAAGACGAUGAAACGAUUGAGAAUGGAGGACAAGGGUAAGUUAUAUCAAAAAAAUAUAUAAUCUUAAAUGAUUCCAUGUAUUUAUUUAUUUUGUAAUAUUUAUGCUUAUUCAUUAGAUGUUAUAAUGCAGCUUGAACGAAACAAUCGUAGGGUCUAACUCACCGGUCCCAUAUUCAACAAGAGAUGUUGAUAUUAGAAUGCAAUCACGAGGAUUUCAUCAAAGAUGUGCUGAAUCACAUGUUGGUCCACUAGAGUCAAGUCGUUUUGAGAGUGCAAUAUUGGGUAGUGGGCAUACCUUCUCAACUGCAAAUGAAUUUCGGGAUGCAAUAUAUCUCAUGUCAAUAGGAGGCCGUUUUAGAUAUAAGUUUAAGAGGAAUUGUCUUGAUUACUACUCAAAACAUGCUAUUUUGUAGCUUGUAAUUAGCUCUUUUAAACACCCUUGAGUAGUAAUUAUUACCUUUUAACCCAAUUAACAUGUUAAGGACCCUUGCAAUCCGUUUCUAACAAUUAUGUUAAGUUUUGGUGCUUUUUGAUAGCUUUAUGCUCACCAAAGCAAUUUAAGAAUGAGGGAGAGCUAUUUAUAGUUCAUGGCAAAGCUUUUGAAAGCUUAAAUUUAUGAAGAAAUCAAGCUAUGGAGCCUCAUAAUCCUUUGCCUUAUUCGUUCAAAGUAUACAAGGAAGAAACAAUGGAGAAGAGGAAAACAGGGGAUGAAAAUAGGGGACACAGCUGCAGUCUUUCAUCGCACUUUUGGAGCACUUUCUGAAGUCCAUUUUUUACAUUCUAUAUACCAUUUCAAAGCUCAGAAAGUCAAUAAUCCAACGGUUCAAACCAUGUAUGAUUUGGAGCUGAAAUGAGAAAGAUAUGGCCUUCGGAAGACAACUGCAUCAAGCUGAGGGACAAUUUCGCACACCACUGUGCAAGGUGCGAAUUCCUCAGUCCACUGUGCGAGAAUUUCGCACACCUCAAAUCAAGGUGCGAAAUUGGAACUCCAGCGUGCGAAAAUUGGAUAUUUUUGCCGACUCUUUUUCUUCUGAUAUUUUUGUGUCUAAAUUUCCAUUUUCUCCUUGUAUUCAACCACUCAUGUAAUUCCUUAGCUAGGAAGUAUCCAAGGAAGGGUAAAAUUACCUUCCUAUAUAAAUUCUCUUGUAAUCACUGAAAAGGAUCUUCGGAGCUUUCUCCAGGAGACCAACUGAUGUAAAUUUGAUACUUAGUGAAAUACAGAGAUCUCUUUUGUUUUCUUUUUCUCUCUUCUAUUUUCUAUUUCCUUGCAAGUCAAACACCCUCUGAGGAUGUUUUCCCAGAGGAUGAGAGGCUAAACAUUUAGUUUCUUGGAGUAAAGGAAGCUAGGUGAAAAGUCCAGAUUAAAACAUGGAAAGUUUCCGUGCAUUAAAUUCAGGUAGUUGGAGUCCAUAAAUGGUUUAUAAAGCCAAGGUUUUGCCUUAAAUUCCUUUGAAUCACUUUGAAUGGCCAAUACAUGGUAAGCUUAAGGUCUCUGUGGAUGCUUAUUGCUAGAUCCAUAUCAGUCCAUUAGUUAUCAUGUACGAGCCAUUGGAAAGUGAUUCAAGGUGAUAGCCCAUAGUGUCUUAAGCCAUUAAUGGACCUUGACUACCAUCUCUAGUGACUUUUUAUGGAUUAAAACUUCAUUGUCAAACCUAUACCGGUUCGGGAAAUAACUAUAGGUUAAAUCCCCAAUGCGAGGAGAAAAAUCCGGAAUUUUCCACUUUGCAUCUGGCACUUGAACCUAGCAACCUUCAGCUCCGGGAGACUUUCUUUCUUACACUUUUUACUUAGUUCUAUGUGAGUUUAGUUUAAAUCACCACUUUCAAAACAAUUUUAUUUUCUUUUAAAUUUCAAGUUUGUGCUAAAGGAAAUCAUUAGAAUCAAUUUCUAAUUUAGAGUCUGUCACUGAUAGAGUGAAAACCCAUCCCUGAGUUCGACCCUAGAACUACUAUACUAUAGUAGCUUUGCUACGCCAGUAUAAGGUCAUAGGUUUUAUAAAUGUUUUUGAUUAAAAGACCCGGCUGGGCAUCGAAUCAAAUGGCGCCGUUGCCGGGGAUGGUGCCACAAUACAGUGAUACAACCUUUUAGAGGCUACUUGUGAUUUUCAUCACAACCAGGGUGAAUUCCUUUUUCACUAAUUUCAUUUUCUUUCAUUUUUCUUUUGUUAAUUUUAUAUUCAUUUUCUUCCUAACUUUAACCUUUUCUUUAGUUUCCUUUUGUUUUUACUAUACAGGAAUUGUAACUUGUGCAUGCCCUAUUGGAUUAGGGACCAAGAGGGAAGAUUAGUAAGGAUUGAGAAUCCUCAAGACACAGAGUUGGAUAUCUGUGUAAAUAUCAUGGACCCUCCACCAGAGGAUCAGAAUUCUCAACAAGGUCAAGGGGGUAAUCCCAAUGCAUACCUAUCCAUGAGGGAUAGAAUGCAUCCCCCAAGGAUGAGUGCACCCUCAUGCAUCCUGCCCCCACUUGAGCAGUUGGUUAUAAGGCCCCAUAUUGUGCCCCUCCUACCAACUUUCCAUGGAAUGGAGAGUGAGAAUCCAUAUUCUCACAUCAAGGAGUUUGAGGAGGUGUGUAAUACCUUUAGAGAGGGAGGAGCUUCAAUAGACUUGAUGAGACUCAAGCUAUUCCCUUUCACUUUGAAAGACAAGGCAAAAAUAUGGCUUAAUUCUUUAAGGCCAAGAAGCAUAAGGAAUUGGGUUGAUCUUCAGGCUGAGUUUUUGAAAAAAAUUUUCCCCACUCAUAGGACCAAUGGGUUGAAGAGACAAAUCUCAAAUUUUUCUGCUAAAGAAAAUGAGAAGUUCCAUGAAUGUUGGGAAAGGUAUAUGGAGGCCAUCAAUGCUUGUCCUCAUCAUGGUUUUGAUACAUGGCUCUUAGUGAGCUAUUUUUAUGAUGGAAUGUCUUCUUCCAUGAAGCAAAUUCUUGAAACCAUGUGUGGGGGAGAUUUUAUGAGUAAGAAUCCUGAAGAAGCCAUGGACUUUUUAAGUUACGUGGCUGAGGUGUCAAGAGGAUGGGAUGAGCCCAACUCAAGAGAGAAAGGAAAGUUUCCCUCUCAACAAACCCAAAAUCCAAAGGCUGGAAUGUACAUGUUAAGUGAAGACGUGGACAUAAAAGCUAAAGUGGCAACAAUAGCUAGGAGGUUGGAAGAACUUGAAUUGAAAAAAAUACACGAAGUCCAAGCCAUUUCCGAUACCCAAGUCAUGUUAUGCCAUGCACCAUUUGCCAAUCAUGUGAUCAUGUGGUAGAUGAGUGUCCAACCAUGCCAGCUGUGAGAGAGAUGUUAGGUGAUCAAGUAAAUGUUGUGGGGCAAUUUAGGCUCAACAACAAUGCAUCUUAUGGAAACACCUAUAAUUCAAGCUGGAGAAACCACCCAAAUUUUUCUUGGAAACCAAGGACACCUCCAUACCAACCACAAGGCCAAACCCAAGUACCUCAACAACCAUCUUCAGUGGAGCAAGCCAUUGUAAACCUGAGUAAAGUCAUGGGUGACUUUGUGGGUGAACAAAAGGCAAUUAACUCCCAAUUGCAUCAAAAGAUUGAAAAUGUUGAGAGCUCUCAAAUAAAGAGAAUGGAGGGGAUGCAAAAUGAUCUAUCUCAGAAGAUAGAUAAUAUUCAGUACUCCAUCUCUAGGCUUACCAACCUAAACACAGUGAUUGAGAAGGGAAAGUUCCCCUCUCAACCAAGCCAAAAUCCCAAGGGUGUUCAUGAAGUUGAAACCCAAGAUGGUGAGUCUUCAAAUUUGAGGGAGGUUAAAGCUGUGAUCACUUUAAGGAGUGGAAAAGAGGUUGAUCAACCCCUGCCUAAGGUGGGGCAUGAUGAAGAACUCAUAUCAAAGAGACCCUUGAUUAAUGAGAGCAAAAGCCAAGAAGAGAAGAGUGGGAAGAAGAGUGCAUCCAAAUCAAGCAUCGAGGAAGAACCAAGGAUAGUGAUUAAGGAGGAUAUGAUGAAGAAACAUAUGCCUCCCCCUUUUCCUCAAGCUUUACAUGGAAAGAAAGAAAUCAAGAAUUCAUCAGAAAUUCUUGAGGUUCUGAGACAAGUGAAGGUGAAUAUACCCUUACUUGAUAUGAUCAAACAAGUCCCCACAUAUGCAAAGUUUCUAAAAGACUUGUGCACAGUCAAAAGAGGUUUACAGGUGACAAAGAAUGCAUUCCUCACUGAGCAAGUGAGUGCUAUCAUCCAGAGUAAGUCCCCAGUUAAGUAUAAAGAUCCGGGAUGUCCCACCAUAUCAGUCAACAUUGGAGGGACACAUGUGGAAAAAGCUUUAUUAGAUUUGGGAGCAAGUGUGAAUUUGCUCCCAUACUCUGUGUAUAAACAAUUGGGACUAGGAGGAUUAAAGCCCACAACCAUGACCCUCUCCUUAGCUGAUAGGUCGGUCAAAAUCCCAAGAGGAGUGAUAGAGGAUGUUCUAGUUCAAGUGGACAAAUUCUACUAUCCUGUGGAUUUUGUGGUGCUUGAUACUGAUUCCACUGUCAAGGAAGAAAAUUAUGUACCAAUCAUCCUAGGGAGACCUUUCCUAGCUACCUCCAAUGCUAUUGUUAAUUGUAGGAAUGGGGUGAUGCAGCUCACAUUUGGAAACAUGACAUUGGAAUUAAACAUAUUCCAUUUAUGUAAGAGGCAUCUUUACCCUGAUGAGGAGGAAGGAUUUGAGGAGGUGUGCUUGAUCAACACUUUGGUUGAAGAGCACUGUGACAAGAGUUUAGAGGAGAGCUUGAAUGAAAACCUGGAAGUCCUUGAAGAUGGGUUCCUUGAACCCUCUGAUGUGCUAGCCAUUAUGUCUCCUUGGAGGAGACGGGAAGAGAUCUUACCACUGUUCAACCAGGAAGACUCUGAAGGAGUUGCUGUGGAGGACCCUCCAAAGCUUAUUUUAAAGCCACUUCCUGUGGGUUUGAAGUAUGCAUACUUGGAGGAUGAUGAGAAAUGUCCAGUGGUAGUUUCCUCAACCCUCACUAGUGAUCAAGAGGAUAGUCUUUUAGGAGUCCUCAGAAAAUGUAAGAAAGCCAUAGGAUGGAAAAUUUUUGAUCUUAAAGGGAUUAGCCCUUUGGUGUGCACCCACCAUAUUUAUAUGGAGGAAGAUGCAAAACCAGUGAGGCAACCCCAAAGGAGACUGAAUCCUCACAUGCAAGAAGUGGUGAGGAAUGAAGUUUUGAAGCUACUUCAAGCUGGGAUCAUAUAUCCCAUCUCAGACAGCUUGUGGGUGAGUCCCACCCAAGUAGUCCCAAAGAAAUCUGGAAUCACUGUGAUCCAGAAUGAGAAAGGGGAGGAAGUCUCUACACGUCCUACCUCAGGAUGGAGGGUGUGUAUAGACUAUAGGAGGUUGAAUUCAGUGACUAGGAAGGACCAUUUUCCAUUGCCUUUCAUGGACCAAGUCCUUGAGAGAGUCUCAGGACAUCCUUUCUAUUGUUUUCUAGAUGGUUAUUCAGGGUACUUCCAAAUAGAAAUUGAUUUGGAAGAUCAAGAAAAGACGACCUUCACUUGUCCCUUUGGUACUUUUGCAUAUAGGAGAAUGCCCUUUGGUCUAUGUAAUGCUCCUGCAACUUUCCAAAGAUGCAUGCUAAGCAUCUUCAGUGAUAUGGUGGAACGCAUCAUGGAAGUUUUCAUGGAUGACAUCACUGUAUAUGGAAGUUCUUAUGAGGAGUGUUUGAUGCAUUUAGAAGCUGUUCUCCAUAGAUGUAUUGAGAAAGACCUAGUGCUAAAUUGGGAGAAGUGCCAUUUUAUGGUGCAAAAAGGAAUUGUCUUAGGACAUAUCAUCUCCAAAAAUGGCAUUGAGGUAGAUAAGGCAAAGGUGGAGCUGAUUGUUAAGUUGCCACCUCCCACAAAUGUUAAAGGAAUUAGGCAAUUCCUUGGACAUGCCGGGUUCUAUAGGAGGUUCAUUAAGGAUUUCUCAAAAAUCUCAAAACCUCUGUGUGAGCUUUUGGUAAAGGAUGCCAAGUUUGUGUGGGAUGAGAAGUGUCAGAGAAGUUUUGAGGAAUUGAAACAAUUCCUCACAACUGCACCAAUAGUGAGAGCCCCAAAUUGGAAAUUACCUUUUGAGGUAAUGUGUGAUUCAAGUGAUCUUGCUAUGGGGGCUGUUUUGGGGCAAAGAGAGGAUGGAAAGCCCUAUGUGAUCUAUUAUGCAAGCAAAACUUUGAAUGAGGCUCAAAAGAACUACACAACUACUGAGAAGGAGUUGUUGGCAGUAGUUUUUGCCUUGGAUAAGUUUCGUGCUUAUUUGGUAGGGUCCUCUAUAGUGGUGUUCACUGACCAUUCUGCUUUGAAGUACUUGCUAACCAAGCAGGAUGCCAAGGCAAGAUUGAUAAGAUGGAUUCUUUUGCUCCAAGAAUUCAAUCUCCAAAUCAGGGAUAAAAAGGGGGUAGAAAAUGUGGUAGCUGACCACUUGUCCAGACUUGUGAUAGCACAUGACUCACAUGGUCUGCCUAUCAAUGAUGACUUCCCUGAGGAGUCUCUCAUGUCAGUAGAUGUAGCUCCAUGGUAUUCUCACAUUGCAAACUUUUUGGUUACUGGAGAAGUACCAAGUGAGUGGAGUGCUCAAGACAAGAGACAUUUCUUGGCUAAGAUCCAUGCCUAUUAUUGGGAGGAACCUUUUCUUUUCAAAUAUUGUGCAGAUCAAAUUAUAAGGAAAUGUGUUCCUGAGCAAGAGCAAUCGGGAAUUCUUUCCCAUUGCCAUGAUAGUGCAUGUGGAGGUCAUUUUGCCUCCCAGAAAACAGCUAUGAAAGUGAUCCAAUCAGGCUUCUGGUGGCCCUCUCUUUUCAAGGAUGCCCAUUCUAUGUGCAAGGGAUGUGAUCGGUGUCAAAGGCUUGGUAAGCUAACACGCCGAAAUAUGAUGCCCUUGAACCCCAUCUUAAUAGUGGAUAUCUUUGAUGUCUGGGGUAUAGACUUCAUGGGACCAUUUCCAAUGUCGUUUGGACAUUCCUACAUCUUGGUAGGAGUGGAUUAUGUCUCUAAGUGGGUAGAAGCAAUCCCAUGUAGGAGCAAUGAUCAUAAAGUGGUACUUAAAUUCCUCAAGGACCACAUCUUUGCAAGAUUUGGAGUGCCAAAAGCCAUUAUAAGUGACGGGGGAACCCACUUUUGCAAUAAACCUUUUGAGACUCUUCUAGCCAAGUAUGGGGUUAAGCACAAGGUAGCUACACCUUAUCACCCCCAAACAAGUGGCCAAGUUGAGUUAGCUAACCGAGAGAUCAAGAAUAUAUUGAUGAAGGUGGUUAAUGUGAAUAGGAAGGAUUGGUCUAUCAAGCUCCUGGAUUCCUUAUGGGCUUAUAGGACAGCUUACAAGACCAUUCUAGGAAUGUCUCCCUAUCGCCUUGUUUAUGGCAAAGCGUGUCAUCUUCCAGUAGAGAUUGAGUAUAAAGCAUGGUGGGCAAUCAAAAAGCUCAACAUGGAUUUGACAAGAGCCGGGUUAAAGAGAUGUUUGGAUUUGAAUGAAUUGGAGGAAAUGAGGAAUGAUGCAUACCUCAAUUCAAAAAUUGCAAAAGCAAGAUUGAAAAAAUGGCAUGAUCAGUUGGUAAAUCAGAAAAAUUUUACCAAAGGACAAAAAGUUUUGCUUUAUGACUCUAAACUUCAUCUCUUUCCAGGAAAGUUGAAAUCCAGGUGGACGGGUCCUUUCAUAAUUCAUGAAGUGCAUCCCAAUGGAGUGGUGGAAGUAUUCAAUCCCACAGGCAAUCAAACCUUCAAAGUUAAUGGCCAUCGUCUCAAGCCAUUCAUAGAGCCUUACAGUACAGACAAGGAGGAGAUCAACCUCCUUGAACCACCACAACUCUGAGGGAAAGCAGGGUAUCAUGGGCUAAAUAAGUCCAUGAAUUUUUUGUUAUAGUUUUAUAGUUAUAUCAUUAUUUUUAUUUCUUUUUAUUAUAAUUUUUCCUCAAUCUUAGUUUAUUUUGUCUUAAUUCAAGUCAAUUUUGAUGAUAAAUUUCAGAAAAAAAUCAUGAAAGAUGGGGAGAACUCUUCAAAAGCAAGACAGGGGAGUAAAACCAAGGAAACAGAGCACCUGAUUUCAAGGUGCGAAAAUUUCGCACACCCCAAAACCAAGGUGCGAAAUCCUCGGUCCAAAGGAGCCAUUUUCGCACACCCCAAAACCAAGGUGCGAAAUUUUGUUCAAGGUGCGAAAAAUGAUUUCAAGGUGCGAAUUCCCUAAAAACCAUUUUCGCACACCACUGUGCAAGGUGCGAAAAUUUUCGCACUAUGCGAAAUCUCCUCCUGGCACACGAGUGCCAUUUUCGCACACCUCAAGCCACUUUUCGCACCGUGCGAAACAAGGUGCGAAAAUUUCGCACACCUGAUUUCAAGGUGCGAAAAUUUCGCACACCUCAUUUUAAGGUGCGAAAUCCUCAGCUAAAGGGGUGCCAUUUUCGCACACCUAAUUUCAAGGUGCGAAAUUUGCAGGCCAAGGUGCGAAAAUUUCGCACGGUAAAAUUUUAAGUUCCAAAAAUUUUAAACGGACUUUUAAAUUAAAAUUUUACCCCCGAAAUUGUGCCUAACGUCCAAAAACGACUUUUCGGUUGCCUUGGAAAAUUUUAAAACAUCAAAAACCCCCUAAACCUCAUUCCUAUAUAAUCCCUUGAAGACCAGAAGCUCAAAGGACUCCCCCACGAACCAGCUGAGAAGCCUCUGGAAUCCCAAACAGUCGCCCACCUCCAUUUCGGCCAUGGCGAAGACCAGAGGAGGCCUUUCCGGCUCCCCAUCCUCACCGACACCUCGACCACAUCGAGCCGCCAUGGGAGCCGCAGCUUCGCCACCUGUUCAGGCCCCGGACAUUCCCCCAUCUGAGGGGGAAGCCCCUUCUCAGCGCCGAUACCCCACCAGGAGAUCACCCGCGGACCCUGUGCCACCCGCCGACCAAGCUCAGAGACCUGCUUCUCGGCCCCCUGCCAAGAGAACCAAGUUCUCGGGUCCUGGAGAGUCAGAGCCGCCUACAGAGGAGCCUCGGAUUCCUGUGGAGAUUACCCCCGAGACCCUUAUCAGGCGUCCCAUGAUAGCCGGACCACCGAUAGAGGGCAACUUGGAUUGCAGAGAUCGAUCCUUCCACUCCGAGACCUACUUUGAUAUAGAGGCCCUCAAACAGCAGCCAGAGCUCAGAGAUUCAUUCCGACUGCUGCAGAGGUAUCACAUGGAGGAUCUUCUCACUCCUAGGCAAUUCUACUAUCCCAGAGUAGUUAUAGAUUUUUAUCAAUCUAUGACUACUCGUGGCCUCCGCAAUCCUACCCUCAUCCAAUUUACCAUAGACGGACGCCAGGGUGCCAUUGGAGCUCGCCACAUUGCUGAGGCCCUCCGUAUACCUUAUGAGCCUGUGAUUCAGGCAGAUUUCAGGGAGUGGUCCUCAUUCUCUCAGAGCGACAUGGUCCGCAUUUUGUCCAGGGGGACUUCUACAACAUCAGUGUUGACUAGGAGAGAGCUUCCAUCUGGGAUGCUCCUUAUUGAUGUGCUCCUGCGUGCCAACCUUUUCCCCCUUCAGCACAAAGUUCAGAGGCGAGGAGCUAUACUUGAGGCGUUAUUUAGGAUUUCUGAGGGCUAUUUCUUCGGCCCUCAUCAUUUGAUUAUGACUUCUCUUCUUCAUUUUGAAGAGAAAGUCCAUCAGAAGAAGCUUCAAAGGGCAGAUGGCAUCCCAUUACUAUUUCCGAGGCUCCUCUACCAGAUUUUAGAGCACCUGGGCUAUCCUGAACAGCCCCGUCUUGAGAGGCGCCGCCAUUGCCGAGAGGACUUCUCUCUCGACAAAUGGCAUCACUUGGUAGCCUACUUUGCACCCCAGGGAGCCCCAGCUGUGCCUGCACCUCCAGAGCUACCCCAAGAUGAGCAGAUGCCUCAGGCCCAGCAGGAUGAGAUUCUCACAGAGACCACACCUCCUGCCCCUGCAGCACACCCCUCAGAGCAUAUUCCUGAGCCUAUACAUCCUAUUUCUCCUAUCACUUCGGGUGCUCCACCAGUCAUGCCAGCUACCCCAGCACCUCCUCUUUCAUCUGAGCCCACUGUCACCGUUUCUCUUACGGAAUUCAGAGGCUUAGAGCGUUCAUUGCGGACACUGAGCACUGCUCAGGAUUCUAUUAUCCACCAGAUGGCCACUAUUCGGGCACACCAGGAUCAGAUCAUUGCUACUCAGGCCCAGCAUACCACGAUCCUUCAUCAGAUUCAGCAACAUUUGAGUUUGCAGACACCUUUUGGGCAUGAUAGGUCUGCACCAUCCGAGCCUCUAGAGCUAGAUACGGAAAGCUUACUAGCUGAGCAGCCCAUACCAGAGGAGGAGAUCAGAGCAGAGCCAUCACAUGACACCCCUCAUAUUUGAUAUUUUUAUAUUUUACUUGUUUUUUAUUUUAGACUUGUAAAUCCCAUCUUUUGCAUGUGUUAUAAACUGGGAUUGGAAGUAUUACUUGAAAUCAUACAUUGUAUAUUUCUUUUACAAGUAAUAUAUAUAUAUAUAUAUAUAUAUAUAUAUCCUUUUUGAUUAUAUUCCCUUUUCUCAUUACUCUUUUGUCCUUGGAACAUGUGGUUUAAGGUACUCCAUACCUCCUUUACACUCAGACUUUGUCUCACUCAGGAGGUACCACUUCCUCCCUUUAUUUUUAAUUGGGGGGAGAGUUGAGAAAGGAAGUUUUGUGUUAAUACUAAGUUAUUUUGGUAUUUUUAGUUGAUUUUGGUAUUUUUAGUUGAUUUUUGCUUAAAAUUUAAAAUUUUUAAAAGUUUUUUGAAUCAUUCUCUAUGGUUGUUAAAGAUAAUUUCUCAAAAAUAAAAUAGGAUAAGUCGAGUUUUAACUUAAUUAUUUAAGUCUUAGAGUUUGUUUUAUGCUUUCAAAGUUGAUAAUCUAUUGAAGCCUCUUUGAUUUAGAACUUUCUUCUUCCAUUUCAAGCUUUACACACACUGUGCACAUUAGAUCCCGGAUAUAUGAUGUAAAACUUUCUACCUUCUAAGCUUAGAAAAAUUUUGACUUGGUUCAUUACUUAACCUCUCUUUAAUAGUGUUGGAACACCUCAUAAAGACCAAUGAGUCUUUGAAAAAAAAAAAAAAAAAAAAAAGAAGAAUAAGCUUCUAUUCUUUCCUUGAAACCUAAGCAUGAUCCGAAGGGGUAGCGAAAGCCUUUAAAACCCGAUGCCCUAAACCUUGAUUGGUUGGGAGUCAUCGAUCCUCUGCUUGCUACAUAGGUGAAUUGGUUAAGAUUAGUGAGUAAAAAGAAUUGUGAAUAAGAAGGUGUGUUCCUAACCUAUUAAGAGUUGAUUAAUUUUGCCAAUGUUCGAGAAAAGCUUAGGUUGGAGGGUGAGGAUAGUUGUAUAUACUAUAUCCGGAAGCUAAUCUCGUUAACACUUAGCUUAUUAUGGAAGAGUUUGAUUUGGAACCUUGAGAGUAGAGAUUCUUUUGAUACCUAAUUGCAUAAUCUCCACUCUUUGUACUUUUUGUUUAAGUUUUAAGCUUUGAUAACUCCUGUUGCAUUUUGAAUCUUCAUAUCUUUAGUUAGCCAGGUGAGAUGAGUUUGGAUAUCAGUCAUGCCUCUCAAUUAUUUUUUGGAAAUGAAUUGCAUGACCUCUUUUAUGUAUAUUAUUACGUUUGCUUAGUUUUUCUCUCCUUAAUUGCUAAGGGACUAGCAAUAUGUCGGUUGGGGGGAGUGAUUACUACUCAAAACAUGCUAUUUUGUAGCUUGUAAUUAGCUCUUUUAAACACCCUUGAGUAGUAAUUAUUACCUUUUAACCCAAUUAACAUGUUAAGGACCCUUGCAAUCCGUUUCUAACAAUUAUGUUAAGUUUUGGUGCUUUUUGAUAGCUUUAUGCUCACCAAAGCAAUUUAAGAAUGAGGGAGAGCUAUUUAUAGUUCAUGGCAAAGCUUUUGAAAGCUUAAAUUUAUGAAGAAAUCAAGCUAUGGAGCCUCAUAAUCCUUUGCCUUAUUCGUUCAAAGUAUACAAGGAAGAAACAAUGGAGAAGAGGAAAACAGGGGAUGAAAACAGGGGACACAGCUGCAGUCUUUCAUCGCACUUUUGGAGCACUUUCCGAAGUCCAUUUUUUACAUUCUAUAUACCAUUUCAAAGCUCAGAAAGUCAAGAAUCCAACGGUUCAAACCAUGUACGAUUUGGAGCUGAAAUGAGAAAGAUAUGGCGUUCGGAAGACAACUGCAUCAAGCUGAGGGACAAUUUCGCACACCACUGUGCAAGGGUGCGAAUUCCUCAGUCCACUGUGCGAGAAUUUCGCACACCUCAAAUCAAGGUGCGAAAUUGGAACUCCAGCGUGCAAAAAUUGGAUAUUUUUGCCGACUCUUUUUCUUCUGAUAUUUUUGUGUCUAAAUUUCCAUUUUCUCCUUGUAUUCAACCAUUCAUGUAAUUCCUUAGCUAGGAAGUAUCCAAGGAAGGGUAAAAUUACCUUCCUAUAUAAAUUCUCUUGUAAUCACUGAAAAGGAUCUUCGGAGCUUUCUCCAGGAGACCAACUGAUGUAAAUUUGAUACUUAGUGAAAUACAGAGAUCUCUUUUGUUUUCUUUUUCUCUCUUCUAUUUUCUAUUUCCUUGCAAGCCAAACACCCUCUGAGGAUGUUUUCCCAGAGGAUGAGAGGCUAAACAUUUAGUUUCUUGGAGUAAAGGAAGCUAGGUGAAAAGUCCAGAUUAAAACAUGGAAAGUUUCCGUGCAUUAAAUUCAGGUAGUUGGAGUCCAUAAAUGGUUUAUAAAGCCAAGGUUUUGCCUUAAAUUCCUUUGAAUCACUUUGAAUGGCCAAUACAUGGUAAGCUUAAGGUCUCUGUGGAUGCUUAUUGCUAGAUCCAUAUCAGUCCAUUAGUUAUCAUGUACGAGCCAUUGGAAAGUGAUUCAAGGUGAUAGCCCAUCUAAGCCAUUAAUGGACCUUGACUACCAUCUCUAGUGACUUUUUAUGGAUUAAAACUUCAUUGUCAAACCUAUACCGGUUCGGGAAAUAACUAUAGGUUAAAUCCCCAAUGCGAGGAGAAAAAUCCGGAAUUUUCCACUUUGCAUCUGGCACUUGAACCUAGCAACCUUCAGCUCCGGGAGACUUUCUUUCUUACACUUUUUACUUAGUUCUAUGUGAGUUUAGUUUAAAUCACCACUUUCAAAACAAUUUUAUUUUCUUUUAAAUUUCAAGUUUGUGCUAAAGGAAAUCAUUAGAAUCAAUUUCUAAUUUAGAGUCUGUCACUGAUAAAGUGAAAACCCAUCCCUGAGUUCGACCCUAGAACUACUAUACUAUAGUAGCUUUGCUACGCCAGUAUAAGGUCAUAGGUUUUAUAAAUGUUUUUGAUUAAAAGACCCGGCUGGGCAUCGAAUCAUGUCUUAAGCAUAUGACUGUAAUAUGUGUUGUUGAAGGAUGCCCUUGGAAAGUAACUGCUCGUGCUGUUGGGAGAACAAAAAUAGUUCAAGUGCAUACAUUUAUAAAUGAACAUAACCACUCUUUAGAAGAUGUGUCAAUUUCCGAACCAGUAGUUCGUUGUAAUCGAGCCACAGCUAUGAUUGAUGAUGUUAUUCGUUCAAAUCCAGAUUACUUACCCCGUCAAAUAUGUAAAGACUUUCGUCGACAAUACGGAAUGCAAUUGAAUUAUUGUCAAGCAUGGAACUUGAAAGAGAAGGCUAAAGAACGAAUUCAUGGUGUGCUGCAAUGUUCAUAUAAGUUGUUACCUUGGUUAUGUACAAGGCUUAUUGAAACAAAUCCAGGGACGAUUGCUGAAUAUAGAUGUUCGGAUGAUGGUCAUUUUAUGCAAUUGUUUGUUGCCCUUUCAGUGUCAAUUCAUGGGUUUCAACUAGGAUGUCGGCCUAUUAUAUCAAUAGAUUCAUCCCACAUGAGUGGGCCAUACAAGGGUGCUUUAUUUUCAGCUUCUUCCUAUGAUGCUGACGAUGACAUGUUUCCACUUGCUUAUGGCUUAUUUAGCUCUGAGAAUUACGAGGAUUAACUUUGGUUUUUAGAGAAAUUGAAUAUGGUCAUAGGUGAAAGAGAUGUUAUAAUAAUAUCUGAUAGGCACAAAAGGAUUAUCCGUAGUGUUUCAGAGGUAUUUGGUAGUGAAAACCAUGCACAUUGCUAUCGUCACAUUAAAGAAAACUUCAGUAGCUUUCUAACAAAGCUAAACACUAAAGGGAGGAAAGGAAAGGAAAAUGCUUUGCAAAUGCUUGAUUCUAUCGCCUAUGUUAGGUUAGAUUGUGAUUAUGAGGUUGCAAUGGAUACUUUAAGGACAUUUAAUCAUGAUUUGGCGAAGUGGGUUGAAGAAAAUAACCCUCAACAUUGGGCAAUCUCUAAAUUUAAGAAGAUGCGUUGGGAUAAGAUGACAAGUAAUUUGGCCGAGUCUUUCAAUUCUUGGUUAAGACAUGAACGACACCAUAACAUUUGUGUUUUCUUCAUCGAGCAUAUGGAUAAGUUAGGAUCUCUUUUAGUCAAGCAUAAAAAUGGACUUGUAAAAUGGAAUGGGUGUAUUGGUCCUAAAACAGAAGAAAAGAUUGCAUUGAACAUUGGAAAAGGUGAAAAUUAUAUCACUUAUUUACACUUAGGUAGUUCGAUGAAAGUAUCCAAUGGAAAAGCAUUCCUGGAAGUGGACUUAAUGGAGCGAACUUGCACAUGUAAAGCAUGGCAAAUGUCUGGAAUCCCAUGUGAUCAUGCUUGUGCAGCUAUACGGCGAAUGGGGUUUGAUGUAUCUGAUUAUGUUGAUGACUGGUAUAAGUACAAUUUGCAAGAGAAGAUAUACUCUGGAAGCAUGCGUACUUUGGUAACGCAUGACAUGCCAAUGAUUGAUGAAGAUGGAACCGUUCGUGAUGCCUUGGGUCAUACUUAUCCCUUUCUUAAUCCUCCAACCACAAAGCGACCUCCUGGAAGACCUAGGAAACGUCGAAUCGAGUCUCAAUUCAUGUAAAAAAAAACAAUUCAUUGUUCUCAUUGUAAUUAGCCUGGGCAUAAUCGUGCGACAUGUAACAACCCAUUGCUGUAAGUUUUUUUUUAUUAAACUUCAUAAUGUAAGAUCGACUUUAUAUUAGUAUGAAAUAGUUUGGUAAUCUUCGUUACUGUUUCAUUGAUUAUAAGCAAUGAGUAAUUUAUUGGAUUUGAAGUGUUUGGUGUACAUAUAUUGUGAUUGUAUGUUGUUCUUCAAUAUUAUGGGAUAUGUUACAUGAUAAUGUAAUUGUAAUAGAAAAAUAUGUACCUUGGUCAUUAUUGUUCAAAGAUGGCAUUGAAGUGACAUAGAUUCAUAUGGCGUCCUUGGCAAAAAAACGAGAUUGUUAACUAGUGGGCAUAAUCGUGGCGAACCUUUACAUGUAGGGGCUGCUACUUUUUGGCUGAUGACCCUUAAGCAUAUUAUUUAGUUUUGUGUGAAAUGGGCAGUAGCCAAAAUAAGGUUGUGCCUAUUAGAUCAUAGGCAACCCUAUCGUUUUUCAUCUUUAAAAUUGGUUUCGUGUUAUGUGAGGUGUCUGUAAAAGGGAGGUUGAACCAUUAACACCAUGGGAAGACAUUCGAACAUUAGUUUAGUAUGUUAUGUGUAGAAGGCAAUCUAGGGGCGCACCUUCCAUUUGAAAGGCAUGCCUAUGUGUUAAUGAUAUUAUAUAACUAUACUACAUGCAGAAGGCAAAGCAGGGGUGCACCCUUGGUUGCAUAGGUAUGCCCAUGGGUAUGAUAACUUUAUUGGGAAAUUCUAUAUGCAGUAUGCAAAGUAGGGGCACACCCUUGAUUUUAGGGGCAUGCCUAUUGCUAAAACCAUUAUAUUGGUAGGCUAUGUGCAGUAGUCAACCUAAGAGCAAAACCUUGAUGGAAGACACAUAAAUGUGGGUGAAAAACUUCUUUUUGUUAAGCUACUUGCAGUAGGAAAAAGAAAGACAUGACUCUCUAUCAGAGGCAUGCCUUUAGGAUGACUAGAGUUGAGGUGUGGGUUGGGCAGUAAGGCAAAUGGAGGCAUACUGAUAGCUUAAAGGUUGGCCCUUGAUGUUCAUAUGAAAUAAACGUUGGAAAUGAUUCCUUGUUGAUUCAAAAUCAUAGAUUUUUUCUAAAAAUUUAAUUGUUCAAUUUUUAAUUUAUUUUUUAUUAUCUUAAUUUUUUUAACUACUUUUUUUAUUUAGCUCAUUAAUAAUUUUUUUUUAUUUAUCCGUUUACUUUUAUUUAAUUUCAAAAUUUUGUAUUUUUAAAUAUUACAAAAAUAGUUGUGCUUAGAAUAUGUUACAAUAUAACAAAAAAUAUAAUGAAGUCCUAAUAUUUUAUAACUAAAAAUUAAUUUGAUUAGAUAAAUGAUUAAUAAUUUUAAUUAUUUAAAUAAAUUAAUUUUAAUAGAAAAAUUGCCACCACAUAUUUGUAAUAAAUUUUUAGAAAUCAUAUCUCAAAUCAAAUAUUUGAUAUAAAUCAAUUUAGUUUUUAUUUAAAAUUUAAUAAAAUAUAUUUUAAUAAAAGUAUUUUUUAAUUUUAAAAUAAAUAACUUAAAUAUAUUAAAUGUAAUUAUGACCCAUCCAUGCUCAGAUGGGGGUCCCGGAAUCACUAGACUUGGAUGUACCAAAUUCAAUGAAGGAUGUACCAAAUUUAAUUAAGGAUGUACCAAAUUUUGUUAAAGAUGUACUAAGGGCUCCAAAGUGUGAUACGAAGUGGGGAUCGGCUCCAAAUCACUCUGUUAUGGGUUUCUAAAUAAAAUAGUGGCUCAUCCAUGGUCAGAAGAGGGUCCCGCAAUCACUAAGCUCGGAUAGACCAAAUUUAAUGAAGGAUGUACCAAAUUUUGUGAAGGAUGUACCAAGGGUUCGAAAAUGCGUUCCGAAGUGGGGAUCGACCCCCAAUCACUUUGUUAUGGGUUUCUUAAAGAAAUUACAGACCAUCCAUGUUGAAAUGGGGGUCUCAGAAUCUAUCGGAUCGGAUGUACCAAAUUUAAUGAAGGAUGUACCAAAUUUUGUGAAGGAUGUACCAAAUUUUGUGAAUGAUGUACCAAGGGUCCAAAAAUGCUUUCCGAAGUGGGGAUCGGCCCCAAAUCACUUUGUUUUGGGUUUUUAAAUGAAAUAGUGGCUCAUCCACGGUCAGAAGAGGGUCCCGGAAUCACUAGGAUCGGAUAUACCAAAUUUUGUGAAGGAUGUAACAAGGGUCCGAAAAUGCGUUCCGAAGUGGGGAUCGACCCCCAAUCACUUUGUUAUGGGUUUCUAAAUGAAAUUAUCGACCAUCCAUGUUGAAAUGGGGGUCUCAGAAUCUGUCGGAUCGGAUGUACCAAAAUUUAAUGAAGGAUGUACCAAAUUUUGUGAAGGAUGUACCAAAUUUUGUGAAUGANNNNNNNNNNNNNNNNNNNNNNNNNNNNNNNNNNNNNNNNNNNNNNNNNNNNNNNNNNNNNNNNNNNNNNNNNNNNNNNNNNNNNNNNNNNNNNNNNNNNGGGAUCGACCCCCAAUCACUUGUUAUGGGUUUCUAAAGAAAUUACAGACCAUCCAUGUUGAAAUGGGGGUCUCAGAUCUAUCGGAUCGGAUGUACCAAAUUUAAUGAAGGAUGUACCAAAUUUUGUGAAGGAUGUACCAAAUUUUGUGAAUGAUGUACCAAGGGUCCAAAAAUGCUUUCCGAAGUGGGGAUCGGCCCCAAAUCACUUUGUUUUGGGUUUUUAAAUGAAAUAGUGGCUCAUCCACGGUCAGAAGAGGGUCCCGGAAUCACUAGGAUCGGAUAUACCAAAUUUUGUGAAGGAUGUAACAAGGGUCCGAAAAUGCGUUCCGAAGUGGGGAUCGACCCCCAAUCACUUUGUUAUGGGUUUCUAAAUGAAAUUAUGGACCAUCCAUGUUGAAAUGGGGGUCUCAGAAUCUGUCGGAUCGGAUGUACCAAAUUUAAUGAAGGAUGUACCAAAUUUUGUGAAGGAUGUACCAAAUUUUGUGAAUGAUGUACCAAGGGUCCAAAAAUGCUUUCCGAAGUGGGGAUCGGCCCCAAAUCACUUUGUUUUGGGUUUUUAAAUGAAAUAGUGGCUCAUCCACGGUCAGAAGAGGGUCCCGGAAUCACUAGGAUCGGAUAUACCAAAUUUUGUGAAGGAUGUAACAAGGGUCCGAAAAUGCGUUCUGAAGUGGGGAUCGACCCCCAAUCACUUUGUUAUGGGUUUCCUAAAGAAAUUAUGGACCAUCCAUGUUGAAAUGGGGGUCUUGGAAUCUGUCGGAUCGGAUGUACCAAAUUUAAUGAAGGAAGGAUGUACCAAAUUUUGUGAAUGAUGUACCAAGGGUCCAAAAAUGCUUUCCGAAGCGGGGAUCAACCCCAAAUCACUUUGUUAUGGGUUUUUAAAUGAAAUAGUGGCUCAUCCACGGUCAGAAGAGGGUCCAAGAAUCACUAGGAUCGGAUGUACCAAAUUUUGUGAAGGAUAUACCAAGGGUCCGAAAAUGCGUUCCGAAGUGGGGAUCGACCCCCAAUCACUUUGUUAUGGGUUUCUUAAAGAAAUUACAGACCAUCCAUGUUGAAAUGGGGGUCUCGGAAUCUAUCGGAUCGGAUGUACCAAAUUUAAUGAAGGAUGUACCAAAUUUUGUGAAGGAUGUACCAAAUUUUGUGAAUGAUGUACCAAGGGUCCAAAAAUGCUUUCCGAAGUGGGGAUCGGCCCCAAAUCACUUUGUUUUGGGUUUUUAAAUGAAAUAGUGGCUCAUCCACGGUCAGAAGAGGGUCCCGGAAUCACUAGGAUCGGAUAUACCAAAUUUUGUGAAGGAUGUAACAAGGGUCCGAAAAUGCGUUCCGAAGUGGGGAUCGACCCCCAAUCACUUUGUUAUGGGUUUUUAAAUGAAAUUAUGGACCAUCCAUGUUGAAAUGGGGGUCUCGGAAUCUGUCGGUUCGGAUGUACCAAAUUUAAUGAAGGAUGUACCAAAUUUUGUGAAGGAUGUACCAAAUUUUGUGAAUGAUGUACCAAGGGUCCAAAAAUGCUUUCCGAAGUGGGGAUCGACCCCAAAUCACUUUGUUAUGGGUUUUUAAAUGAAAUAGUGGCUCAUCCACGGUCAGAAGAGGGUCCCGGAAUCACUAGGAUCGGAUGUACCAAAUUUUGUGAAGGAUGUACCAAGGGUCCGAAAAUGCGUUCCAAAGUGGGGAUCGACCCCCAAUCACUUUGUUAUGGGUUUCUUAAAGAAAUUACUGACCAUCCAUGUUGAAAUGAGGGUCUCGAAAUCUGUCGGAUCGGAUGUACCAAAUUUAAUGAAGGAUGUACCAAAUUUUGUGAAGGAUGUACCAAAUUUUGUGAAGGAUGUACCAAGGGUCCAAAAAUGCUUUUCGAAGUGGGGAUCGACCCCCAAUCACUUUGUUAUGGGUUUCUAAAUGAAAUUAUGGACCAUCCAUGUUGAAAUGGGGGUCUCGGAAUCUGUCGGAUCGGAUGUACCAAAUUUAAUGAAGGAUGUACCAAAUUUUGUGAAGGAUGUACCAAAUUUUGUGAAUGAUGUACCAAGGGUCCAAAAAUGCUUUCCGAAGUGGGGAUCGACCCCAAAUCACUUUGUUAUGGGUUUUUAAAUGAAAUAGUGGCUCAUCCACGGUCAGAAGAGGGUCCCGGAAUCACUAGGAUCGGAUGUACCAAAUUUUGUGAAGGAUGUACCAAGGGUCCGAAAAUGCGUUCCGAAGUGGGGAUCGACCCCCAAUCACUUUGUUAUGGGUUUCUUAAAGAAAUUACAGACCAUCCAUGUUGAAAUGGGGGUCUCGGAAUCUGUCGGAUCGGAUGUACGAAAUUUAAAGAAGGAUGUACCAAAUUUUGUGAAGGAUGUACCAAAUUUUGUGAAUGAUGUACCAAGGGUCCAAAAAUGCUUUCUGAAGCGGGGAUCGGCCCCAAAUCACUUUGUUAUGGGUUUUUAAAUUAAAUAGUGGCUCAUCCACGGUCAGAAGAGGGUCCCGGAAUCACUAGGAUCGGAUGUACCAAAUUUUGUGAAGGAUGUACCAAAGGUCCGAAAAUGCGUUCCGAAGUGGGGAUCGACCCCCNNNNNNNNNNNNNNNNNNNNNNNNNNNNNNNNNNNNNNNNNNNNNNNNNNNNNNNNNNNNNNNNNNNNNNNNNNNNNNNNNNNNNNNNNNNNNNNNNNNNGGGACCUCAUCUGACCGUGGAUGAGCCACUGUUUCAUUUAAAAACCCAAAACAAAGUGAUUGGGGUCGAUCCCCACUUUAGAAAGCAUUUUUGGACCCUUGGUACAUCAUUCACAAAAUUUGGUACAUCCUUCACAAAAUUUGGUACAUCCUUCAUUAAAUUUGGUACAUCCGAUCCGACAGAUUCCGAGACCCACAUUUCAACAUGGAUGGUCCAUAAUUUCAUUUAGAAACCCAUAACAAAGUGAUUGGGGGUCGAUCCCCACUUCGGAGUGCAUUUUCGGACCCUUGGUAUAUCCUUCACAAAAUUUGGUACAUCCGAUCCUAGUGAUUCUGGAACCCUCUUCUGACCGUGGAUGAGCCACUAUUUCAUUUAAAAACCCAUAACAAAGUGAUUUGGGGUCGAUCCCCACUUCGGAAAGCAUUUUUGGACCCUUGGUACAUCAUUCACAAAAUUUGGUACAUCCUUCACAAAAUUUAGUAUAUCCUUCAUUAAAUUUGGUAAAUCCGAACCGACAGAUUCCGAGACCCCCAUUUCAACAUGGAUGGUCCAUAAUUUCAUUUAGAAACCCAUAACAAAGUGAUUGGGGGUCGAUCCCCACUUCGAAAAGCAUUUUUGGACCCUUGGUACAUCAUUCACAAAAUUUGGUACAUCCUUCACAAAAUUUGGUAUAUCCUUCAUUAAAUUUGGUACAUCCGAUCCGACAGAUUCCGAGACCCCCAUUUCAACAUGGAUGGUCUGUAAUUUCUUUAGGAAACCCAUAACAAAGUGAUUGGGGGUCGAUCCCCACUUCGGAACGCAUUUUCGGACCCUUGGUACAUCCUUCACAAAAUUUGGUACAUCCGAUCCUAGUGAUUCCGGGACCCUCAUCUGACCGUGGAUGAGCCACUGUUUCAUUUAAAAACCCAAAACAAAGUGAUUUGAGGUCGAUCCCCACUUUAGAAAGCAUUUUUGGACCCUUGGUACAUCAUUCACAAAAUUUGGUACAUCCUUCACAAAAUUUGGUACAUCCUUCAUUAAAUUUGGUACAUCCGAUACGACAGAUUCCGAGACCCACAUUUCAAAAUGGAUGGUCCAUAAUUUCAUUUAGAAACCCAUAACAAAGUGAUUGGGGGUCGAUCCCCACUUCGAAAAGCAUUUUUGGACCCGUGGUACAUCAUUCACAAAAUUUGGUACAUCCUUCACAAAAUUUGGUAUAUCCUUCAUUAAAUUUGGUACAUCCGAUCCGACAGAUUCCGAGACCCCCAUUUCAACAUGGAUGGUCUGUAAUUUCUUUAAGAAACCCAUAACAAAGCUAUUGGGGGUCGAUCCCCACUUCGGAACGCAUUUUCGGACCCUUGGUACAUCCUUCACAAAAUUUGGUACAUCUGAUCCUAGUGAUUCCGGGACCCUCUUCUGACCGUGGAUGAGCCACUAUUUCAUUUAAAAACCCAUAACAAAGUGAUUUGGGGCCGAUCCCCGCUUCGGAAAGCAUUUUUGGGCCCUUGGUACAUCAUUCACAAAAUUUGGUACAUCCUUCACAAAAUUUGGUACAUCGUUCAUUAAAUUUCAUACAUCCGAUCCGACAGAUUCCGAGACCCCCAUUUCAACAUGGAUGGUCCAUAAUUUCUUUAGGAAACCCAUAACAAUGUGAUUGGGGGUCGAUCCCCACUUUGGAACGCAUUUUCGGACCCUUGGUACAUCCUUCACAAAAUUUGAUAUAUCCGAUCCUAGUGAUUCCGGGACCCUCUUCUGACCCUUGAUGAGCCUCUUUUUCAUUUAAAAACCCAAAACAAAGUGAUUUGGGGCCAAUCCCCCCUUCGGAAAGCAUUUUUGGACCCCUGAUACAUCAUUCACAAAAUUUGGUACAUCCUUCACAAAAUUUGGUACAUCCUUCAUUAAAUUUGGUACAUCCGAUUCGACAGAUUCCGAGACCCCCAUUUCAACAUGGAUGAUCCAUAAUUUCAUUUAGAAACCCAUAACAAAGUGAUUGGGGGUCGAUCCCCACUUCGAAAAGCAUUUUUGGACCCUUGGUACAUCCUUCAGAAAAUUUGGUACAUCCUUCACAAAAUUUGGUACAUCCUUCAUUAAAUUUGGUACAUCCGAUCCGACAGAUUCCGAGACCCCCAUUUCAACAUGGAUGGUCCAUAAUUUCUUUAGAAACCCAUAACAAAGUGAUUGGGGGUCGAUCCCCACUUCGGUACGCAUUUUCGGACCAUUGGUACAUCCUUCACAAAAUUUGGUACAUCCUUCAUUAAAUUUGGUACAUCUGACCCUAGUGAUUCCGGUACUGAUUACUACCAAAAAGUGCUAUUUUGUAGACCUAAUUAUAAUGGUUUUAAGCACCUUUGAGUAGUAAUCAUAUUCAUUUAACCCAAUUAAUUCAUUAAGGUCCUUAGUAAUUGGUUUUAACCAUUUUGUGGCAAGUUUACAUGUUUUUAUCAGCUUAUGAAUCAAUUCAAGCAUGCCAAAUGAUUGAGGAGAGUUAUUUGGAAUCCAUGGCAAAGCAAUGAAGAGCUCAAAUUCAUGAAGAAACUAAGCUUUGGAGCCUCAUAGUCCUUUGCCUUAGUCGUUCAAAGUAUGCAAGGAAAGAGCACUGGAGAGAGGAAAAACAGAGUGAAGAAAACAGAGGACAGCAGCUGCAGUCUUCUUGUGCACUUUUGGAGCACUUCCCGAAGUCCAUUUUCUACAUCCUAUAUACCAUUUCAAAGCUCAGAAGUCAAGAAUCCAACGCUUCAAACCGUGUACAUUUGGAGCUGAAAUGGNGGAAGUAUAAGCCUUUGGAAGAUGACUGCNNNNNNNNNNNNNNNNNNNNNNNNNNNNNNNNNNNNNNNNNNNNNNNNNNNNNNNNNNNNNNNNNNNNNNNNNNNNNNNNNNNNNNNNNNNNNNNNNNNNGUUCAGCUUGUUGAUGCGAAAAUAUUUCGCAACCCUCUUGAGUGUCUGCGAAAUCUCGCAGANACCAUUUUUCACUUGCGAAAUGUUCCUUGGAGCUUCUCGAUAUUUGCCACCGACUCUUUUGGAUAUUUUUCUUCAGAUAUUUUUGUAUAAAUUUCCAUUUUCUCCUUGUAUUCAGCCACUCAUGUAAUUCCUUAACUAGGAAGUAUCCAAGGAAGGCUAAAUUACCUUCCUAUAUAAACUCUCAGAUCAUGUAAUCCAUCAAUCAAUAUAUAGAAUAUACAGAGCCUUGCUCUGUUUUUCCUUCUCUUUCAUUUUUCAUUUCUUUUUAUUUCUAGCCAACCAAACUUUGAGGAUUUUUCCUCAAAGGAUGAGAGGCUAAGCUUUUUGUCUCUUGGAGUGAGGAAAGCCGGGUAAGUUUCCACAUGCAUAAUUUGGAAGUUUUGUUGUUUUAGUUUUUAAUGAAGAGAAAGUGUAACCCGUUAGUGAUUUCUAUGUUUUUAGUUAACUUAAAACACCUUAGAGUCAUCUGGGCCAACACUUGGUAAGGCAAGUGAUUUCCAACCAUGGAAAUGCACUAGUUUACCCCUUGUGAGCCUUUGGGAGGUGACUUAAAGGUAGGAUUUUUUAGAAUAGCCAACACUUGGUAAGCUUUUGGACUCCAAGGAGACAUCCAUUAGUUAUCUCUUGCGAGCUUUUGACGGGAAGUCCAAGGUUAAAGAUCAUCUUGAAUGGCAAGUGCUAGGUGAGAGGUAUGAGCCAUUGCAAGAUGCAUCAGUGAGAGGGAUUUAGUGUUUGAACCCAUUAAUGGGAAGCAUCUGUACAACACCGGUUAGAGAAUUAACUAUAUGUUAAUUCUCUAAUGCGAGGAAAAGAAACAAGUGACCGGAACUCCCUUUUUGUAUGAGGAAUCUGAGCCUAGUGAUCUGAACUCCAAGAAACAUCUUUUCUUUAUAAGUAAAAUCAGUUACUAUUUUUGGUUAGUUUAAAACCAAACCUUUUUCAUUCAAACAUCUCUAUGUUUUCUUUUAAAGCUAACCUUGAAAUGAAAAGGCACCAAUUCAACUUUGAAUUAACAUCAUUUGUGAAGUGAAAACUCAUCCCAGUGAACGAUCCUAGAGCCACUAUGCUAUAGUAGCUUUGUCUUUGCUACCCUAGUAUAUGGUGUAAUAGGUUAUAAAUUUUGUUGAUUAAUCCCUCAAUCAAGGAGCACCAGCUGGACACAAAUCAGCUGAGACACCAAUUGGGCACGAAUCAGGUACCCCCUUAGUGCCAUGGAUGGACCAUAAUUUAAUUUGGCAACCCAUAAGUGAUUUAUUUCAAAAUUUAAAAAAUACUUUUAUUAAAACAUAUUUUAUUACAUUUUAAAUAAAAAGUAAAUUGAUUUAUAUCAAAUAUUUGAUUUGAGAUAUGAUUUCUAAAAAUAUAUUACAAAUAUGUGGUGACAAUUUUUCAAUUAAAAUUCAUGUAUUUAAAUAAUUAAAAUUAUUAAUCAUUUAUCUAAUCAAAUUAAUUUUAAGUUAUAAAAUAUUAGGACUUCAUCAUUUUUUUUGUAGCAAAUUCUGAGUACAACUAUUUUUGUAAUAUUUAAAAAUACAAAAUUUUGAAAUUAAAUAAAAUUAAACGGGUAAAUAAAAAAAGUAGUUAAAAAAAUAAAGAUAAUGUAAAAUAGAAUGAUAAUAUAAUUUUGAAAUAAAGUAUUAGGUAAUGACAACGUUUUUUUUGUAGGAAUGAGCAUGAAGGAAAACUAUGGCCACCGCCUUCAUGUCAUACACAUCCCCAAUGGUAUUAUAAACUUUGGAAUCUUAUGUUAUAUGCAAUACACAAAAUAAGGGCCCACCCUUUAUUUCACAGGCAUGCCUAUGUGUCGAAGAUGCCAUGUGCAGUAGCCAAAUUAGGGGCAGACCUUUCAUAUGACAUGCAUGCAAGUGGGUGAAAACCUAAUCGUAGUUAUUAUUUGUGCACUAUCAAAAAGAUAAGCAUGCCCUUGUGCAGGUGGCAUGCCUUCAUAGUGACUUUAUCUUACUUGUUGAUUGGACAGUGUGGUCAUGGGAGGCAGACCCAACACAUGAAGGGUUGGCCCUACACAUUCACAUUGAAAUAAAAUGUAUGGAUAAUUGAUUCAUAUGUGUUAAAGCCUAAAAUAUAGAGUCAAUACAUACUAAGAUUGGAAAAUAGGCAAAAUGUCAUUCAGACAUUCAAAAUAACUUAAACCAACCUCAUAACUAGCAUCACAUUUACACAUAAAUAUUGCAUAGAGUGUUGACAAUUGGUGCAAGAGAGUAUAAAGUUUACUGAUGAUUAAUGAAAGCAUGCAUAUUGAUAAGCAUUGGAAAGCGUUAAAGUAAAAGGAGUUAAGAAGUUGUUUGAGAACGAGAUUUUAUAAACUUAUUACAAAAUCCAUGAAAAUGUUGUGCGCACACAUACGCAUUCGAUUGUAAGACGGAUAGAAAGUAAGGUUACUCCUCUUCAUUAGUCGGUGCAUCUUCGUCUUCUUCAUCUCCACCAUCAUCAUCACCAUCUUCCUCGUCAUCUGUCUGUGAUGGCGUAGGAGGUAGAGCAUCAGGGUGCAAUGCUUUCCAUGCUGCAAUGGAACGAUCGCAUUGUUGACGCACAAUCUUCAAUUGAUUGUUCAUUGAUUUGCACAUUGGGUAAAUAUCCCCAAGCUGAGAACUUUUAGUUGACCUACGCGACGAAGAGGAUGAUGUUUGUUUGUCUAUCGACAUUUUCAUGCGCAUAGGUUGCAUGCGCGGGAUUGACUCAUAAGGUAGUGUCUUGAAAUCCAACCCUGCAUUUUGUAAAAGCAAGCAAACAGUUGAACCAUAUGGUAAUGCACGUGUGCUCACAUUACUACGCCGUGCCUCUAUCAUGUUAUGGCAAAUAAGUGCGGGCAAAUUAAUUUUACUGCGACGUGCCAUGUGAAACAGAAUAUGCAGAACAUAUAGUGUAAGCUCAUUAAGAUGACCCUUCUUAUUCAAGACAGUAUGAAACAAUAUCAGACUUAGAAUCCUGUAUUUUGGAAGUAGAGAUCUAUGUUCAACGCUUGUACCCAACUGAAAACAAUGGCCGCAUAAUUCCUUUGUUAUUGUGUCUGACAUUGCCUUGAUAUCAAUCUCUGGAAUACAAAAGUUAAUAGCUUUCUUGGGUGUUUCCAAAGAGAAGGUGCGUCCAAUAAGGGAUGGGGAAACCCGCACAGCAACUCCCUUGAAUGAAGUGUGAAAUGAAUAUUUCUCCUCGUCAACAUUUCUGAUAUUGUUGUAGAAUGCUCGCACAGGAGUUGGAUAACAUUCUUGCGUUAGCUGUAUAAAUGGUCUCAAUUUGUAAAAAUCUAGUAACUCAGCAACGCCAUGUUCUUCAAACCCAGCAAUUAGUAUGACACGCUCAAUGGCAAUUGGUCGUUUUGCUAUGAGCUUAUCACAUUCGUGCUCAUCAGGUGGGUGGCGAGGCAUGAAAGGGUCAUGUUGGACUUCCUCAGGUACAGUUGACGUUGAGCCAUGUCUAACCUUCUUUUUAGGCGGCAUGAUGUUUGGUCCUUGUAAUGGCACUACAUAUUGUUAAAAAUUCAGUGAUGGAAGUUAGAGAUGAAAAGUUUCAAUUCAUUGCAUCCAAGCCAACCACAAAUAGCUUAAAAAGGAAUUCAAGCAACUCCCAAAAGAGUGGUUGCCACAACCAAGAGAAAAUAUGUGCAGAAAACAAUGAAAAACAAACCUUAUUGUUGUUGUUAUUGUAGCAAAUUGUUGACGAUUAUGCCAGUGAAAAUCUUACAGUGAAAUGGUAGAGUAGCUAAAAUGGAGGAAUGGGUGGGUGGAAGAGGGAGGUUGUGAUGUGCAACGUGUAUAGUAGAAAAUGAGGUGUAAAUGGGAAUGAAUAUGAGUUGUUGAGGAUGUGAUGUCAACCAAACUGAGUAAAUGGUUGAAGUUGGAAUGGAGGUCCGCCUAUGCACGAGAUGUGGCUAGUACAUACAUGCAUUUAAUGUUCCAUAAUGAGUGCAUAGUUACAAGUCACUAAAAUUGGAUGGGAUGAAACAACGUGAAUGAAGUCUUCUACAAGCCUACAAUUGGAGACUAUCAUUAUGUGGAGUGAAUGUGAAGUUAUUAUGUGGUAGGUGCAUCAUAAAUAUUGGUAAUAUGAAGUCUUCUACAAGCCUACAAUUGAAGACUAUCAUUAUGUGGAGUGAAUGUGAAGUUAUUAUGUGGUAGGUGCAUCAUAAAUAUUGGUAAUAUGUUGACCUCUAGUUAUUAAAUGUCCACUGUGGUACAAUCAAAUCAAAUGCAACAAAAGUUUUUCAAGUUUUUGUUCUCGUUGACAUAAAAUGGCCAAAUAUUUAUCGAAUAAGUGUAAUGUAGUUGAUACAAGUAUGAAUAAAUAUAAUAUUUAUUAAAUUUUUAUAAGAAAAGUAGCAUUAAUUGAUUUAAUAUAUUUAAGAGAUUUAUUUUUAAAUUAAAAAAUACGUAUAUUAAAACAUAUUUUAUGACAUUCUAAAUACUUUAAAAAAUGUAUCAUUAAAUUAUUAAAAAUGCUAAAAAAAACUUUCACAAUUGACAAAAAAUGCGCAUGGACUCCAAUUUUUUCCCACAAAAACAGUAGUAGAAGUUUAUUUAAUUCAAUUUGGAAAAAAAUGACCCAUAUCAUUAAAAAUAAUUAUUUUUAAAAAUCAUCCGUAAAUAUAAAAUUCUAUGACUUUAUUAAUCUGAUAGCUACACAUAGAAGCUAAUCACCUUGCUAAACAAAGAUUUAUUACCAGUAUGAUAUUUUCCAUCAUGCCAAACGCUGCACGAGUAUGCAAUUUCGUUUUGUAAAUGCUUAUUGAUUCGACUCAUGGUAGCUUAGCUUUAAAGGCGUAUCAACAAAAUUUAUACCUUAAAUACUAUUACUAAAGUAGCCAAGCUACUAUAGCAUAGUGGUUCUAGGAUCGUUCACUGGGAAGGGUUUUCGCAAACACUAGUGAUAUUCAAAUUAGGAAAAUAGGUGAUUUUCUUAUGGAUGUUAGCUUUAAAAGAAGAUGUAAAUGUUUUAGAAAGAUUUAAACUAAUCUAAGCUAACAUUAAAGACUAAAAUGAAAGGGUGUAAAAACAAGUUUCUCAAAGAUAGGAUAGCUAUGCUCUGGCUCUUAUGCAAAUUGGAAAUCUCAUGAUAGGCUCCUCGAGUUGGGGUUGCAACUAUGGUGAUGCUUGCUUCCCGAACCGGUAUGGAUUUAGCAAAUCAAGUUUUAAUCCUUUAAAAUGGCAAAACAGAUGGUAGUGAAUUUCAUCAAUGGUUAUUCACCUUAGACUUCCUUUGAAUGGCUCGUAAGAGAUAACUAAUGGUCUAAAGCCAAAAGCUUACCAAAUAUUGGCAACUCAAAGUCAUUCCAGGUGAUAAACUCACCUUUCAAUGACCAUUGAAAUUGGUUCUAACGAAUUAAUGCAAAACUUGGAAUUGAAAACCUCACCUUCCAAUAGCUCGUAGGAGAUAACUAAUGGAUAGAAAUCCAAAAGCUUAUCAAGUAUUGGCCGUUGGAAGUUGUCCAAAGGAAAUAAAAACCAAACUUUGCAUUAAUGAACCAUUAAUGAAAAACGACUACCUUACCUUCCAAGUGCGAGAAAUUUCCAUGGGAUUGCAUCCAAGCCAUCACAUAACAUCCAUACUUUGAGAAACUAAAAGUUUUAGCCAAUCAUCCUUUGAGGAAAAGCCCUCAGAGGCUGUUUAGCUUCCAAGAAAAUAAAAUAGUAAAGAGACAAGAGAGACGAGAGAGCUCUGUAUAUAUUUUAAGUGUCAAAACGUCACCUAUGUUAUAUAUUCCAAGAGGUGAUUUCCACCCCUUAUAUAGUCUUUACAAAAGCAAAAGCUUGUGAUUGGUUAGUUACAAGGAUAAGAAAGGAAAUUACAUCAAAAAAUACAAAGGAAAAUAUCUAAAGUGGAGUCGGCAAAAACAGAGGAAAAUUCGCACCACGCAUGGGUUAUGCGAAUUUUGAAGGUGUUAUGCGAAUUUCGCAAAACACCUUGUGUCGUGCGAAAUUUUCGCACAACCUGGAGCAGUUGGCUUCCAAAGGCCAUAUCUUCCUCAUUUCAGCUCCAAAUCGUACACGGUUUGAAGCUUUGGAUUCUUGACUUCCAGAGCUUUGAAAUGGUAUAUAGCAUGUAAAAAAUGGACUUCAGGAAGUGCUCUAAAAGUGCGAAAGAAAACUACAGCUGCUGUCCUCUUUGCUUCUCUUCACUUUGCUUGCUUUUCCUCUUUGCUUCUCUUUCCUUGCAUACUUUGAACGACUUUGGAAAAGGGCUAUGGAGCUCCAAAGCUUGGUUCUUCAUGAAUUUGAGCUUCCAAAAGCUUUGCCAUAACUUGUCCAAGUAGCUCCUCCAUCAUUUGGCAUGCUUGAAUUGAUUCAUAAGCUGAUAAAAACAUGUAAACUUGCCACAAAAUGGUUAAAACCAAUUACUAAGGACCUUAAUGAAUUAAUUGGGUUAAAUGAAUAUGAUUACUACUCAAAGGUGCUUAAAACCAUUAUAAUUAGGUCUACAAAAUAGCACUUUUUGGUAGUAAUCACUUAUAUCAUCCACAAUCAUUUAAACCUCCAUAAAUGAUCAAUAACUAUUUGUAUUUCAUGGCAUUGGCAGAAUUGAACCUUUUGGGAAUACAAGAAAUAAUGUUGAUGGGACAAAAUUAGAACUUCUAACAAAGUACAUAAAUUGGAAAGGUAAGACAAAUUGAGAAACCAAGAAAGAACCACUAGAUUUAGCACACAUUUAGGGUUCCAUUAUGAACUUUCAUCAUGAAACAUUUCCUAGAAUCAAUAGCUAACUAUAGUCCCCAAUGCAACCCAAUUGGCAUCUUUUGCAAUAGAAAUACUGGUGGUUGAUGAGCCCAAUCACAGAACUUCAUGAGCUUUCCCAUAAUACCUGUUUAUAAACGGUGCCUGAAAGGCAUUCCAAACAACAAUAAUUACUAUUUAAAGAUUAAUGAGUCAUACUUAUUUCCUGAAAAAAAAUGUAGAGAGGGCACAAAUAAGAUAAUGCAAUUAGCAUUCAUUAACAAGUGUCUGCUCUAAUAGAAGAGGCCAAAUUCAUUGAUAUGCUACAACCAAUCAACUAUUUUUUGUACUUAUUCACAGAAUGGAUGGCAAAACAUACCCUCAAUAAACCAUGGCCAAGUGAAAACAAGGUGACUAAACAGAAAAAACUCAACUUAAUUAGCUAAGUAAAAGUCAAACCAUUUAGAAAUAGUGUCAUAUUGAUCCAUUUGGAUACCAAGGAAAAAAAAUGGCCACAUAAUGACAAAGCUUUUGGGCGAUCAGUUAGUUGAUAUUAAAAAUAGCAGACAUGUUAUGUUAGCAUGGAACAGAUAAAUAAAUUAAACAUAUAUUCCAUCAAGAGAUUAUUUUUUGACUAUUUAUGUAGGGAACGACUUAUAGCAAUACACCAUGAUCUUGAAUAUCGCAUUAAGGCCAGCUUCAAAAUGCACAAGAUUCAUAGGCUAUCAAUAGUCUCAUAUGGAGAAACAAAAAUAGUGGUGUCGAAGAUAUUCUGUUCUUUCAAUAGAAGAAAUGUUCAAAAUUGUACCUUAACAUUUUAGAGUUUUUGUCAAUGAAGAAUAAUCGGAACAAACUCUAACAAAUUCUAUCUUAUGCUCUCUCUAGCUUUUAACAUGACUGUCCAUAUUAGAUUGUGUUGAUUGGUUGGGCUCUUGAUGAUUAUAGAGAGGUGUUUUUGUUAAUCUCUCAAUCUAAUUGCCUUUAUGUCUUAUUUCUAAACUUCUUGUGUACAUUUGUGCACCUUCUUUUAAUUAGGUGGUGUUAAUAAUAUUAUCUUUUGCAAAAGAAAAAAUAAAUUGUACCUUAACAUUUGAUAUGCCAGGAUUAUCAUCGGUCUGGACUGAGUAGAACUUGUUAAACUUCAUGUUUUCAAAUGCUGCUUUAGUCUAUUAACUCAUUUCUGCAAGGCCUUUUUCUAGGCUUCUCUAGCCUACAAGAAAAGGAAUUGACAAGUACUCAACAUAUUUGAAAUUUAUGUGCAAGACCAAAACUAUUGUAACGAUUGGUAUCUGUUAUAAAAUACCUGUCUAUUGGCUUUUUUUGCCUCUCGGACAUUGUCUUUGACAAAAUUAUGAGCAACCAAAACAAUUUAAGUUCAUGGUAUGGUUAAUUACAUGCAAGAGCAAUCAAUUACAUGCAUAUCAUCAAUUACAGAUCACCUUAAAUGCAUCCUUUUGAUCUGCAUCAAAUUCAUUCUCCUCAAUUAGCUUAUCAGUGACCUCCUAAAGAUAAGAGAAGUACAGUUAACCACAAGAUGUAAAUAAAACAUAAUAAAAACCUAUAAAGCUUAUGAGUAAUGAAGGAACUUAUUCUUUUAGAGGGUUCCUUCCACAACACUCCCCUAGGAAAUAUUAAAGCAGGAACAAGUCGUCCUUUGUCUUAUUAAAUGUCUAACCAUCAAAAAUCACUCUAAACUAAGUUUAGUAUCAAUUGAUUUAUAGAUGCGAGACAGCUAAACCCACAAUAAGAUGGUAACAAGGAUUCUUUCAGCUAAACAGAAAAUACAGCCAUUUGACUAAAUUGGUUUACAGGGUUGUUGAAUUAUCUAAUAAUUAGCUCAUGAUUAUACAUAAACAUAGAAAAUUGGGGAUAAGUUUAAGCAACCAGACCAUGUCAUUACAAUAUUAUCAACUGAUUUAAACAGGUUAUAUGGAAUAGCACAAACGAUUUAUGGAAGCAUUAAGAAAUUGUCAAUAAUAUAACCUUAAAAAAUAAAAAUGUCAUUUACUAGAGUUUUAUAUAUAUAGGGAGGAGAUAGCACCUAACCUGGUAGUCAAAUGAACCAUGCAUGCAUUGGAAGUAGUCUUGAUAACUUAUCCCUUCUAUUGUACCAUAAAAAAGACAUGACAUAGCCUCAAAAUCUAUUAUUCACUAUCAAUGACCAAGUUGAAGUUUAAAUUUGAAUGUAUAGUUAAAAAAUUGAAUGAAAUAAAACCAAAGAAAUUAAUUGUGAAGGUUACCCAAUACUAUUCUGCAUCGUUGGUUGACCAAAUAUUGGCUGUAACCAUUUCACCAAUUUCGUUUUCGCUAUCAAGAACCAUAUGAGUUGCAAAUUUCAAUCUUUCAAGGCUCAUGCGUUCCUACACAUUAAACUUAUGUUAGACCCUACAUCUCGGUAACAUUUAACAUGUACAUUUGAAAAUAAAACCAUAACAUCAUAUUUAACAACUUACAGAAUUAAUGGUUCUAUUAAGACCACUUCCAUCCCAAUGUUGCAUAUAGAGAAUAGCAUACAUCCCAGUAUGACAUUUGCAAUAACAAGUAUGAUUUGUGACAUGUUAUUAACAUAGGACCCAAUUAGGAUUGAAAAUGAAUACAUGAAAAAAAAAAUAUGUAACUAACAAUUUUGGAUCGCCAUCGAUAUCUGCAUACUGUGGAUGUAAAUUAUUUAUAUUCACAUCAUUCCGUUUGAAGGAAUUUUUUAAUAACUGCGACAUAAAUCCAACUACUUUGAAAGCUUCAUUAACAAAGUGAACACGUUGAAUGCUAUUAUAUGAUGAAAGUAGAUCCACCCUUUUAGCCUCCAAAUUGAUUACCAUGAUGACCCAUUCAUUAAAUUGGAAUAAGGGGAUAUAAAACUACAAAACAGACAAUCAUCAUAACAACAAUGAAGGCUUAAAUAUUUGAAAUAUAAAUUCAAAAUUAUUAAAAAAUUGUCAUCAAUCUAUGUAAUCAAUACAAUAGUCAAGCAUUACCUGGUUGCAAAAUUCAAGAUUAACACAAUAGCUACCUAAUCUUUUCUUGAGUGUUGAUUUUGAGGUAGACUUGCUCAUUGAACCACAUAUUUCUUGUAAAAAGUUGUUGAGAGCAUAGUAACAAUGUAUGACUAAAGCUAUACAUGCAUCUUAUAUUAGGGACAAGAUUUGGUGUACUCGAGGAAAAAACCUCACCCCAAAGUAUGGAUUAAAAAAGUGUCUGCAAUAAGGAUUCUCUUCUUUUGCAUUCAUGUAUCGGCAAAACAUGGAAAUCACCUACAUAAUGCCUCUUCAUUAGUUAAAAUGAUCAAUGGAAAGAUGAAGGUAUUUUUUUCUUAUUUAUCAUAAACCUUACCGGAAUAUCAAUGAAGCUCUCCCCUACUAAGCAUUAAAAUUGUUCCCGUGUCACGCCAUAGCCACCAUAUGCACAAAGCAUCUCACUAUUAAUCACAUGAAACACAAGACGUGAGUAAUUUUUUUUGUUUUCUAGAUAAAUCCAUAAUCAUAGUCUUUUAAGAACAAUACUUGUUAAACGUGUGAUUUGGGACUAACCUUGGAUCUUUUGACUCAUCAAAUACAUAGUCGGCAACAUGUGUCUCUUCCUCCGUCAACCUUUUAUAUUUUGAUACACAUAAUUGUACAAAAGGUGACUUACACGCAGCUGCUCGUUGCCUAUGACGACGUACUUUCAUUUUUACUCUUUGUGGUCGUAUUUCUUCUGAGGCUUGUGGUGCUACAUCCACAUUGUUGUUCAUGCACGAUUGCACUAACACCAACAUAUUGUGUGGCCCAGGGUGAAGGGGAUCCUCGUUUGAAAAGAACACACCAUCUUCUAUGUUGGGUCUUUCUGACACCCCUUCAUUUGUACAUCCAACGUCAUCUUCAAAAGAUCUUCUUUGACCACCAGAAUGAACAGGUGAAUGUUGUGGAUUAUUUUUAUAAAAUGGUGCACCACUUUCAUUAACAUGUUCAUGAAAAUUUGACGGUUGGCCUUCAUCUGUGCGAUAAUGUGAAGAGGUGAAACGAGUCCUCAACACUUUCACGUCACGGUUGUAUGAUGCAAUAAGACUAUUAAGAUGACUUUGUGCAUCGGUGAUUUGACGUUGUGUUGCCUCCAUGCGAGCACAAAUAACCUAAGUCAAACAUAAUGAAGGACCAUUAAAUGACAUAUAUUUAAACUAAGCCUUAAUAUAAGUUACUAUUCAUAGUCAUUAGGUAUGAAGGAUUACAUCAAAGUCUUCAUUCUCAUCUGGGUCAACUGGGUCAUCAACUGUAGGAGCCUUAUUUUUUUCUGUUUCAUCUUGCUCCGCCGAUGUGCUAACCAACUAUCAUUGCAAAACAUGUAAAUUGUCAUCCCAAUAAUCUAAUUACAAUGGUAAUCAACUAUCUUAAUAUAACUAAAAGCUAAUUAUACCUCAACUUUGCCAAAUCCUCCAAGCAUUUCUAACUCCAACUUGAUGCGUUGCUUGACCAAAAAAUCAUUCCAUGCAGCAAUGCGAGGAGUGGUAAGUUCCACAUACAUGGCUGGAAAAUUAGAUAUUGAAAAGUAGAAUAUCUGUUGCAUUAUAUAAGACAUAAUUAGUGGUAACAUCAUGGCCAACAUAGUGUAUAACCAUUAUUGAAUAUCUAAUACAUGGACAUAUACUUAUAAAUAAGACAAAAAGUUACCUGUAGAAACAUCAAACACCCUUUAAUCCAAACACUUUCCUUCCUCCUAUGUUCAUGUAUAGCUUGAAUCAAAAAUUCUAAGACAUUCUCCCCAAUUUAUGUUCCCAAGUAACUGCUCUCGGGGUGUAUACCAUAACGAGUGACUACCUUCCAAACGAGAAGUGGGUGCCAAUAAGGUUGCACAAGCGAAAAUCAAGAAGACCCGCUUAAAUUCCUCCAUAUCAUCGAUGCCAACCAUCAUUGACUCUAUAUCUUGCAAACUCGGCAUUUGACUAGCUUUAACACUUCCCUUCUCAACAAUUAACUUUCUUCCACUAUGUGGAAUGCCCAUCGUCAUCCCAACAUCAUGACAUGUCAAAGAAACCUUCUUACCCCCAAAUAACUCGAGUUGGGAAUAAGCAAUGUUUGUGUUUUUUAUCAACCAAAAACAUAAAUCUAAAUUAACCUCCUUACAACCUAAUUGCAAUAGCCCACCAAAACCAAGUUCUCGUAUUACAUCCUUCUUCACUUCUGAGAGCAAAUGGAUUCCAGAGAGGAAUCUACGGCUAGAACAACGACACCGUAUGUUCAUAUUAUCACUGCAUUAAACAACUAUAAUUCAUUAAUAAAUUAAUCAAAUGUUAAAGACAUGUGAACGUGAAUAUAGUGUUCCUAUAUACAUUCAUCAUAAUUAUUACACAAAUAUAACAUAUAUUAACAAAGAAAUGGGAAACAUUUUGUUACAUCAUGUAAAUGAUAAUCAUUGAGAUCGGUUUCCUCUAGCCUUUCAAUAAUAUGGUUAUCAAUAAGGGUGAAAUUGUUAUAUAUAGGGUCACCCACUAUGAUACCCACUGCAAAAAAAAAAAAAAAAAAACAGACAAUGUGCAUUUUAGUGGGUCAGCCAAUAAAAACAAAUGGUACGCCUCAAAGUUACAUACUCAUCUAACCAUAUCAAUAUAGUUUAGGGAAAAGUGGGAUUUGAUUCACUAAUAAGAAAAUAUAUGAUAAAAAGAAUCCCAAAUAUUUUAAAUUAGUAUUAUCUUCAUCUAUUUAAAAAUAAUUUGAAAUACAUGCAAUGAGUUAUCCAAUUAUUCCAAAAAAUGUCAUUUUAUUUUUUAUGUUAUUCAAAUCAAUUGAAAACUACACUCCUCCAUAUAAAUGUUUCCUUAUUAUUUUAGAUUUUUUUAUUAUUAUUUUAUUAUUUAAGAUUUUUUUUCCUCUAGAAACAAACACCUUAUAGGAUUCUUAUUUUAGUUUUCUAAAAGUUUAGGAAAUAUUGUCAAACAAAUCAUAUUUAAUCAUAAUUACGAAUUCAAAAAGUAAUAAGAUUUUUUAUUAAAUAAUAAAGAAUAAACUCGUAAUAUAUAAUUCUUUUAAUAUUAUAACAAAUUUAUUAUUAAAAAACUUUAAUAACAAAUUUUAUUCAUUAUUAUAUUAAACAAUUAUUAAUAUUAUAUAAUAAAUAGAAAUUUAUUAUUGGUUUAUUUAUUAUCAAGAAUAUGAAUCUAUUUUUAACUUAUUAAUACUAUAAUAAAUUCUGUUUUUUUUUUCAAAUUAUUACUUUAUAAUGUUUCUAGAGAAAAAAAAUUCCCAAAUAAUAAAAUAAUAAAAUAAUAAAAUAAUAAAGUAAUAAUAAUAAUAAUAAUAAUAAUAAUAAUAAUAAUAAUAAUAAUAAUAAUUUAAGAUUAUUGACAACUACACUCCUCCAUAUAAAUGUUUCCUUAUUAUUUUAGAUUUUUAUUUUAUUUUAUUAUUUUAUUAUUUAAGAUUUUUUUUCCUCUAGAAACAAACACCUUAUAAGAUUCUUAUUUUAGUUUUCUAAAAGUUUAGGAAAUAUUGUCAAACAAAUCAUAUUUAAUCAUAAUUACGAAUUCAAAAAGUAAUAAGAUUUUUUAUUAAAUAAUAAAGAAUAAACUUCGUAAUAUAUAAUUAUUUUAAUAUUAUAACAAAUUUAUUAUUGAAAAACUCUAAUAACAAAUUUUAUUCAUUAUUAUAUUAAACAAUUAUUAAUAUUAUAUAAUAAAUAGAAAUUUAUUAUUGGUUUAUUUAUUAUCAAGAAUACGAAUCUAUUUUUAACUUAUUAAUACUAUAAUAAAUUCUGUUUUUUUUUUUCAAAUUAUUACUUUAUAAUGUUUUUAGAGAAAAAAAAUUCCCAAAUAAUAAAAUAAUAAAAUAAUAAAGUAAUAAUAAUAAUAAUAAUAAUAAUAAUNNNNNNNNNNNNNNNNNNNNNNNNNNNNNNNNNNNNNNNNNNNNNNNNNNNNNNNNNNNNNNNNNNNNNNNNNNNNNNNNNNNNNNNNNNNNNNNNNNNNNNNNNNNNNNNNNNNNNNNNNNNNNNNNNNNNNNNNNNNNNNNNNNNNNNNNNNNNNNNNNNNNNNNNNNNNNNNNNNNNNNNNNNNNNNNNNNNNNNNNNCUUUUUUCAAAUUAUUACUUUAUAAUGUUUUUAGAGAAAAAAAAUUCCCAAAUAAUAAAAUAAUAAAAUAAUAAAGUAAUAAUAAUAAUAAUAAUAAUAAUAAUUUAAGAUUAUUGACAACUACACUCCUCCAUAUAAAUGUUUCCUUAUUAUUUUAGAUUUUUAUUUUAUUUUAUUAUUUUAUUAUUUAAGAUUUUGUUUCCUCUAGAAACAAACACCUUAUAGGAUUCUUAUUUUAGUUUUCUAAAAGUUUAGGAAAUAUUGUCAAACAAAUCAUAUUUAAUCAUAAUUACGAAUUCAAAAAGUAAUAAGAUUUUUUAUUAAAUAAUAAAGAAUAAACUCGUAAUAUAUAAUUCUUUUAAUAUUAUAACAAAUUUAUUAUUAAAAAACUUUAAUAACAAAUUUUAUUCAUUAUUAUAUUAAACAAUUAUUAAUAUUAUAUAAUAAAUAGAAAUUUAUUAUUGGUUUAUUUAUUAUCAAGAAUAUGAAUCUAUUUUUAACUUAUUAAUACUAUAAUAAAUUCUGUUUUUUUUUUCAAAUUAUUACUUUAUAAUGUUUCUAGAGAAAAAAAAUUCCCAAAUAAUAAAAUAAUAAAAUAAUAAAAUAAUAAAGUAAUAAUAAUAAUAAUAAUAAUAAUAAUAAUAAUAAUAAUAAUAAUAAUUUAAGAUUAUUGACAACUACACUCCUCCAUAUAAAUGUUUCCUUAUUAUUUUAGAUUUUUAUUUUAUUUUAUUAUUUUAUUAUUUAAGAUUUUUUUUCCUCUAGAAACAAACACCUUAUAAGAUUCUUAUUUUAGUUUUCUAAAAGUUUAGGAAAUAUUGUCAAACAAAUCAUAUUUAAUCAUAAUUACAAAUUCAAAAAGUAAUAAGAUUGUUUAUUAAAUAAUAAAGAAUAAACUUCGUAAUAUAUAAUUCUUUUAAUAUUAUAACAAAUUUAUUAUUGAAAAACACUAAUAACAAAUUUUAUUCAUUAUUAAAUUAAACAAUUAUUAAUAUUAUAUAAUAAAUAGAAAUUUAUUAUUGGUUUAUUUAUUAUCAAGAAUACGAAUCUAUUUUUAACUUAUUAAUACUAUAAUAAAUUCUGUAUUUUUUUUCUUCAAAUUCUUACUUUAUAAUGUUUCUAGAGAAAAAAAAUUCCCAAAUAAUAAAAUAAUAAAAUAAUAAAGUAAUAAUAAUAAUAAUAAUAAUAAUAAUAAUAAUAAUUUAAGAUUAUUGACAACUACACUCCUCCAUAUAAAUGUUUCCUUAUUAUUUUAGAUUUUUAUUUUAUUUUAUUAUUUUAUUAUUUAAGAUUUUUUUUCCUCUAGAAACAAACACCUUAUAGGAUUCUUAUUUUAGUUUUCUAAAAGUUUAGGAAAUAUUGUCAAACAAAUCAUAUUUAAUCAUAAUUACGAAUUCAAAAAGUAAUAAGAUUGUUUAUUAAAUAAUAAAGAAUAAAAUUCGUAAUAUAUAAUUAUUUUAAUAUUAUAACAAAUUUAUUAUUGAAAAACUCUAAUAACAAAUUUUAUUCAUUAUUAUAUUAAACAAUUAUUAAUAUUAUAUAAUAAAUAGAAAUUUAUUAUUGGUUUAUUUAUUAUCAAGAAUACGAAUCUAUUUUUAACUUAUUAAUACUAUAAUAAAUUCUGUAUUUUUUUUUUCAAAUUCUUACUUUAUAAUGUUUCUAGAGAAAAAAAAUUCCCAAAUAAUAAAAUAAUAAAAUAAUAAAGUAAUAAUAAUAAUAAAAUAUCUAAAAAGAAUGGAAAUAUUUAUACAAUGGAUUCUAAUUGUCAAUGGAUUAGGAUGACAUGACAAGUAAAGGGCUAUUUUUGGGAAUAAUUAAAUCAUAAAUUAAAAAGUGCAUGCAUUUUAAAUUAUUUUUAAAUAAAUGAAGAUAAUAUUGGAAUUUUCUUUGUCAACCAAUCAGUUUUGAGAAAAAAUGUUCUUGUAACGGAUAAGCUCCAAGAGGUUAGUUUUUGUAUAUAUAUAUAUAUAUAUAUAUAUAUAUAAUGUAUAUAUAUAACAGUUCAUGUAAAUUUUGAUUUUUUUGUAAAUUAAAAUAUAAUAUUUUUUUAUAUUGAUAAAUAAAAGUCAUAUUGUUUUAAACUACUUUAUUCAACAAACAACAAGAUCGGUGGCCCCAACAUUGAUAUGGUUACAAAAAUAGCUAUAAAAGAAAAUAUGACAUCAAAAUCCAAUUCAAUAAAAAUCAUAGUCCUCAAACCUCUGUUUCAUUAAAAGGUACAUAAUCCUACAAUUCACUUCAUAUGACUCAUGAAGUUAGCGCCAUCAAGAUGAAUUGUCAUAAUUGAAACAAAUCUACAUAAACAAAUAGAGACCAUUUCACAUUUUAAACUACAAUAUCCAUCAAACAACAACAAGACCAAUGUUUACAAAAUUAAUGAAGUUACAAAACUACUGAAAGAAAAGAGUAACCUACCAUUUAAAAAUUUUCUACAUUUGUAUUAAAAAUAUAUGGUAACAAAAUUUUCUAUUAACAUUAAUUUAUUUAAAUAAUUAAUAUUAUUAAUAAUUUAUCUUAUCAAAUUAAUUUUAAUUUAUAAAAUAUUACUGAUAAAAACUGAAAUUUUGAUUUAACCAAAAUAAAGAUGGAUAAUUAAUUAUUUAUAAUUAAUAAUUAAUAAUUUUGAUUUAUAAUAUUGUUCUUGUGAUUUGUUUCCUUUUUAUUUCUAUACUAUAUCUAAAAAACAAACAUGCUCGUUGCCAUUCGUUGAGGCAUUAUGGGAAGGUGAAGGACCCAACGGUGGAGAAUUUGUUGCCGGAGAUUGAUUUUGAGCACACUGUUGGGAGGAGAUUGGUUUCAACCUCUGGAACUCGGUCUGUGGUUCUAAUGGUGGUUGAUGCUUCAGAUUUUGAUGGGUCCGGCCACCACGCGUGAGGCAUCAAGAAACCCCUUUGUUGAAUUCUUCUCCAGGCAAGCAUCAUGCCUUAUUUUCCUCUGCCACUCUCAAUCCUCGCAGGUGCUAAUCUAAUCAUGUUAUUAAUAUUUAUUUUCAACCCCAAUUUGCUUCCCAAGAAAAUCCAUCCCUCAUUCGAUUUCCGGGAAAAUUCAUCCUCGUUUAAUUUCCGAGAGAAAUCCAUCAAAACUCCCAAGGAAAACCAAAAAAAAAAAAUGCUUUUAUUUUGUUGCUCCCCGUGUUUUCUGGAUCUGUUCUAAGGUUUUAUUUGUUUUUGUGCCAUUGGAUUUAAAUUCUACAAACCCUAAAUCCACGAUUUUUGAGCCACGCUGAAAACCACAACCUUUGCCCUCAAAUUGUGGAUCUGUGUGCGUGUGUGGCGGGUUGGAUUUAAAUUCUACAAACCCUAAAUCCAUGAUUUUUUUGCCACGCUGAAAACCACAACCUUUGCCCUCAAAUUGUGGAUCUGUGUGCGUGUGUGAUAUUUUUAAAAAAUUACCCAAUUUUCUGUCAAAGAUCUCAACAAGCAUUAAUACCAACCCAAAUUAACUCAUAAAUCCAUUACAUUUGUACCUGGGAAAGCUCCUCUCAGCUCGGACCACUUCUCUCUAUUUUCACUGCAAGCUUCCCUCGCGAAUUGUGGCUGUGAAAGAAAGUGAAAAAAUAUGGGUUUUUGGAGUUAGGGUUUGGUUCAGGAGAGAAGAAGGGAUUUGGGGGGUUUGGUUGAAAGAGAGAAGAAGGGAUUUAGGGUUUUGAUUCAACACAGAAGAAAUGAUUUCGGGUAAAUCUCACUAUUAUAUUUUAGUAAAUAUUUUUUAAAAAAUAUUGCCACAUGGAGUGUCUACAUGUCAUAUGAGCCAUGUCACUGGCUUAAGUGGAACAUGACUUUGCUGAGUAAUUGAUUAUGUCAAAGUGUAUGAGGGUAUUUUUGGAAGGCUCCUCAAUAUCACUAUUACAGUGUAUGAAAGGUGAUUUAUUUUUCACAAAAUCCAUUGAAUUUGAAAAGUAAAAAGUUAAGUUUCCAAAAGGCAAAAUUUUGCCCCUUGGUGUAUGGUUACAUAAAUUCCCCUAAAAUAAAGUGGGUAAAGUAAGUAACGGACUUUGACAAUUAAUUUAAUGAAUUUUUUUGGUUCCCUUAAAAACUUUUUCUGUUAAAAAAUGAAAAACUUCACUAAAUUUGAAUUAAAAAUUCCAUAUAGUUUUUAAAAUGACCACAACCUAUAAUUUGCAUAGACUAAGGGCAAGGAGAUAUUUUAUACCCAUACUUUAAUGACGCUUCUCUGAAGCGCCAAGUUAUAGAAUUAACAUUAUCACACUUUGAAUAUGCACCAUUAUAUACCCAAUAAUACCUAAAUAAGCCUUAUCAAACGAUGAUGCUUCUAAUAAGCAUCAUGGAUUGAAAAAUACUACACUAAACAAUGAUGCUUUUAUUGGGUUUUUCCUCAUAUGGAAGGCCCAAAUUAAGAGCCCAAAAUUUAAGCUCUCUUAGGCCUUUAUAUAAAAGGGUUAAAAGAAAAAUCCUUCUUCUUCUUCUUCUUCCAAUUUUUUUUUGCAGCCACUAGAGAUAGAAGAAAAAAAUAUUAGAAGGAGAAAAGAGAGAGAGAAGGGGAAAACCACCAUUUUUUGAAACUAGAGAGAAAAAAACUCAAUUUUUCUUCACUGUCCAGAUUUCAUCAAAGGUUUGAUCCCGCUUCAUCUGUGGGCCAAUCGACUUGAUAUUUGAAGGAGAGGUUCGUGACUCAUUGAUCUUCAAUCUGAACGGUAAAGAUCGGAUUUGGAGUUCCGUACGGUCUUCUUUCAGUCCGAGAAUAGAGCCUCUGUUUUAGUGAGUUUUCUAUCCGAACAGUUUUGAUCAUGAGCUUCGAUCAAGUUUAAUCCGUGGUUCGAUUGAGUUGAUUUUUGGUAAGCACGUUUAGAACUUGUUGAUCUUCAUUCUGAACGGUGAAAAUUGGAUUUGGAGUUCGAAACAGUUAUAUUUCAGUCUGAGAACAAUGAUUGUGUUUGGUGAGAUUUCUCCAUUGUCUUUUAUGCAAAGUUGUUGAAAUUGCCAAGAUUAAUUUGUUUUGAGAUAUGACUGAUGUAUGCCUCUAGUUUUAUCUAGAGAGAAUUGUGUAACCCAUUGAUUAUAUCAGUGGAGUUUUUAAGUGGCCUAAGGGUCCCGUGGUUUUUACUUCUCACAUUAGAGAAGGUUUUCCACGCUAAAAAUUGUUAGUGUUCAUAUAUUUGUUGAUUGGGUGAAUUAUUAUUGCUCUAUUUGAUUGAUUCCUAUUAGGUUCUCACAAGAAGGGAUAAAACCUGGUUGCGCAUUGUUUGUGUUUAUUCCAUCAAAGUGGUAUCAGAGCAUUGGUUUAAGAUAAUUUGUGCCUUGUGUAGAACAAUGAAAACUAAUACAAGUAGAAUGAUUACUCUGAAUGGCUCCAAUUAUCAUGUUUGGAAAGGAAAGAUGGAAGACUUAUUGUAUGUGAAGGAUUAUUAUUUUCUUGUGUUUGCUUCUGGAAAGCCAAAAAAUAAAACUGAUGCAGAAUGAAAUUUACUUCAUCGGCAGGCUUGUGGUUAUAUCAAACAGUGGGUAGAUGAUAAUGUUCUCAAUCAUGUUAGUGAAGAGAAACAUGCAUGGAGUUUAUGGAACAAACUCGAACAGUUAUAUGCUAAAAAGACUGGUAACAAUAAAUUAUUUCUGAUCAAGAAUAUGAUUAGCUUGAAGUAUUAAGAUGGAACUCCUAUGACAGAUCACUUGAAUACAUUCCAAGGUAUUAUUAAUCAGUUGGCUGGAAUGAAUAUCAAGUUUUAGGAAGAGGUGCAAGGGUUGUGGCUUCUUAGUACAUUGACGAACUCGUAGGAGACAUUUAGAACUUCUUUGUCUAACUCAGCUCUAGAUGGUACUAUGAAUAUAGAUUUGGUUAAGAGUUGUGUUCUGAAUGAAGAGAUGAAAAGAAAGUCAUAGGGUUCCCCUUCACAGUCAGAUGUCCUAGUUACUGAAAAAAUGGGGAGGAGUAAGAGUAGAGGUUCAAAGAACAAAGAUAGAAGCAAAAGCAAGACUAACAAGUUUGCCAAUGUUGAGUGUCACUAUUUCCUUUUGAAAGGGCAUAUAAUAAAGUAUUGUCGCCAAUUGAAGAGAGAUAUGAAACAAGGGAAAGUGAAGAACAAGAAGAAUGAUAAUGGUGGUGAAGAUGAUCGAGUUACCACUACUACUUCAGAUUUCCUUAUUGUUUAUGAUAGUGAUGUUGUUAAUUUUGCUUGCUAGGAGACUAGUUGGGUGAUUGAUAGCGGUGCCUCAAUCCAUGCUACACCUCGGAAAGAUUUCUUUACAUCUUACAUAUUCGGUGAUUUGGAAGUGUUAGAGUGGGUAAUGAUGGCUCAGCUAAAGCCCUUGGUAUGGGAGAUGUGCGUUUGAGACUAGUAAUGAUACUAUGUUGAUUUUGAAGAAUGUCAAACAUAUUUCGGAUAUCCGCAUGAAUUUAAUCUCUAUAGGUAAGCUUGAUGAUAAAGGGUUUUACAACACCUUUCGUGAUAGUCAGUGAAAGCUCACUAGAGGUUCUAUAGUGGUAGCAAAAGGAAAGAAGUGUUCCUCAUUGUAUUUGAUGUAGGCAAGGGUAAUUGAUUCCAGUAUCAAUGCAGUGGAUGAUGAUAGCAUAGUUGAGCUUUGGCACAACAGACUCAGUCACAUGAGUGAGAAGGGCUUGAUGAUUUUGGCUAAGAAGAAUCUUCUUUCUGGUAUGAAGAAAGGAUCUUUGAAAAGGUGUGCUCAUUGCUUAGUAGGAAAGUAGACCAGAGUUGCAUUCAAAACACACCACCAUACAAGGAAGUCAGGUAUGCUUGAUUUAGUGUAUUCUGAUGUGUGUGGUCCUAUGAAAACAAAAACACUUAGUGGAUCUCUAUAUUUUGUGACUUUUAUAGAUGAUCAUUCAAGAAAUAUUUGGGUGUAUGCCUUGAAAACAAAAGACCAAGUAUUAGAGGUGUUUAAGCAGUUUCAUGCUCUUGUUGAGAGACAAUCUGGUGAAAAAUUGAAAUGCAUCUGGACUGAUAAUGAGGGUGAGUAUUCUAGUCCUUUUGAUGAGUAUUGUAGACAACAUGGUAUUCGACAUCAAAAGACACCUCCUAAGACUCCUCAGUUGAAUGGGUUGGCUAAGAGAAUGAAUAAGACACUGGUUGAAAGGGUGAGAUGUUUACUUUCGCAGUCACAGUUUCCAAGAUCCUUUUGGGGUGAGGCUUUGAAUACUGUUAUACAUGUUCUUAAUCUUACACUAUGUGUUCCUUUAGAAUUUGAUGUUCCGGAUAGAAUUUGGUCAGAUAAUGAAAUCUCUUAUGAUCACUUGCGUGUCUUUGGAUGCAAGACUUUUGUGCACAUUCCGAAAGAUGAGAGGUCUAAGCUUGAUGCUAAGACAAGACCUUGUGUAUUCAUUGGCUAUGGUCAGGAUGAGCAUGGUUACAAGUUUUAUGAUCCGGUGCAGAAAAAGCUUGUAAGAAGCCGAGAUGCUAUGUUUAUGGAAAUCAUACCAUACAAGACAUUGAGAUGACUGAUGCAACAGAGUUUCAGUAUAGUGAUAAUCUGAUUGACUUAGAUCCAGUUCCUUUGACACAUCUUCCUACAUAGGUUGAAGAUGAAACACAUGAGGACCAACCUAACAUUGGUGGUGUUGAAACUCCCACACAGGUUGAGAUGGAUAAUGAUGUUCAUGAGCAGUCACCAGUAGCAGAGGCUCCACCAGAUAUUCCACUCAGGAGGUCUACUAGAGACCGACAUCCUCCCACAUGGUAUUCUGUUGAUGAUUAUGUAUUACUAACUGAUGGGGGAGAACCUAAAAUUUAUGAGGAAGCCAUGGGAGAUGAAAAUAAGAUGAAGUGGGUUGAUACUAUGCAAGAUGAGAUGAAGUCAUUGCAUGAGAAUCGUUCUUUUGAGCUUGUCAAGUUGCCAAAGGGAAAAAGAGCUUUGAAGAACAAGUAGGUUUAUAGAGUGAAGCAAGAAGAACACACUUCACAACCACGUUACAAAGCUAGAUUGGUUGUCAAAGGAUUCAGUCAAAAGAAAGAUAUUGAUUUUGAUAAGAUUUUUUCUCCUGUUGUUAAGAUGUCAUCUAUUCAUGUAGUUUUGGGCUUGACAACUAGUCUUGAUUUGGAGAUUGAGCAAAUGGAUGUUAAUACUGCAUUUCUCCAUGGUGAUUUAGACAAAGAAAUUUAUAUGGAACAACUAGAGGGUUUCACAAUAAAAGGAAAAGAGGAUUAUGUGUGUAAGUUGAAGAAAAGUCUUUAUGGCUUGAAGCAGGCACCGAGGCAGUGGUAUAAGAAGUUUGAAUCAGUUAUGGGGAAGCAAGGCUACCGAAAAACUUCUUCUGACCAUAGCGUAUUUGUGCAGAAAUUCUCUGAUGAUGAUUUUGUUAUAUUGUUGCUCUAUGUUGAUGAUAUUUUGAUUUGAUAGAAAUGUUUCAAGAAUUGAUAAGUUGAAGAAGCAAUUAAGCAAAUCCUUUUCCAUGAAGGAUUUGGGGUCAGCAAAGAAAAUUCUAGGUAUUAGAAUUGAGCGAGAUAGAGUAUCCAAGAAGCUGUAUAUGUCACAGGAGCAAUAUAUUGAAAAGGUGCUUGAAAGAUUAAACAUGAGCAAAGCUAAAGUAGUUAGUUCUCUUCUAGCUAGUCACUUUAAGCUAAGCAGCAGACAUAGCCCUUUUACAGAUAAGGAGAAGGAAGACAUGAGAAGAGUUCCAUAUGCCUCAAUAGUAAGAAGUUUGAUAUAUGCCAUGGUAUGUACUAGACCAGACAUAGCUUAUGCCAUUGGUGUUGUUAGCUGCUUUCUAUCUAAUCCAAGAAGACUACAUUGGGAGGCAAUUAAGUGGAUUAUGAGAUCUUUGCUAGACACUUCCAAGUUGAAACUCACUUUUGGAAGUAGGAAACUAAUACUUGUUGGAAUCAACCUUCAUGGUAUGACCUCCAAAUAUAGGUGCCCCAACUUUUGGUCAAUUUUUGAAGUAUUGGGAAUUCCAAUUGCACUUACAUUUGAUAAGUACUUUGUAUAAAACUCGAUGUUUUCCUUUGCAAUAUAGCAUUUGGCAAUGCAACCUUUGGGUUGUUUACUGUUUCGUACAUAGCCUUUUAACACUUUCUUGAACCUUUCAAAUGGGUACAUCUACCUAAGGUAAACCAGUCCACAAAGUCUCACCUCUUUUAUAAGAUGCACCAUAAGAUGUACCAUGAUAUCAAAGAAUGAAGGUGGGAAAUACUUUUCAAACAAGCACAAUGUCGCCACAACCUCAUUUUGUAACUCAUCUAAUGUAGACCUCAACCACUUUAUUACAGAGAGCAUUGAAAAAGGAACUCAAUCUACAGAUGGCAUUCCUCACAAGCUUUGGAAAAAUAGUUUGUAAUGAAACUGCCAAUAACUGUUGCAUUAAUGUAUGAUAGUCAUGGGAUUUCAAGCCAUAAAGCUUCAAGUCUUCCAUUAACACAAUGUUUCGAAGGUUAGAGCAAUAUCCAGAAGGAACCUUCAAUUGUGAAAGAGUUUGGAAAAAUACCUUCCUUUCCAUUUUGGAAAGUGUAUAACAUGUAGGAGGGAGAUAUGUUCUCUUUGAUUCAAACCUUGGUGCCAAUUCACUUCUUAAGCCCAUGUCUACGAGAUCUAAACGAUAGUUGAGUUCAUCCUUUGUCUUACCUGGAAUGUUGAGUAAGAUACUAAUGAUGUUUUCACAAACAUUUUUCUCAAUAUGCAUUACAUCCAAAUUAUGACGAACAUGAAGAUAUUUUCAAUACUCAUGAUCAAAGAAUAUGAACUUCUUCUUCCAACAAUUUGCAUUGAUAACUUUGGAUUUACCACGAUUAACUUUUUUUUCCUCCAUGAAUUACAAAUGAAAUUAAUUUUCCUGAGAAUUUCCUUUCCACUUAAUAUUUGUGGAGGUGACCUAAACUCUUGUUCACCAUCGAAUGUUUUUUUUUUUUGUUUCCUAAAUGGAUGGUUGCAUGGAAGAAAUUGUCUAUGUCCUGUAUAUGAGUUAUUUUUUUACAUGUUUCAAUCUAUGAGAAUAUGUUUCUUCCCUGUAUAUUGGACAACCAAAAUAUCCUUUAACUGUGCACUCAGACAAGUUUCCAUAUACAGAGAAGUCACUGAUUGUCCAUAAUGGAACAAAUCUUAAUGUAAAGAACUCUCGUUGAUGUUCAUUGUAAGCUUGGACUCCGACCUCUCAUAAUGUUUUAAGAUCUUCUAUCAACGAUGUUAAAUAGAUGUUAAGGUCAUUACUAGGUUUUCGUGGACCUAAAAUUAACAAAGAUAACAUCAUAAAUUUUAUCUUCAUGCACAACCAUGGAGGAAGGUUAUAAAUUAUCAUGAGAAUAGACCAAAAACUAUGUUUGCUACUUAAUGAACUGUGAGGAUUUAUGUCAUCUGCUGAGAUGACAAGUCUUAGGUUUCUAGGUUCUAAGGAAAACUCGGGCCGUCUAUGGUCAACUAGCUUCCAUGAUGGUGAGUCUGAUGGAUGACACAUUUUCCCAUCAAAAUCUCUUUCUUUGGCAUGCCAUAUGAGGUAUUUUGCGAUUUUUGAUGAUUGAAACAUUCUUCUAAAUCUUGGAACUGGAGGAAAAUACCACAUUACUUUUGCAAGAACUCCCUUCCUCUUUUUAGUUUCUGUCAUGUUUGUCUUCCACCUUGAAGUUCCACAAGAAGGACAUGAGGAUGCAUCUUUCAACUCAUUCCUAUAAAGUAUACAAUCAUUAGGACAUGCAUGUAUUUUCUCAUAUUCAAUUCCCAAUGUAUUCAAUGUCUUUUUUUGCUUCAUACAUAGACAAAGGCAACUCAUUAUUUACAAGCAACAUAUUUCCAAGCAUUUCUAAAAGCUUUGAAAAGCUUUUAGCAAACUGCCCAAAGCAUGCUUUUAGGUUGUACAAUUCAAUCAAUGUAGACAAUUUUGUAAAAAUUCUACAACUAGGAUAUAAAGGUUUUUUUACAUCUUUCAAUAAUAUUUGAAAUGAUUCUAGGUCAUUUUUACAAUCCUCCUGUGCAACUUGAACCAUUUCUAUUGUAUUAUGCACAUCAUCAAAUUAAACUCUAUCAUAAUGUUUUGCUCUUGUAGUUGGUGGUCCAAUUGGAGUUGCCUCUCCAUGCCAAUACCAUGUAUUAUGGUAACUUUGAUCAAUUUCGUGGAAAAACAUAUGCUCUCUAAUCUUUUGAGGAGUAUGGAAUAUCAUAUUACCACACUAUAAGUAUGGACAUUUAAUGGAGUUUUUAUUUUCAGAAUUUUGUAUUGCAAAUGUGAUAAAAUGUGAUAAAAUGUUCUACCCCAUCCUUGUACUCCUUCGAUCUUCUAUCCUUUGAAAUCUAUGAACGAUCCAUUUUUUAAUAACAAACUUCCAAUAGUGAUCAAACUUCAAAUUGAAGAAAAUAUCAACAUUUUCUAUGUCAUUCAUUUAGCAACCUCUCUUUCCUCUGUUCAAAGAAUAAUCAGGAAUCAAUUUAAUACAACAUUUGCUUAAGAUGCUAGAUUUAAGAGAAAAAGUGUGAGCAUUAAUGUCCUAACCAUUUUGAAUUGUGUACAUAGAUUUACACUAUUGGAAUAACACGCUAAUUAUUGACAAUUUUAAAAAGUGCUAAGGAAAAAAAAGGUCAUUGUAUAUAUUAUAUAUAGUAGUGAUUAAGAAGCUAUAAAUGUUAUUGACCUUGAAUACUUGCAUUAAAGAGGAUGUACAAUCUCAAUUAAACAAGUGCAUAUUAAUAUUAUUAACAUGUACAAUUCAAGUUGUGUUGCAUUUUUUUUAUGGCAUUUAACAUCUCCAACUUUGUAAAUUAGGGAAUGGUUCCUAUCCCAUAUAAGAAUACAUAAUCUCUAUGAGUCAACUGCCAAUAUGCUCAAUUUAAUUUAAAAAGAUUUCAGCAACAUUUCCUUAUGAUUCUCCAAGUACACAAAAUGGAUAAGGCAUAAUAUGUAACCUUGUCCAAGUAUGUACCCAAAGAACAAGAAGAAAGAGUACCAAAAUUUAUUUAAAAUGAAUUAAGAAUAAGCAAUUAAUUUCAUUGAUAUUAUGUUUUCCUACACUGUCCAGUCAAACAAUUCAAACAUCAUUUGUAGAGAAAAAAUCUUUAUCACAUGGUAGACAAUUUAAAAGUUGUCAACGUGAAACUAGUAUAGAUAAAACCAUUUUCACCUUUUGACAACUAAAAUGUCUUUACUAUGUAAUAACAAAAACUUUUGUUUGACAAUGAUACUUGAACGGGAACUCUAAGGUUGUAUGCAAGCAUAGUUGAUUAAAAUUAAAACACAAUUACUUACUAAAAUAUUACAACAAAACAACAUAACUCUCAUUCUAUUACGUUUAUCUUAAAUAUAUAACAUUUAACAUGGAGACCCAAAAACCUUUUCACAACUUAGAGAGAAACAUCUUCUACAAAAAGGUCCACACCAAAUUUAAUCAAAUUAAUCUAAAUUGGCAAUUUUAAAUAAACAUCAAGUAAUUAUCCUUCAAAACAAAUAAUAAGACAAUCAAAAUUUUACAACUAAUUUUUUUGUCCAAAUUUUAGCCUAUAAUGGUAUUUUGUGAACUAAAUAAUUUUAACUUGUCUCUAUGCAGUGCUUUUAUAUUUGGUGUUUUUUAGAAGAAUUGACAAGCAUUAUAGGGAUAAUAUAUGGUUUAACAUAUAUUUUUUUUCAUUUAAAAUAAAAAUUAUGAAAACAUUAAGUAUUAAGAUGACAAUAUUUUUGGUUUGAUUACAAUUUUAAUCUCUUUAUUAUAAAACUAAUAUAAUAUACAUCUAAAUAAUGUGUAAAGAAAUUCUAGAUGCCUAUGUAAAUAAAUAAAUAGUGCAUCCUAAUGAAAAAACUGAGAAUUAAUUUCAUAUUUUGGAACAUUCUAUACAAUCAAUGAUAUGAAUAAAUUAGAUUAAACAAUAUAAUCAAUUAAAUCAAUUAACAUUUCAUCACUUAAAAUUAAUACAUGCAAACCUAGGUGUUAGUGUGUGAAGCAUGACUCGCUUUGUAAACCAUAUAUCAUAAUAUAGGAGCACACGGUAAUGAAUAGGGAACAUGGUUUUCAUAAUUUUAAAAAAUUAAUACAUAAAUUUUGAAAUUAUAAUUUUAACCUUUUAAAUAUCUAAACUAAGUAAUCAUCAUAAUAGGAAAUUUAUCCCAAAUACCCUUUUGAACCAAAUAUCCUAAAAUUGUUUUUAGGUUAUAAUUAAAUUUUGUGUUAUCAAUUUUAAUUUAAUUUUUACUAUUUUCUGUUUUCAAAUGGUUUGGUAAAUCAUUUUAAUAUAUUUAUAAUCAAUCAAGUAAAUUAAUUUAAUAUAAAAUAUAUUUAUUUAAAAUAAUUUUUAGUUUAAUAAAUAAAAUAUUCAUAUUAUACUUUUACGAUCAUAUUUUAUCCAUAUAAAUAAUAUUCACCCAUGAUAAUAUUUAUAUUUCUUUUAUAUCAUAUUUCCUACAAGAUCUCAUAUUUGAUUUUAUUUCAUGUCAUUUUGAACCUUUUAAAAAGUUCUUAAGAAAACUUUGAAACAUAGAAUUGGUUUAUUCCCUUUUUCGUUUUUCUGUUAUUUUUAUAUAAAAUAAAAAUAGAGAAAAUACCCAUAUUUGAACAAUAUACCUAUAAAUUUGGAAUUCUUUUAUGAAAAAAUCAAUUAAAAUGAAUGAGAUAAUAUUUCUAUUUUCAUCCUUGAACUAUUUAAUCGAAAAGAUAAGGAUUAAAAAAUUGUAGAAGGCAUUUUUUUCUUCUUAUUUUUAAAAGAUAAAGAUCAUUGUUUUGAAUUUUGUGUUUCAAUAUACCUUAACCAAAUAACCGUUUCUUUAUUAAAUAUUCAUUUUAUUUUAUUUUUAUCAAAUUGAUAAUAUUAAUAUACGACAAUAAUAAAUGAUUAAGAAGAAAAUAGUAAUAAAAGCAACAGAGAAAAUGAUGACGAAUAGAAUGAAGAAAGAAGAAAUCUUUUGCCUGGACAAUGCCACAUCAAAGCAAAAUGAGACCAAGGGAGGAAGUGCUCUGGAGGCUUCAAGCCUUGAAUGGAUGCCAACAAGGCGUAGUGGAGCCAUCCCCUUGACUCACGCCUGAGCAAAGCCUGAGCCAUGGUAACAAAUAUCUUUGAAUAAAGAAUAUUUUUCUUACAUACCCCAAUUAUUGUUAUAUCUAAUUGACACCAUAGUACGUGCUAAUAUGCCUAAAAAACUUGUUAGAUGCAAAGAAGCUUGUCCAACAUAAAUACCAUCGGGAUUGUACUUCAUCAUAAGCUUUACCCUUCUACUCUAGUUCUUGAUAAUCAUAGACUUUUGAGUUAUCCCUCUACACCUCCUUUUUGUAGGUGGUUUUUCUCCUUGCUCUAGAUCCCUACUUGUAAUAAAAAUAGUUAUAAAGUUUAAAAGUAAGUUUAUAAAAUAUCCAUAAAUCCAUACAAAAUUUGUAUGAAAUAUCUAACUAAAAUUUUAAGUAUCAAAACUUCAAUUGAGCUAUAUAGAACACAAUAUUGAAAAUAGAUCUGUCAAUGUUUUUUUGAAGCCAAUCUGACAUUAACUAAAAUUGAAACCAUACCAAUUAUCUAAUAGUAUAGACAAAUGAACCAAUAAGCAUAAGGUUUACCUUCUAGAAAACUAUACUAGCAUAUCAAUUCACCACAUAAAAAAUGAACAACAACUACUUAGACAAAUACAUGUUGCAAUAAAAACUAAAAUGCAUUUUGAAAUAAAAUAAAAUUUUGAUCACAUCAUUAUAACAAGCCUUCAAUUCAUUUACAUAUAAGAUUUGUUCUUAACCCAAAUCCCCUCACCAUCACGUCACAUACAAAUUGCAUCAAAGUCUUCCAUAGCAUCAAAUGAUUCAACUUGUGGCAAAGAAAAAAUGACUGGAUGGUGUUCAAUAGAGUUGUCCAUGAGAUCAUCACCCUCGUCCCUUUCCAAGAAGUCUUGUUGAGAAGUUGAUAAAACAAUUGACCAUCUUGGAUCAAGUUCAUCUUGUACGUAUAAAACUUGCUUAGCCUAAGAAGCUAAAAUGAAAAGAUUUGAUUUAUGAGCCAUUUUGUUGAAGUCAGCUAAGGUUAACCUAAGAUCAUCAACUCUAAUUCUGUUCUUAUUAUCAACCCAAUCACAAUUGAAGAUUGGAAUCCUAAACAUGGUAAAAUCAAGGUUCCAAAUCUCAGUAAUAACCCCAUAGAAACAAACCUCACCAAAUACUGGAUUUUUAUCCUUGGCACUAGCAAUUUGCAUUGUUGUUGCUACAAUAUUGACUCCACUGUUUUGGGUAGCUCGUAAAUCAUCAUGCCCCUUGGUAUGGUAGUGGCACCCAUAAUGACACAACCUUGAUACUUAAACACAUAAUGGCUAGGACCAUGAGCUAUCCAUUUAAGGGUUUUAGAUUAGGUUCUUCAUUACUAAUGGCAACUUCAACUUGUAUAGAUAAGUUAUAGUUAUUAUUAACAUAGAUAACCAUGAGUGUAAAGAAUACGAUAAAUUUUACUACCACUCUAGUACCUUAUGUCGCAACCAAUAAGUAAAAGUACGCAUAGGCUCAUCUUGUAGCCAUUUUUGUCUUUUAGCUUGACAUGGAUAUUUCAUUUUCAACCAUUUCAUGUGAUCUUUAUGAAGUCAUGUAUAAUAAUUUUAUAGUUAGUAUCCUAUAUUUAUUAUAAGUAUGAUAAACAAAGAAACAAAAGUGUGUCCCACUUACUUGACAUAAGGUUGGAUGAUUGUUGUAUUCUCCAACACAUAAUGAUGUGCUUGUAACCAUAAAUUGGAAUCAACCUUCAUGGUAUGACCUCCAAAUAUAGGUGCCCCAACUUUUGGUCAAUUUUUGAAGUAUUGGGAAUUCCAAUUGCACUUACAUUUGAUAAGUACUUUGUAUAAAACUCGAUGCUUUCCUUUGCAAUAUAACAUUUAGCAAUGCAACCUUUGGGUUGUUUACGAUUUCGUACAUAGCCUUUUAACACUUUCUUAAACCUUUCAAAUGGGUACAUCUACCUAAGGUAAAUCGGUCCACAAAGGCUCACCUCUUUUACAAGAUGCACCGUAAAAGAUGUACCAAGAUAUCAAAGAAUGAAGGUGGGAAAUACUUUUCAAACAAGCACAAUGUCACCACAACCUCAUUUUGUAACUCAUCUAAUGUAGACCUCAACCACUUUUACUAUAGAGAGCAUUGAAAAAUGAACUCAAUCUACAAAUGCCAUUCCUCACAUGCUUUGGAAAAAUAGUUUGUAAUGAAACUGUCAAUAACUAUUACAUUAAUGUAUGAUAGUCAUGGGAUUUCAAGCCAUAAAGCUUCAAGUCUUCCAUUGACACAAUGCUUCGAAGGUUAGAGCAAUAUCCAGAAGGAACCUUCAAUUGUGAAAGAGUUUGGCAAAAUACCUUCCUUUCCAUUUUGGAAAGUGUAUAACAUGUAGGAGGGAGAUAUGUUCUCUUUGAUUCAAACCUUGGUGCCAAUUCACUUCUUAAGCCCAUGUCUACGAGAUUUAAAUGAUAGUUGAGUUCAUCCUUUGUCUUACCUGGAAUGUUGUGUAAGAUACUAAUGAUGCUUUCACAAACAUUUUUCUCAAUAUGCAUUACAUUCAAAUUAUGAUGAACAUGAAGAUAUUUUCAAUACUCAAGAUCAAAGAAUAUGAACUUCUUCUUCCAACAAUUUGCAUUGAUAACUUUGGAUUUACCACGAUUAACUUUUUUUUCCUCCAUGAAUUACAAAUGAAAUUAAUUUUCUUGAGAAUUUCCUUUCCACUUAAUAUUUGUGGAGGUGGCUUAAACUCUUAUUCACCAUUGAAUGUUUUUUUUUUCCCUAAAUGGAUGGUUACAUGGAAGAAACCAUCUAUGUCCUGUAUAUGAGUUAUUUUUUUCCCUGUUUCAAUCUACGAGAAUAUGUUUAUUUAUUGCAUAUUGAAUAACCAAAAUAUCCUUUAACUGUGCACCCAAACAAGUUUUCAUAUACAGGAAAGUCACUGAUUGUCCAUAAUAGAACAACUCUUAAUGUAAAGAACUCUUGUUGAUGUGCAUCAUAAGCUUGGACUCUGAUCUCCCACAAUGUUUUAAGAUCUUCUAUCAACGAUGCUAAAUAGAUGUAAAUGUCAUUCCCAAGUUUUCGUGGACUUGAAAUUAACAAAUAUAACAUCAUAAAUUUUUUCUUCAUGCACAACCAUGGAGGAAAGUUAUAAAUUAUCAUGAGAAUAGGCCAACAGCUAUGUUUGCUACUUAAUGAACUGUGAGGAUUUCUACCAUCUGCUGAGAUGACAAGUCUCAGGUUUCUAGGUUCUGAGGAAAACUCAGGCCAUCUAUGGUCAACUAGCUUCCAUGAUGGUGAGUCUAAUGGAUGACGCAUUUUCCCAUCAAAAUCUCUUUCUUUGGCAUGCCAUAUGAGCUUUUUUGUGAUUUUUGAUGAUUGAAACAUUCUUCUAAAUCUUGGAACUGAAGGAAAAUACCACAUUACUUUUGCAGGAACUCCCUUCCUCUUUUUAGUUCUUGUCCUAUUUGUCUUCCACCUUGAAGUUCCACGAGUAUGACAUGAGGAUGCAUCUUUCAACUCAUUCCUAUAAAGUAUACAAUCAUUGGGACAUGCAUGUAUUUUCUCAUAUUCCAUUCCCAAUGCAUUCAAUGUCUUUUUUGCUUCAUACAUAGACAAAGGCAACUCAUUAUUUACAAGCAACAUAUUUCCAAGCAUUUCUAAAAGCUCUGAAAAGCUUUUAUCAAACUACCCAAAGCGUGCUUUUAUUUUUAUAAUUUAAUCAAUGUAGACAAUUUUGUAAAGUUUCUACAACUAGGAUAUAAAGGUUUUCUACAUCUUUCAAUAACCAUUUCUAUUGUAUUAUGCACAUCAUCAAAUUGAACUCUAUCAUAAUAUUUUGCUCUUAUAGUUGGUGGUCCAAUUGGAGUUGCCUCUCCAUGCCAAUACCAUGUAUGGUAACUUUGAUCAAUUCCAUGGAAAAACAUAUGCUUUCUAAUCUUUUGAGGAGUAUGGAAUAUCAUAUUACCACAUUGUAAGUAUGGACAUUUAAUGGAGUUUUUAUUUACAGAAUUUUGUAUUGUAAAUGUGAUAAAAUGUUCAACCCCAUCCUUAUACUUCUUCGAUCUUCUAUCCUUUGAAAUCUAUGAACGAUCCAUUUUUUAAUAACAAACUUCCAAUAGUGAUCAAACUUCAAAUUGAAGAAAAUAUCAAUAUUUUCUAUAUCAUUCAUUUAGCAACCUUUCUUUCCUCUGUUCAAAGAAUAAUCAAGAAUCAAUUUAAUACAACAUUUGAUUAAAAGGCUAGAUUUAAGAGAAAAAGGGGUGAGCAUUAAUGUCCUAACCAUUUUGAAUUUUGUAUAUAGAUUUACACUAUUGGAAUAACACACUAAUUAUUGACAAUUUUAAAAAGUGCCAAGGAAAAAAAAGGUCAUUGUAUAUGUUAUACAUAGUAGUGAUUAAGAAGCUAUAAAUGUUAUUGACCUUGAAUACUUGCAUUAAAGAUGAUGUACAACCUCAAUUAAACAAGUGCAUAUUAAUAUUAUUGACAUAUACAAUUCAAGUUGUGUUGCAUUUUUUAUGGCAUUUAACAUCUCCAACUUCGUAAAUUAGGGAGUGGUUCCUAUCCCAUAUAAGAAUACAUAAUCUUUAUGUGUCAACUGCCAAUGUGCUCAAUUUAAUUUUAAAAAAAAAAAAAAAAAUGGCAGCAUUUCCCUAUGGUUCUCCAAGUACACAAAAUGAACAAGACAUAAUAUGUGACCUUGUCCAAGUAUGUACCCAGAGAACAAGAAGAAAGAGUACCAAAAUUUCUUUAAAAUGAAUUAAGAAUAAGCAAUUAACUUCAUAGCUAUUAUGUUUUCCUACACUAUCCAAUCAAACAAUUCAAACAUCAUUUGUAGAGAAAAGAUCUUUAUCACAUGGUAGACAAUUUAAAAGUUGUCAUCGUGAAACUAGUAUAGAUAAAACCAUUUUCACCUUUUGACAACUAAAAUGUCUUUACUAUCUAAUAACAAAAAUUUGUCUCACAAUGAUACUUGAACGAGAACUCUAAGAUUGCAUGCAAGCAUAGUUGAUUAAAAUUAAAACACAAUUACUUACUAAAAUAUUACAAAAAAAAAAAACAUAACUCUCAUUCUAUCAUGUUUAUCUUAAAUAUAUAACAUUUAACAUGGAGACCUAAAAACCUUUUCGCAACUUAGAGAGAAACAUCUUUUACAAAAAGGUCUACACCAAAUCUAAUCAAAUUAAUCUAAAUUGACAAUUUUAAAUAUACAUCAAGUAAUUAUCCUACAAAACAAAUAAUAAGGCAAUCAAAAUUUUAUAAUUAAUUUUUUGGUCCAAAUUUUAGCCUAUAAUGGUAUUUUGUGAACUAUAUAAUUUUAACUUGUCUCUAUGUAGUGCUUUUAUAUUUGGUGUUUUUGAGAAGAAUUCACAAGCAUUAUAGGGAUAAUAUAUGGCUUAACAUACAUUUUUUUUUCAUUUAAAAUAAAAAUUAUGAAAACAUUAAGUAUUAAGAUGGCAAUAUUUUUGGUUUGAUUAAAAUUUUAAUCUCUUUAUUAUAAAACUAAUAUAAUAUACAUCUAAAUAAUAUGUAAAGAAAUUCUAGAUGCCUAUGUAAAAAAAUAAAUAGUGCAUCCUAAUGGAAAAACUAAGAAUUAAUUUCAUAUUUUGGAACAUUCUAUAUAGUCAAUGAUACAAAUAAAUUAGAUUAAACAAUAUAUUCAAUUAACAUUUCAUCACUUAAAAUUAACACAUGCAAACCCUACGUGUUAGUGUGUAAAGCAUGACUCGCUUUGUAAACCAUAUAUCAUAAUAUAGGAGCACACGGUAAUGAACAGGGAACAUGGUUUUCAUAAUCUUAAGAAAUUAAUAAAUAAAUUUUGAAAUUAUAAUUUUAACCUUUUAAAUAUCUAAACUAAGCAAUCAUCGUAAUAGGAAAUUUAUCCUAAAUACCCCUUUGAACCAAAUAUCCUAAAAUUGUUUUUAGGUUAUAAUUAAAUUUUUGUGUUAUCAAUUUUUAUUUAAUUUUUACUAUUUUCUAUUUUCAAAUGGUUUGGUAAAUUAGUUUAAUAUAUUUAUAAUCAAUCAAGUAAAUUAAUUUAAUAUAAAGUAUAUUUAUGUAAAAUAAUUUUUAGUUUAAUAAAUAAAAAUUUAUAUUAUACUUUUACGGUAAUAUUUUAUCCAUAUAAAUAAUAUUCACCCAUCAUAAUAUUUGUAUUCCUUUUAUAUCAUAUUACCUACAAGAUCUCAUAUUUGAUUUUAUUUCCUGUCAUUUUUAACCUUUUAAAAAAUUCUUAAGAAAAUUUUGAAACAUAGAAUUGGUUUAUUCCCUUUUUCGUUUUUCUGUUAUUUUUAUAUAAAAUAAAAAUAGAGAAAAUACCCAUAUUUGAAAAAUAUACCUAUAUAUUUGGAAUUCUUUUAUAAAAAAAUCAAUUAAAAUGAAUGAGAUAAUAUUUCUAUUUUCAUCCUUGAACUAUUUAAUCGAAAAGGUAAGGAUUAAAAAAUUGUAGAAGACAUUUUUUUCUUCUUAUUUUUAAAAGAUAAAGAUCAUUGUUUUGAAUUUACUGUUUCAAUAUACCUUAACCAAAAAACCGUUUCUUUAUUAAAUGUUCAUUUUAUUUUUUUAUCAAAUUGAUAAUAGUAAUAUACGACAAUAAUAAAUGAUUAAGAAGAAAAUAGUAAUAAAAGCAAUAGAGAAAAUAAUGACGAAUAGAACGAAGAAAGCAUAAAUCUUUUUCCUGGACAAUGCAACGUCAAAGCAAAAUGAGACCAAGGGAGGAAGUGCUCUGGAGGCUUCAAGCCUUGAAUGGAUGCCAACAAUGCGUAGUGGAGCCAUCCCCUGACUCACGCCUGAGCAAAGCCUGAGCCAUGGUAACAAAUAUCUUUGAAUAAAGAAUAUUUUUCUAACAUACCCCAAUUAUGUACUAAAGUAGACAGCUGAGAGUUACUACUUGUAAGCAAGAAUAGCCUGAUCAUCUUCAUUGAGGAGCAUUCAUAAACACUACUACUGUUUUAAAAGUGGAUUUAUGCAAAUUUAAUACAGAAUUCCUCCAACAAUCACCCAAGAAGACUUGAUCUUUACUUAAUUAACAAGUCCAAAUAGAGAUAUUUGGGCUUAGGUAGAGAUAUGAUCUACUGGACCUAUAUAUAAGAUGAAAUUGAAUCGUGACAUUUAUUAGUUUAUGUCAUUUUAUACGCAAUGUUGUCGUUUUCAUAGCAUAACUAUAUUUUGUUUUCCUAAAGAUCUUUUAGGCAUAUCUCAUAAUGUUAUAGAAUCUGGGUUAUAAAAUUAACUAAUUGAUAAAAUUGUUCACAAUUAUUUUUAGUAUUGUGACGUUGAUUUAAUAAAAUUCCACUUAGUAGUUUUAUAUCCCUUAAUAGCCAUGCCUCAUAGUUUUAAUAUGAAAUAUUUUUGUUUCCAUGGCUAAUCUCACCUUGUAUAUUUGAAAGCCCUGUUAUUCUUGGAGAAAUGUUAAUUAAAAACUCGAGUUUGCUCUAUUUUAGUCAUCAACAAACCCUAUCUAGUGGUAGCAAUAAAUUUACCCUGAUUAACAAUAUAAAAAAAGGCAUAAUAUAAAGGAAGAUGUGAUGUUGUAAAGAUUUGACCCCAAGAAACCAUGAAAAAUGAAACUAUUGCAAUUUAAAUAUUAAAACUAAGCAGAGACGAGAGCUAAAUAGUGGUAUAAACCUAGAUAGUGCAAUAGGUGAAGAAAUAGCAUAGGAUCAAAUUUGUAUGCAAGUUUUUGUCUUUAAACAUGCAAUUGUUUGAAGCAUGAGAAAUUCUCAAUAUUUAAUUUCCAUUACAUUUUAUUAAUCAUUUCCUUUUAUGGACAAAGAUUUUGGAUGUAUAUAUUAGUGAAAGUGAGGACUCAAGCAUGCUAUCUGAUCAAAGAAUUUCCAAUGAUUUUUUUUUUCUAGCUCCCAAAUUUUUGCACUAGUCUCCUUUUCCAAUAAGUCACAUGGAAAAUUUUAAGACUAUCCACCUCAAAAGCAUUAGCAUUAGCAAAAAAAGCAAUUUAAACUUUUAGUUGUGUAUGGAAAGUAUGGGUGUGUAUUUCAUUUUCAGUAAGAAAAAAUAGCAGUAUGUACAUAAAUUACCUAUGACUGAGGAUCAAAGCAAAGAUGAAAACUGUGAUCUGGAAAGCUAAUGACUAUAUCCAGCUUCAGUGGCUCUUGUAUAAAUUGUCAUAACAAUGAGAUGUUUUACUAGAAAUAUCUCCAAUCUGCCUCUUAGCAAUGCUGGAAAUGCAAGAUACUUAAGAAGAAGACAUUAACUAGAUCAACAUCUUAUCUUAAAACUUCGAUUUAAGAAAAGAGUGCUAUCUUUGGGUACUUAGGAAUUCAGGGGAAGCUACUAAAACUUACUUUUGCAUGAUGUUUAGAUGAUAGUAACAUGAACAUCUAUGGCCAUGCUACUUCAUGGAUGAUUGUAUUAACAGAGCAAUUCCCGUGUCAAAAUUCCUUUAGUUAUCACACCUUGAUUCACUUCCAAGGCCCCAGUAAUAAAAAAAUAAAAGGUUUCAAGAACCCACAUAUUUGAUGAUGAAGUCUUCUGUUUCAAUUGACUUUAAAGCCACAAAACCAAUAACAUUUUGGUGACAUUAGCUUCUUCAUUAUUGGAGCUAUUCAAUAGCAAAUAACCCCCUACCCCACCAGCCAACCACCCUAAAAAAUACCUCAUGUUUUGGUCUUAAACACCCCAUACAAAUAUAACAAUUUGACUUGGAGAAUUCCAUAGAAUAUUUAGUAUGGGAACUACUCUGAAGAUUGACCUGUCUUGGCAAGAGCUCCAUAUGCAGAACCUACAGGCAUAAUCUACCCCAACUCCUACCCAAAAUUUUCGAUUAAAACAUAUAGGGUUUUACUUCGUUUAAAGAUAUAAAUCAAAUUCAUAGGAAUCGUUUUGGUUGGUAACACAUUUUUAUUUAAUAAACCCUAAAAAAGUUAUAUUAAAGGUGAUAAAAAAAUUAAUAUAAUUUUUAAUGAAAUUAAGAAAAACCAAGAAAAAAUCAGGACUUUACCUUGAAUCACUAAGUGGAUGGAGACAAUGGAAUGUCUUGCGGUCCCAAGUUGUUUCUUCUCAAAACAGUUGGAGUUAUUUUUCUCGUUUAUUUGGAGAAAAUAGGCUUUGGCCAAAUGGAAAAUGAAAGAAAAAAAUUAGGGUUUAGAUUAAAAGAAAAAACCCCACCAAAAUCUAUGCAUGUGCAAAACUUACUCUUCUAAUUAGUGGACUUCCCACUUCAACUGGUCUUUCAAUCUCGACUACAUUGAUGUAAUACUUCUAUUGUUGAAAUGAAAACCUGUAAAUCUCAUCUCACUUUUGGUUACUUCACAAAGGAGAAGGCCAAACACAACUCUGACAACUGACCACUAGUACAUCCUAGGCAAGUGAAGACUUAGGGUUUUGGAUGCUCUGAAUGUGAGAUUUGAAGGUAUGUGAAGGAAAAUCAUGUUUUGGCGGGUGAGGAAAUCGUGUGGAGGGAGUGGAAAUUUUAGGCAUGUUUUAGAUAAAUAUAUAUACUAGGUAGGAUAAUGACACUCUUUAGAAACAUCAAGAAUGCAAAAAUGUUAUAUAUCCAAUGACACUUAAAAUAAGCACCAACAUUUUUUAAUUUAUACAUAUCAACGACACUUGCAGAUGUGUCAUAGUAAACAAGCGCCAAUGUUUGGGCAUAAAAAAUAAAUAAUGACAUUUUUUUAAAAGUGCUAAGGAAGGAAGUGUCAUUGUUCUUGUUUUUUGUAGUAGUGAUGGUAUGGUGGAAUGAUUUUCUCUCAUCUGUGGGCGUACACAUGUUUGACCUAACCAUAUUAAAAUCUCUUAUAUCUUUAUGUGGAUUAUUUUAUUUUUGUGUAAUUGAACUAGUAUUGUUUGCAUCAAAGCUUUUGCUAGUUCAACAUAUAAUUUGUGGUGUAUGUUAGAAUUGUGUUGAAAGUGUAAGUCCUAUUCUCCUAUUUACAAAAGGCAUAAACUUUUGCACUCUAAACAUUUCAUGGCCAGCCUGAUUUUAUGCAUGUAUUCAAAACCAAAUGGUGAAUGAACACUUGAGUAGUAUUGGAGACGGAAAAGAAGAGAAGUAAUAUUGGAUAAAAGGGACANNNNNNNNNNNNNNNNNNNNNNNNNNNNNNNNNNNNNNNNNNNNNNNNNNNNNNNNNNNNNNNNNNNNNNNNNNNNNNNNNNNNNNNNNNNNNNNNNNNNUUACAUCACACAAAUUCNUUUUUUUGCAUUGAAUCUGGUUGAAGAGUUCACUACCAAUUUUUGAACUCUAAGAAUAAUAUGUAAGUAGUGCAGGCAAACACAGGAAUCUUGAAAGACAGAUAAAAAUCAAAUAACAGUCAAAAUAAAAUGUAAGUUUAACAACAUGAGAUACAAUGGAGAUCCGUAUCAAACUCCUCGAAGCUUCUGGGUCUCCAUAUUCUGCAGAGAAGUCUCGUCUGCAACUUUGUACAAGUCAACAGCCAAACUUCAUUUCCAAAUUGAUGAGUGUCCAAAAUGUGACCGACAAAUACGUUAUUAAAAGGGAAAAACAAAGGACAGAAAAAGAAAGAGAGGAGAAAAUCUAUGCUUGAUCUUUGGCACUGAAUUACUGGUUUUACUUCCAGUCAAUCCAUUCAGAUAUCUUCUCAACGCACAAGAAGGGAUUGAAAAAAUCCCAGCUCCAAUUUUCCAAAAAACAGCUUAGUCCACUAGUCAGUCAAGAACCAUGACGACUUGCAACACCCCAGUCUUCUUUGUUUUACAGAAGCUCUCAAUUUUAUAAGUGCAGACAGACCAGAAUCUCACUCAGCUCAGCUUCACAAAUUCAAGUCAGCAAUCACUCAAAUGCAUUAAACUAAUUUUUAUGCUCUUCUCCUAUUGAGAGAAAUAGGCAUUCACUUUGAAGAGACAACGCAAGUUUGUGUCAGUAGGUUAUAUGUGUACCCUGAUAAGCAAAUCCCCUCUACUGAUGGAGAUGCCAAGCUCUAGCUUGAGAUUACAGUGGUGGUUUUUCCUUGUCAACCUCAUCAUUUGUAUUAGUUUGCUUCGGUUGGAAUCUCUUUCCAGCACGCCCACUUUUGGAAAUGAAACUGAUAAGCUUGCAUUGCUCACCAUCAAGCAUUAUCUGGUUGAUGUUCCAAAUGGAGUUCUGAGUUCCUGGAAUGACUCUGCAUUUCUGCCAGUGGCAUGGGGUUACAUUCAGUCGCUGACAUCAGAGGGUCACAACGAGGGUCAAAGCUUAGGUGGUUCCUUACCACCUAUUGGGAACUGAACAUUCCAAAGAGAGUUGGUGUUGUCCAACAAUCACUUGCACGGUACUAUACCCAGUGACAUUGGUCUUUUACGAUGGAUGCAGCAUCUCAAUCUGAGCACAAAUUCCCUCCAAGGUGAGAUUCCGGUUGAAGUGCUUGAAAUAUUUAUAUUUGGAUGUAAAUAACCUGUCUGGUAUGAUUUCUCCCUCACUCUAUAAUAGGUCAUCUGCCAUUGAAUUUUUUGUAUCUGGCAACAUUCUGUCUGGAAAUUUUACUCCAAACAUGAGGUUUAAUUUUCCUCAACUCCGCAAGUUUGGCAUAGCAGGGUAUCAGUUUACUGGAAUAAUUCCAGAUACACUAUCCAAUAUUUCAGGACUUGAACUUUUGGAUCUAAGUAACAAUUAUCUAACUGGCCAAGUCCCUGAUAGCUUAGGAGUGCUCAAGGAUCUGUAUUGGUUGAACCUUGAAUUCAAUAAAUUAGGAAGGGGCAUGUCAGGCGAUUUAAAUUUUCCAUAUUCUUUGCCAAAUGUCAGCAGUUUAAGACUUAUCAAUCCACAUGCCAAUAAUUUCCGGGGCGUGUUACUCAUCUCCAUUGUUAAUCGAUCAACCCAACUGCAGAAGCUUAUCAUAGGGGGCAACAAAAUAUCUGGAAGCAUCCCAAAAGAGAUUGGGAACCUGAUCAGCUUAACUGUUUUCAGUGCAAUGCGGAAUAAUCUUACUGUGUCAUUCCCAUUUCAAUUGGCAAGCUUCAGAAUUUAAGAGUAUUCGACUUAAAUUGGAACAGGCUAUCAGGUCUGCUCCCAUCCACCGUCGGCAACUCAAGUCAACUAUACUACCUUGACAUGGGCUACAACAAUUUGGAAGGGAACAUUCCUACUCACAGGAACUGCCAAAAUAUGGAAAUUCUUUUCCUCGAUCACAAUAAGUUGAGUGGUAGUGUACCUGAAAAUGUCACUUGUCAUUUCAAUCAGUUGAGAUCACUCUACCUACAGCAAAACACAUUCACCGGUUCUCUCCCAACAGAUGUUGGUCAACUGAAAAACCUAAAUCAGCUGCUUGUUUCUGACAACAACUUGUCAGGCAAAAUCCCCAGGGAACUUGGCAGCUGUUCGAUAUUUGAGUACCUCGACAUGGCAAAAAACUCUUUCCAGGGAAACAUCCCUCUGUCAUUUAGCUCAUUGAGAGGUAUUCGGUUCCUAGACCUUUCAUGCAACAUCUUGCCUGGAACGAUUCCCAAAGAACUACAUCUUCUUGGUUUGUUGAGUUUAAAUCUGCCUUAUAACUACCUUGAAGGUGAGCUUCCAAGUGGAGGAGUUUUUAAAAAUGUGAGUGGGAUUUUAAUCACUGGGAACAAGAAGCUUUGUGGGGGGAAUCCCUCAACUUCAGCUGCCAGCAUGCUGUGAUGUAGAGUCAGCAAAGCAUGGCAAAGGGAAGCAUCUUUCAACCAAAAUUGUUAUAGCCAUAAGCAUUACUGGUGUUUCUUGCUUGGCUUUCAUAGUGGCUUCAGUUCUCCUCUAUGGGAGAAAAACGGCUGUAAUGAAGCCUUCUUCCACCUUUUUAAGAUAUGGAUACUUGAGGGUUUCUUACAAAGAGCUCCUCAAAGCAGCUAGUGGAUUUGCUUCUUCCAACUUGAUUGGCAUGGGAAGUUUUGGUUCCAUAUACAAAGGAAUUCUAAUUCGAGGUGAAAGACCUGUUGCAGUGAAGGUACUGAACCUUCAACACCGUGGAGCUACCAAGAGUUUCAUGGCUAAGUGCAAGGUCCUCAGGAAUAUUCAGCUUCGGAAUCUCCUUGGAUUCAUAACUUCAUGUUCAAGUGUGGACAACAAAGUUUGUGAUUUUAAGGCUCUAGUAUUUGAGUUCAUGCCUAAUGGGAACCUAGAUAGCUGGCUGUAUCAUGAAUCUAGAAAUUUAAGCUUCAGACAAAGAUUGGAUAUCGUAAUUGAUGUGGCUAAUGCUCUGGAUUAUCUUCAUCACCAAUGCCAGACGCCAAUUGUUCAUGGUGAUCUAAGGCCAAGCAAUGUUCUUCUUGAUGAUGACAUGGCUGCCCAUGUUGGGGACUUCGGGUUAGCCAACCUCCUUCCUGAAGCUAACGAGAUUCUGAGUAGUGGUCUGUAGGUUUUCAUUGAAACAGAGUGUGGAAACUCUUUGGAAGCAAUAGAACGUUGAGGAAUCUGAAGUUCUUAAUUUUAUUAAGCUUCAAACCACUUAUUUAUACAACUAGCUUAAAACAGAAAAACAUAAAAAUAGCAACAAACCUGCUACCUAUAGAUAAUUCCUAAAGAAUAGAAACAACCAACAAACUUCCUAAGAAAUAGGUAAAUCUUCCACAUGACUAACUUAUUUGACUACUUCCACUUCAAUCUACUCAGCUCCAUGUCAGCAGCUCCUAUGACAUGUCAUUCAACACUCCUCCUUGUCUUUGGAGCUGCAAACUCCAAGCCUUUGCCUUAAGAACUCAUAUCUAGCUUUGGGAAGUGGUUUGGUUAAGAUAUCAGCAUUCUGACUUUCUGUUUUACAGUAGACCAACUGAAUUUCUCCCUCCUUCUGUACCUCUCUUAGGAAAUAGAGUUUCAACUUGAAAUGUUUUGUUUUUCCAUGGAACACCGGAUUAUUUGCAAUUGAAAUUGCAGCUUGGUUAUCUACGAGUAUUUGUGUGCUUUCAUUUUGCUCCAUAAGCAAGUCAGCCAUUAAUUUCCUAAUCCAGAGAGCCUGAUUCACAGCAGCGGCAGCAGCUACAUAUUCUGCUUCUGCUGUAGAUUGAGCUAUGACUUCUUGCUUUUUGGAACACCAUGAAAAAAUAGCAGAACCAAAGCUGAAACAAUAACCUAAAGUACUUCUCAUGUCAUCAACACAACCUGCCCAAUCACUAUCUGAAUAACCAUGGAGAGUAAAGUUUUUAACUUGACAAAACCUCAGACCAUAGUUAAUUGUACCCUUGACAUAUCUAACAAUUCUUUUUGCUGCUUGAAAGUGAAUUUCACUAGCACAAUGCAUGUACCUUGAGAGUAAACUUACAACAUUCAUAAUAUCUGGUCUAGUUGCCGUUAGGUACAUCAAGCACCCAAUAAUGGUCCUGUAAAGCCUUUCGUCAGCUUUUGCAGCUCCAUUUUUUUUGCAAAACUUCUCAUUUUGAUUCAUUGGAGUUGCACUUGGAUUGCACUCUUCCAUCUUGAACUUUUUCAGGAUUUCCUUGGCAUAUUUCUGUUGACAUAUGAAGAUCUCAUUCUGCUUUUGUUGUACCUCCAUGCCAAGAAAGAAUGUCAUCCUCCCAAGAUCAGUCAUCUCAAAAACAUCCUUCAUUUCCUUUUUGAAAUUGCCAAUUUGCUUCAUACUGCUUCCUGUCACAAGUAGAUCAUCAACAUAUAAAGAUACCACAAGUGUUUCAUCACAAACCUUCUUGAAGUAUAGAGUAAAUUCACUUAGGCUUUUUGUAAAGCCUAACCCUAACAAAUGUGAAUCAAUCCUACUGUACCAUGCCCUUGGUGCCUAUUUUAAACCAUACAAGGCCUUUUUCAGCAAAUAUACUUUAUCCUCCAUUCCUUUAACAAUAAAACCUUCAAGCUGCUCCACAAAAAUUUCUUCCUCCAAGUAUCCAUUCAAGAAGGCUGAUUUGACAUCCAUCUGAUGUAUAUUCCAGCCCUUUUGAGCAGCAAGAGCCAGGAACAUUCUUAUAGUGUCCAAUCUAGCAACUGGGGCAAAAGUCUCAGAGAAAUCCACCCCCAAACAUCUGAGCAUAUCCUUUGACAACCAGUCUUGCCUUGUGUUUGUUUAUAGAACCAUCAGAAUUGAGUUUGGUUCUAUAAACCCACUUGACUCCAAUUGCCCUUUUAUGUCUUGGUUUGUCCACUAGCUCCCAAGUCUGGUUUUUUUCAAUCAUUUUAAGCUCCUCCUUCAUUGCAUCCAUCCAUUUUUUAUCCGUUGCAGCUUCUUCAUACCUUGCAGGCUCUAUUAUAGCAAUAUUGCACCUCUGAUAGAUGUCAGAGAGUGAUCUGGUUCCCCUGACAGGUUCAUCAUCAAUAUUGGCAUUCUCCUCCUGAAACUCAAGCUUCUUAUCAUUCUCCCAACUUCAAAUUCGAAGAAUUUGACAUCUCUACUAACUAUGACUUUGUUGUUUUUUGGAAGAUAGAUUCUAUAGGCCUUUGAUAUUGAGUUAUAACCUAUAAAGAUCCUAGCUUCUGCUUUCUUAUCCAAUUUGUCUCUCUUAACAUGUGGAAUAUAAGAGAAACAAAGACAACCAAAUGUUUUUAAAUUUUGCAGCCUUGGUUUAUAGCCAUACCAUGCUUCAAAUGGAGUCUUUUGUUGCAAAGCUUUUGUUGGCAGUCUAUUUAGCAGAAAGACUGAUGUAUGUGCAGCCUCAGCCCAGAAUUUCUUUGGCAGCCCUUUCUCAUGCAGCAAACACCUUGUCAUUUCCAUAAGUGUUCUAUUUUUCCUCUCAACGACUCCAUUCUGUUGAGGGGUAUAAGGUGUUGUAAGCUGGUGCUCAAUGCCUGCAUCCUCACAAAAUUUGUUAAAUUUCUCCGAGGUGUAUUCAGUUCCAUUAUCAAACCUGAUCACUUGCAUUUUACAUUUACUUUGAUUUUCAGCCCAAGCUUUAAACUUCCAAAAGAUGUCAGCAACCUCAGAUUUAAAUUUCAUGAAAUAAAUCCAGCACAUUCUUGUGUGAUCAUCAAUGAAAGCAAUAUAGAACUUACUGCCAUUCAGUGAUGGUGUUCUCUGAGGUCCUCCCACAUUAGUGUGUACUAACUGCAACUUCUGAGUAGCUCUCCAGGCCUUGUUUUGUGGGAAAGGAAGUCUUGCUUGUUUCCCGUACUGACAUGCUACAUAGGUAGGAGGCUUCACCUCUAAUUCAGGCAAGCCUUCUCCAAGAUCGUUCUUCUUCAUAAAGAGAAGGGCGCUAUGAUGAAAGUGCCCCAAACGCCUAUGCCAAAGCAUUGUAUUGCUUUCUUCUUUGUGAAUUGCAGCCUGCUCUUCUUGCAUCAAAUCCAAGGCAAAGCCUUUGCCUUUCAUUUGAACUAUAAAUACCUCUCUGCCUUGUGCAUCAGCAAUCAUGCACCGAUUGUCCUCAAACAUCACCUUAUAGCCUUUUUCCAGCAGCUGACCGACACUCAAUAGAUUUUGAUUAAUCUCAAGAACAUAUAAGACAUUAGAAAUUAAUUUCAAACCUGUGUGGCCUUCAAUUGCCACUGUUCCUUUGGCCUUACUGCAAGAUAUGCUCCAUUUCCAAUUCUAACUUUGGAAGUAACAGUUUUGUCAAGUUCCUUAAAGAGCCCUUGAUCAUAAGUCAUAUGGUUUGUACAACCACUGUCUAUAAGCCAAGUUUCUGGGGAGCUACUAGUGGCAAAGCAUGAUACCACAAAUAGUUGCUCAUCUGGAAGUUCUUCCACAGCAACCUUGACUUCUCCUUGCUGCUGUUGAGAUUUGCAAAUCCUUUCCACAUGCCUUAGAUGACCACACUUGUGACAUCUUACAUCCGGCCUCUACCAACACCUUUUUUGUGGAUGAUUGGAUUUUUUACAGUAAGGACAUGGUGGAAACUUUUGAGUGUUGUUGUUGCUGUUAUUGUUGCUUUGCAUCUCUUUUUUGUACUGAGAUAUGGCUUGAAAUGCACCCUCCACAGAUCCUUCUUGUCUCAUAAGCCUCCUUUGUUCUUGAGCCUGUAAUGCAUUCAACAACUCUGCCAAGGUGAUACUUGACACAUCUUUUGAGUUUUCUAGAGAUGAUAUUGUAGUCUCAAACUUUUCAGGAACUGUUAUAAAAAUUUUCUGAACCAUUCUAGAAUCAAAAAAGUCAGUACCAAGAAGUCUUACUUUGUUAACAAUACUAAGAAGUCUGUCUGAGUAAUCCUUGAUUGUUUCUGAUUCUUUCAUCCUUUGCAUCUCAAAUUCUCUAAUCAAGUUCAGCACUUGCAUACCUUUGACUCGUUCAUUUCCUUCAUAUUCCUUCUUCAAGAAGUUCCAUAUUUCAUUUGUUGUCUUCAGUGUCAUGAUUCUGGUGAAAAUUGUAGAUGAGACAGCUGCAGCUCAAGAGAACCACAUAAUGCGAUGCUCUAAGGGUUUCAAAGAAAGACACGAGGCUUGGGAGAGGUUGAGUUCAAGAUUAGCUAAGGUAGUACAUAGGGUUCCUUAAGGAAGUACCUAAAGGGAGGAAUAUAUUAAUUAUUCAUAUAUAGCUUCCCCUCCCUAGACGAAGGAAACAAAAUCUUUUGCACUUUGUUUUGAUAUGUAAUUGCCUUUCUAACAAUUGGGUAAAUCAUUUGACCUAAUAAAUGUUUAGAUCAUUGUAUUAGUAAAUAAGUCCGUAGGUGAAACAACUACAUUAAUUCCUUUUUUGAAAAGGCCUUUGAGAAGCCAAAAACUAUUUUUAAAUUGAAUAAGAGCUUAACUAAUUUUUUUAAAAAGAGUUAAAAGCUACAUAAUAUGAAAUCUAGGAAAACGUUAAUUUGUCGUAGAAGCUUUAUUUUAGCUUAUAUGGGAAACUAUUUUAUGUUAUAAGAUCAAUAUUGCCCUUUGAGAAUUAUAGCUUCUUCCUUGAGCUAAAGGCAAAAACAAAAACCUAUCCGAGUAGGAGAACAAAGUACAAAACUUGAUUCUUACCAGGAAAGCAUAAAUUGAAAAUCACCAAUUAUCCCAACAUCCAACUCAAUAAAUUAAAACACCUCAAAAUCAAAAUGUCAAAAAUAUAUCAAUUUUCUUCUAUUGAAACAUAAAACAAACUGAAUGCUUGAAACAACAUCAACCAUCCAUUAAUUUGAUUUUUGGUCAAUCACCCAUUUCUUUCUUUUUUAAAAAUAAGAAGACCACACAUUUAGGUAGAAUCGCUCUCUGCUACAACGUAGGCAAUGCCUACAUAAGAACUAAAUCCUACCCACAAAAUGUCUCCUCAAAAAACUAUAAUUAAAAAAAAUGAAAUAAACAAGGGAGACAUCAGUUAUAUAUAUAUAAACAAGGGAGACCAGUUCAAUUGCAAGAAAUCAAAGAACAAAAGGUUCACAAACUUGAAAGCUACCUUUGAAAUUCUUGAAAAAAGUAACAGAUUACUGUACCACGACAUUGAUUAACCCAAUGAAAGAAUUUAACUCCACAAAAAGAUAUUUACGCAAAUGAGGUUAGGCUUUUAAGGAUUUGGGUUUUCAGGAUGAAGAGAAAGACGAGGCAGAGGCCAAGGUUUCAAAAAUUUAGGGUUCUAGGAGGGACAAAAGCAAAUGGAGUUUUAGGUUUCCGUUGACAGAGUUGGUGUCGAGGUGAAAAACGUUAGAUCUUUUUAUUUUUUAUUUUUUGGGCUUUUAAGGUUUUUUGGGUAUUCAGAUGUGGAGGCUGAGCUGGACGAAUGGGAGGGCAUUUUGGGAAUGAAAGCACACUUCAGUACAGAGUGCAUGGAAUUGCCAAUAUUUUCGGCAUUAGCACAGAUUUCUUGAUUUUCCCAAAGUUGGGGGUUGAAAAAUCCUAACAUUGUGAACCCUUGUUUUAUAGGUAGAGCAUAAGGUGUGUCCAUUGUGACACUGUAAAGAAGUCAACUUGGUAAAAACCACGACACAAUUUUUAUGCCUUAAAAGCAAAUAUAAACAAUUAAAAAGAGAGUCGAAAACUCAUUUUUGAUCUAUUUCUGAACCAUACCAGGCAGUAGAUACCAGACUUUGCAAUCAAACAUCUUAUUUGAUGCGAAGGGACAAGCCAAUGACCAAACAAAUAGAGGAGAAAACAAAGUGUCGAGGAAAAGAUGCCACAGAAAUCAAAAGAAAGUGAAAAAGUGUGAGUCACUUGAAUUUCUUAAAUAGCUAAAAACAGGUGGCUUACCUAUUAUGGCUCUUCAUGAUGAUUUAUUCUUUUGGUGAGAUUCUAGGUUGUGAUAAGCAUACAUGGCAAAAGAAAAAAAAAUGUUUUAAGAACACAUGGAACAAUGAUUAAUCAUCUUUCCGUGGAAGAAAAAACAUCUAGCUGGAAUACGUUGACAAUGGAAAGGAAGCAAUCAAAAGGAAGAACAACCAUUCAACAGUUCCACCCGAAAAAUCCAAUGCAAGGUAUAGCAAAAUAUAACAAUCACAAAGGAAACAAAUUAUUAUGUGAUCUACCAGUAAGUAACAGAGACCAGAGAACAUGGGAGUACACUAUUGAAGAGCCGCUUGGAACACUAGUCUACUCAUAAUAAGUAGAAAUAGUGAAAUAGUUCCAAUUAAGUUAUAAGAUGGUUCAAAACCUCAUAAAACUAGAUAAGAACUUCCAGUUAUCUUCUAAUUUUAGCAGAAACUAGAGAAAUUAGUCUUCCAACUAUAAAUAACUGUGAAAACCCUUAAGAUUUCAGAUAAUCAAUAGAAGGAAUCCCAGAUAGAGAUGGUGUUAAAAUAUGUCAACAAGUCUAAUUAUAAGAAUAUUCACAUACUCCAACAUAACUUGUCAAGCAUAUGAUACUCAUAAACUGUUUUAAUUUCAUACUAUAAAUGAUAAUAAAAAAAAAUGCACUAGCAUCUCUCUCUUAACUUCAUAAAGCUGCAGAUAACAAUAGGAAAAUUAAAGAUGUUUGAAUUAAAUUUAUAGGAGCAACAGCCUAACAGGAGAACGUAUAAUUCUUAAAGAAUGGAUUAAAGAUCAGUCUUGUGUGUAACAAUAUCCUUUGUUUCUGAAGCUCUGGAUGGAUGGGGCAAAGUGCUUUCAAGAUUAUCCACUGUGAUGUUAUUUGAUACAAUCAAGGCAGGAAGACCAGCAGAAUUGUUUAUAAUAAGUUUUGGUAUCAUACUAUCAUGGAGUUUCUUCUAGAAACAAUUCAACAUAAUUCUUCUUAACACAUUACAAUAUAGGAGUUUAAAAGGUUCUCCCCAUCAUGAAACUAAUCACUUCAAAUUGACAACCAAUUCGAAUCAGCUCCAAUAUCAAAAUAAGCAAUCCACAAAAAACCCAAGUGCCAUUCCAUCCAUAUACCAAAAUAAACCUUCAAAUCCAUUUGAAGAAAUCAUUUCAUCCAAAACCCACUUGUAAAAACACAUUAAACUCAACAAAAAAAACAUACCAAAAAAUAAUCCAUCAACCCCAAAAACCCCAAAUCAAUUUCCCUUGUUGAUUGAUUGAUUGCAAUAGUAUUACACAGGCUUAUCAUUUUGUCGCCCUAGAAAAUGAAAUGCCCAAGUUCUCAAUUGAGUGGAGAUUUCAAAACAUUGAAAAACCUAAUACCCCAAAUUCUAAUAUUUUUUGUUCCUUCUCCCACAAUUCUCAUCAACCAAACGGAGAAUGACGAACGUAUCAAAUUCUCUAUUGAUGGGAGAUUUCAAUUUUCUUGCUUCCCAAACAAUGCCCAAAACUCCAAAAUUUCCCUUUUUCCCAUACUUUCCUACCAAUCAAACAGACAAUAACCAAUCCAAGAAACCACCUAAAGAGGAGAAGAAAUGCACACAUAUACACACUCACUUGGUGGAUUGGUGGGUACAUGUAAUUGGUGCACACGGGGCACUCAAGCAAUUCAUGAACGCUAGUCGCCGGAGCAGUCGCCGAAGGAACGACGCCUUUUUGAAGAGGCUUCGACGAGAACUGAUGAACCACAUGAUUGUGAUUGAGAUUGUGAUGAUGGUAAUGAAGGUGGUAGAUCUCCUCUUCUUCCAUGUCAUCCGAUGAUGAUACACACUCGAUAUUAUCCAAGUCCAUUAACACACGACCAGAACCAAACAGCUCCUAAAAAGGAGGUUCUUUUCUUCCUUCUUCUCUCUAUCUGUUUUUGUAUCGAGUUUCCCCAAAUUUGAAAGCUUAUCGGGUCGGUUUUACAAAUUUGAUAACUUUGAAGAACCCGGGCGGGGGGGGGGGGGGGGGGGGGUUUUUGGAAAGGGGGGUUUUAAAAAAGUUAUAAUGGGGGAAAAAGGAAAAAAUUUUUUUAAAAAGGGGAAAAUUUUGGGGUUUAAAAAAAUUGGGGUUUGAAAAAAAAAUUUUGGGGAAAGGGGCCCCCCAAAAAAAAAUUUUCCCUUUUUAAAACCCAAAUUUUUUUUUUAAAUUCCCCACAAAAUUUAAGGUAAAAAAAAAAAAAGGGGAGGAAGGGUUUUAAUUUUCUUUGUUGGGGAACUUUUUUUUUUAAAAGGGAAAACCCCAAAAGGGGUUUCUUCCCCUUUUAAAAAAAAUUUUUUCCAAAAAUCCGAAGACCCCCCUUUAACCUGGGGGUUUUUUUUUUUUUUUAAACCCCUUUUCCGGAUUUCCAAAGGGAAAAAAACCUUUAAAAANNNNNNNNNNNNNNNNNNNNNNNNNNNNNNNNNNNNNNNNNNNNNNNNNNNNNNNNNNNNNNNNNNNNNNNNNNNNNNNNNNNNNNNNNNNNNNNNNNNNCCGGGGGGGGGGGGGGGGGGGGGGGUCUAUUGACAAGGAUGCAUUAUAAACAGUAUAUAGUGCGUAAAAAGGAAAUAAUUUUUUGAAAUAGUGGACAUAUCUUGGGUUAUACAAACUUGGGGUUUGAAAAUAAUAUUAUUGGGAAAUGGGCCUCCCAAAACACAACUUUCCCUUUUAAGAAUCCAAAUUUUUAGUUCAAAUUCCACUACAAAUUCGAUGUAAAAAUAAAAGACUGUAGAGUAUGGUUUUAACUUUCCUUGCUUGCGACUCUUCUUUUUCAAUAUGGAUAAGCCCAGAGCGGGUUCUCUCCCCUCUUAGAAAAGAGUUCAUCCAAAGAUCCGAGAGCCCUCAUCUACACGUGUGCAUUAUCUUCUCUUUUAGACCCCUUCCUCGGAUUGCCAAAGGGAACAAGACCUUGAAGAAACACAGAAUAAACGAAAUGACUAUUUUUUUUGUGAGCCAUGAGGUUAUUCUUCUAACCAUGCCCGAAAUCGUACCUCUCCAAUUUUGAAAAUAUUCCAAUAUAAAGGAGAGGAAAAAGCAAGAGCAGAGGAUGCAAGUGAGGAAUGAAAGGGCAGAGGAAUGUGGUAAAACAGCGUACAAGCCGGUUGUGAAAGCGAUGGCCAUUGCUCCCAUGCCAAUCAUGGUCAAAAUAAAGGCCGAAACCAAGUGCUUUGCAAGGAACUCCUCCCCAUUACGCAUGGUCAUAAAAAAGUGAAGAAAUACAGCGCAUAGUGAGGAGACCAUGGCUAUGGUAUCCGUCACAACAAAUGCUCUGAAAGCUGCUUUCUUUGAUAAAAUUGCCUUGCCAUCAUCACCAUUGUAACCACCGGGCAAAGUGAAACCCGCAGCAUAAGUUACUGUUGUUAUAAGCGCGGAAACUAUCAAAUGGGUAGACCUUGUUUUUGUAAUUCAGAGGUACGUUUCUCCUUGUCCUCUUUGCUUUCUUUCUCUUUCUUCAAUUUCUUAAUUAUUUCCUGAAAUUGAUGAAUCAAUUUUUGUCACAUUCAGUCACUCAUUGCUGGGUAAACAAGAAGUCAUUGAAAAUCUGAUACAAAUGAUAAAUGCGUCUAACUUAAAUACAGUAGCAAAUCAAGCUUCUUUAUUCCAAAAGAUUGAGGUUAAUGGAGUUAUUUGUUUGCUCUAAACCUUCUUAAUAAAAAUAGUAUGAUGAAUACCAAUUUGCUUAAAUUUCAACACCAAUAUAAAUUAUUAAAUAAAUCCAAUGAAUUUAUCUUAUUUCCAAACAUAUUUAAGAGUAACAAAACAUAGCAUAUUUCAAAGAAAAUAUAUCUUUUCGUUCAAAUGAACUCAAACAUAUAACUGAAGUGAUGUGGAAGCCUUACAUUUUUCCCAAAAAUGUUCUCCUCGAUCCCGUCGUUAACUGUCAAGUAUUUCACUAAUUUCUUAGUUUCCCUCUCCCAAAACCAAGAUCUAGUUUCAGGCAUAACCAUCUCGAAGGCACCUUGGAUCACAUCCUGAAAUUGAAUAAAAGGAACAUUUCAAUUUAAUUCAAUUGAUGAAUCCAUUUUUUUCACAUUCAGUCACUCAUUGCUGGGUAAACAAGCCAUUGAAAAUCUGAUACGUACAAGUGAGAAAUGCAUCCGACUUAACCAACCUUUAAUUAAAUACAUCCAAUCAAGCUUAUUUAUUCCAAGAGAUCUGGGGUUAAUCGACUUACUUGUUUGUUCUAAAACUUCUUAAUAAAAGCAUGAUGAGUGCCAAUUUAUUUAAAUUUGAACAUCAGCAUAUUCAAUAAAUCCAAUAAAUUUAGAGACAAUGGGGGUUAAAAAAAAUUGAAGGAAGACAAAAUAAAAUUUUAUCAACUCUUUAUCCUAUUCAUCUUCUACUACUUUAAAAUGUGAUAAAAAAUAAUUAAAAUGUGGAAAAGAAAAAAUAAUAAUUCUUGAUGUUAUGUUUGGUUCUUGAGAAAUCUUAAGACUUUUUUGCUCAUAGAAAAUGAUAAAAGAAAAGAACAAAAAAGUGAAAACAAAUAAUAAGGCUAUGCUUAUUUCCAAAAAAUAUAAGGGAAAAUUUAAAGAGAAGAAAAAUAUAAAUAGAUAAGCAUAGCCUUAAUGUUUUUCAUGAGCCAAAUGUAGUCCGAGAAGAAUCCAUGAAAAUUUAAAAAAUAAAACUGGAAAAAAUAAAAUAUUUUCCCUAGAAAAAAGUGGAAAAAGUUUGGAAAACGUGCAUUUCGCAACGGUUUAAUCUUUUGUUUUCUAAACAUUUUUAUGAACGAUAAAAUAAGAGAAAAUCUUAUAAAUUGUUCUUAUCUUUUUAUUUUUGUAUCUUUCUAUUUUUCCUUUCCUCAAAUUAAUCUUAAACUACAUUUGAUUUUAGAAAGUACAGGAAAAAAAUAUUAAGAGAAGUUGUUAUUUUUUUUUUUUUUCACAUUUGGAUACAAGUGAAAAAAUGAUAAGAAAAUAUAUAAAAAUAAAAAUUAUACUAUAAAAAGGACUAGCUAUUCACCAGUUCUAGGUAGUUUCAUAACAAAAUAUCAAACAUUCACGUAUAAUUGAAGUGAUGUGAGACUUCACCUUUUUCUUGGAACUGUCCUUCUUGGCCCUCGAAAUUAUGUCGUAAGCUGUCAAGUUUUUGCUAUUAUACGCCUUCUUAUCCACAUUCCAAUCGAAUAAGAACCGAAAAUCUGAAAUUUGAUAAGAAGAGAGCAAGUGGAUGGGUGUGUUUCCUUGACCAUCUUUCUCAUUUACAAGUCCUCUGGCUCUUAACCAUUCAUUUUGAAAGUAAUCACUAGGCUUAUAAUCAUGGUCUCCCUUUUUCAUCAGGGAAAAGUGAAAAACAUUAUGGCCGUCGUUAUCGACUUGCUCGCAACAAUCUGGAUAGUGAGAUAGGAGCUCCUCUAUUAUGUUUUUAUGAUGGUGGAAAGAUGCAAUAUGAAGGGCAGUCUUGUUACCAUCAUUGAUCCCAAGAUAUGCUACACUCUUAUCUGAAUUCUCUAGCAGUUGCCUCACAAUUGUUGGAUGACAAUUUCUCUCUGCAGCACAGUGAAGUGGAGACCACCCUUUCUCAUCCACUUCCUUAGUUAGAGCUGGAUUCCAUUUCAAUAUCGCGUCGGUCAUUUCUGACAAAUGGAUAAAUGAAAAAAGAGAGUAAAAAAGAAAGUUCAGAAAAAUGAAAGAAAAUAAAUAAAGUCAAAUCAACCAUGGCAGUUUCCCUUUUAGUCUAAAUAUGUGAAAAUAACAUAAUCAUUGUAUUAAACCCUCCGUAUUAUGAGCAUACUACCUUGGUCAUUGCAGAGUACAGCAGCAUGCAAGGCCGUUCUACCCAUGAAGCCACUGUAGGCUGGUGAAGUGCGAGUUUUGUGACUUUUGUCUAGGAUAAUUUGCACUAUUCUGGUAAAUCCUCUCUCAGCAGCCAUGUAAAGAGGAGUCCCACCAGAAACAUUAGCACCAUAAGUAUACUCAGGGUCUUUCUCAAUCAAUAACUUCACCAAAGAAUAUUGGCCAUAUCGCACUGCCUCAUGCAAGGCUGUGUCUUUCUCCUUAUUUGUCAUCCUCAACAUCAACUUAUCUGCUUCAAGCCCAGUUUCAAUAUCUGUGGCAGCGUCUAAAAGAGCUUUCACAACAUCCAAAUGCCCUUCCCUUGCUGCAAGGUGAAGCGGAAUGUCCCCUUUCAGAUUAGGGUGUAGCAGUAGAGAUGAAGAUGAAGGCAACCUAAGGAUCAAAUUCACAGACUCCAGUUGACCGAACUGGGCAGCGAUGUGGAGUAUUGUGUUAUGCUUUGGGGUUAAAUGGACUAGUAAGUCAUGAUCUGAAAUUUUUUCGAGGACUUCAAUGUUCCCCUUUGCUGCCGCCUUGUACACGUCCGCAUCCAUGCCCGUGAUGACAGUGUGGCUGCCAUCUCCAUUUGCAGCUUGGUUGGAGGUCUGGGCUGGGCUAGGAUCUUGAGCUACAACCUGAUUGGAAUUAGAAUCCAUGUCAAGAUUCUGAAAUUCUUCACUGAGGUUCGAAGCACCCAGCUGAUCCAUUAAGUGUUUAUGGGUUGGAAGUGAAGUGAUCGACUCCACUCAUCACGUUUAUGGCUUGGAAGGUGGUCCCCCUUCGCUGCAAAUGAAGUUGUGUGGUGGAGACGUCCUUGCUC
rnacentral:lncRNA from 1 species